rnacentral:lncRNA from 1 species
UAAUUUCUUGUUAUAAUAUGAAAAUGUUGCACCAAACCUUUCCACAAUAUAAAAAGUUAAGAUCAAAUCUAAGUCAACAUCAAUUUAAAAAGAAAUAAAUAAUAUGGGACACAUAUUUUAUAAAGGUCUUAUAAAAAAUCAUAUGAAUUUAAUUAUAUGUUAGGAAAUUAUUAAUUUAUGUUGUAAGUAGGUUCUAUAAGAAACUACAAAACAUAUUAUUUUAUCAAGACCGUCAAUUUGUCGAAAUUCUACCUAGAUGAUUGAUAGGAAUGGGAUGUUCUAAAACAAAAACACACACACACACACACACACAUAUAUAUAUAUAUAUAUAUAUAUAUAUAUAUAUAUAUAUAUAUAUAUAUAUAUUAUUUUAUAAAUUUAUCUAAUUAUUAAUUUAGUAUAUUAGCCCAAUUAUCGGGAUUGACAAAACACAUUAUUUUAUCAAGACUAUUAAUUUAUUAAGAUUCUACCAAGAUGGUUGAUAGGAAAGGGGUCUUCUAAAACAAAACAUGUAUAAAGCAGAAUGUAAAACAGCAUUUCAAUAGAUGGGUUCAUGCCACAUAUGUUGGCUUUUACUACCAAGUGCUUGUAGUUCACUUAUAAGUUACCUGCAACUUAAUUAUAUCUUUGUGGCAUUUUGCAGUAAAAUGUAAAUCAAUUUCAUUUAUAAAAAAAAACUUGGGAGUACUAAAGAUUAAAUGAAUAAAAAGCCCCCUUUAUUGUAAAUGAACAACUCAAGAAAAAUAAUAUGGAUGGACCUGUGCAUAGGGGAAAUGGCCCUUUGACCUAGAUAAUUAAGUUGAAUUCAGAGUGCUUCUCCAAGUCAAAUUUUAUUCAUUAAGUGGCCAUCUAGUGUCCCACAAUGCCUAUAUAAGUCUAUGGGUUUAACAUUGAAACCAAUUACCAAGUCCUUUCUCUUCCAUCUGCAUCUUCAUAUAUAUCAAAAUUAAACAAUAAAACUAGCUGCAGUGAUGUCUGGUUGAGGACAAAAGAUAAAGAACAAAAGAGAAAAGAAACUAUAUUUUUAUCCUUCAUGAAUAUAAGUAUGGUGCAGUAUGUUCAUGGAGCACCACUUCAGGUUGAUGGGGUUGCUUAAAAAUGUUAGGAUAAGCUAUUUUAUAUUGAAUUCUCAAUAGCAAAUGAGCCCAUAUCACACAUAAACAUAAAGCCCUUUCUCUUUAGAAGUACUCUUUUGUUGCCCCAUAACUGUAAAGAAACAUUCUAAAAACAUCCACCAUUCACCAAUGGUCUACAUUCCUUAUGAUGCCAGACAUUAAUUUUAUUGAUGACAAGACAUAAGCAACUACGACAGAGUAAACUGAUCUCUUCUUGGCCUGAAUCAAUGGUGAUCAAUCGAUGGAAGGAUCGAUACCGGAGCUUUCAUGAAUGGCCUAGUGAUGUUGAGGGUUGGGGCCUCCAGGGCUUUGCCUGGUGGGCUCAUAAUGCCUCCCAGUUUUGUCUUCUUGUUGGAUAUUUGCUUUGGGUGCUUCUUGAGCUCUUUGAUCAGUCAAUGUAGGCUUCAUCUUGCUUGAGUACAGGCCUACAGACCGAGCUUCUGAGCUUGAAAAUGAAAGCAAAACUAGGGUUAGGAAGAAGAACAAUAUAACUGAUCUGAAGCUAGCCAUAUUGCUGCUCUAAUACACGGGACUCAAAAGUUUAAGUCUGGACAGUGUAGUUUUUCUUAGUAUGGAUGGUUGGAUAUAUAUAGCCUUGAGACCACCAUUGCUACCACUAUUUCUAGUCCAUUUAAAAUGCAAAAUGUCAAUAUGGGACAGCUAUUAGUGGGAUCGAGCUGCCACUUUGACUAUGAUCAACAUGGUGCAUGUAUGCCUUCAACCUCAAGGAUACUGAAACAUACUUGAUUGAAAUAUUUACUAGUUCUCUUCCUUUUCAAUUCUGCUUUUGUCUUGUUAUAUACGAGGACUUCUUUGUAAAUUUGUUCAAACUUUUAAUUUUUUUAUUUUCUUGUUUUUUCCAAAAAAACAUAAAACAACGUCUUAUAAUGAAUUUAUUUAGAUUACGUUUAGUUCUCAAAAAGUAUUAAAGACAAAAAAGGUAAGAAAAAUUAUUUUCUCAUGUUUAAUUAUAUUAUAGAAAAUACAAAAGAAAGUUAAAUAUAAUUAACAUUAAAAAAAUUAUAUAUUUUAAAAUUAUUUAAUCUUUAUAUUAAAAAGUUAAAUAUGUAAAAUGAGUUUAAAAUAAUAUAUUGAAUUUAAGUUUAUUUUCUAUUUUACUUUAUUUUUCUUUCUCUCUUCUUUUCUUUACUAUUCUUUUUCCUUCGUAUAAAUGGUAGCUAUGGUUAUUUAAGCUGUAACUUAAUUUUAACGAAUGAUGUUCUCUCUCUCUCCCUCUCGUAUGAAAAGUAAUGGGAUUUUUUUUUUAAUUUUUUUUGGUCUUUGGAGGGUUGACAAAUUAAAUUGGUGGGGGCAACAUGGAAUCACUAACACACAAUAUUGUAAUGCUAAUCUGACCAAAAAAACUAAUAGUGCAAAAGAUACAAUGUCAACAUAUGGGUCACAAAGGUCUUCUCAACUUUUUUCCUUAAUGUGCUAUAUAUAGUUGUGGCUCUCUCUCUUGCCACUGUUUUCACUUUAUUUGCAAAAUAAUGUUCCACCCAUAUACCUUAAGGUAUGUACUAAGAUUUAAAAUUGGAAGCCUCUCUCCAAUCUGAGCAAAGGGCCAUGUCUAGUAUGCUUUGCAUGCCAAGUCCUUCAGAAGCAUAUAUAUAUAUAUUUGUGUCCAGUACUGUACAGUCAUAAGCCAUAAGGCAUUGAGCAUAUAUAAGUUGGUUUUGACAAGCUAUAAAUGGGAUGCAAGUGUGAUGGGGCAGACUAUUAAAAAUGGAGUUGAUGGAAUAAUGCAUGUGGGCAACCCAAUAUUGAUUCACAUGUAUCAUGCAGAUAUGGCUGUAGUGGGGUCAUUGAUGAAAAGUGUGUAUAGUGUUUGACAAAAUUUCCAAUAAGGAUUUGGGGCAUCUUGGAAUUUGAUUAUUGAUGUUGGGUAUGUGAAAUUUUGUUGAUUAGGUUAUGACACAAGUUCUUAUACACGAGAGAAAUAUGGUUUAUUAAAGUACUUAAGUCUAAAAGCAAUGUAUUGGUGUUAAUACAUAGUUAAGUAUAUCUAAAAGCAAUGUAAAAUCAAGAUUGAUUUUUUUAAGAAACAAACUCUAAGAAAUGUUGUAAACUUCUAAACUAAGUAUUUGCUAAGAAUGACUUUUGUAAGGUGAAUUAUCUACAAGAUUCACAAAAUUGGCUCGAUGAAUUUGACUCGUAUUUUCCUCCUUUAUUCUUAAAUUUUUGUCUUUUCAUUAGGUUGAUUUUCAAAAUUGUGAAUUAAUUCUAGAAAUUUAUUGGAUUUUUUUUUUUAUAAAAUUAAAUGAUUUCCUAGAAAAUUUUACUAAGGCCACAACCUAGAUUGAUGAUUCUAUGUGAAGAUCUAUAAUAUUAACAUUUCCAAAUCUAUAGAGUUAGCAAUUAUAUUCAAUUUGAACAUCACAUACCCUUUCCCAACAAAGAGUGCUCCUUUGAUAUAUAAGAACAAAAUUUGUUCAAUCCCAAGACUAACUUGAACCCUUUUUAACUUAAGAGUGACCCGGAUACAAGAUUUCUAUACAUCAAUCAAGGUGAGUUCCUUUGUUGAAGUGAAUUUGAGAAGUACUCUUCAUUGACCUUCAAUAGUUGAUGCAAAUGAAUUGCCCAUGAACGGUCUUCCUUCGUUCUGCAAUUUGUUGAAAGAUGUAGACAUAUUUUGAUUUGUACAAAUGUGCCUAGUGGAACUUGUAUACCUAACCACUAUUGACUUGAAUUACUCACUAUGUUUGCUUUUGAGAUCACUACUAAAAGGUUUUUAGACUCAAGUCACAUGAUCUUGAUUGGAUUUAUUGUAGUGGGACUUUAAAGAAUCUUGACCUUUACAAUGAAGACAAUUCUUUGCAUCAUGUCUAGGUUUCAAUUUUCCUUAGUCUCUCUUUAUAAUUUUCCCAGACCAUGAGAUUUGUUCUUCCCAUCAUAAUUGUAUUUGUGGCAAUUGUACAAUAGAAUUUGGACUUGUUCUCCUCAACAAUAUUUGCUACAUUCCAUGGAGAAAACUAUCUUCCUCAAAUUGUCAUUCUUAUAAGAAAAUCCUUCAUAUUUAUCUCCUUUUAUUUAUGUUUAAGAUAACUCUUGAAGUCUUUUCACUUUGGUGACAAUUUUUCAAUAAUAGCUACAAUUUGAAAAGACUCACUUAUCAUCAUAUACCAUUAUAAUGAACUUUGUGUGUGGUAUUUAAAGUCAAGGAAUUUACCAAUGACAAAUUUCUUUGUGCGAGUAUCCUUUGUUUUGUAUUUUUUGUUAAGUCAAAUCCAUAAACCUUUUACAGUAUUGAAAACUUACAAGUAAACAUUGCGUAAAGAAUUGUCCAAUGUAUUGAAAUAUAAACACGGCAUGAGAAGUCAUAAAAUGUUUCCAUUCUUCUAUUAUCAUAACUGUCUUUAUUUGCUUUAUCACCAUCUUGAAUAAGAGGAACCUCAUUAAGAAGAUGAGCUAGCAAGUAACAUAACAUCUUCUAUUGUCAUCUUUUAAAAUGCUUUCCAUCAAACUUUUCAUGGGUGUUUUUAGCGACUUCUAUCAUUUUCAAUCAACUCAAAUUUUCUAUCUUUAGAUUGUUCGAAUAACGCACGAUUUGCAAAAACAAUAUAUAUAGAAUUUAUAAAUAGUGAAAAGUAAAUGAAAACAAAAGAAGAACUCAAGAUGAGAUAGAAUUUUGGAAGAUUUAUAAUUGUAAGAAGAAGAGACUCUAAAGCAAAAUACUAUAUAAUUAACUUAUCUCCCAUUUCUUUAGUUUUAUCUCAUAGAUGGAUCAAGUAUAAAGAAGUUGACACUCCAAUCUUUAUUCUUCACUAAGCUUUGUGCAAUCUUAUACUUUUUGAUAAUAGACAAAAAAAUAGAAUAGAUAAAUAUAUAUGAGAGAAAAGAUAAAAAAUAAAAAUAAAAGUAUAAGUUCCUAAUGCUAAAUGAAUAAAAAUAAAAUUUUAUCUUUUAAUUGGAAUAAAUUUCUCUUUUAAAUGAAAAAGUAAAGUGUCUAUUUGAAAAAAUAAAAAUAAAAAUUGUAAUUGUGAUAUCUCACAUUAGAUAUGAAAGAAAGUUUUUAAUGUUAUAUAAGUAUAAACUCUUUUAAACAUUAUAAAUGCGUCUUAAAACCAUGAGGACUUGAGAGCAGGUCAUUACCAAUAGUAUUAGAGUUGAAACCCAACCUCGGUUUGAGGGUUUGUUUCAUUCAUGCAUGAGGAGUAUCUGUCUAUUUGACCCUUCAAUUUCGUGAAAUACAAUGAGAACAUUAUGUUUGUAUUGGAAGAACCCCUUUAAGCCCAAAACCCAAAAUAAACAAUUUCUAUAUAGACAAUUUUUAUACGAUUGAAAGAAGUUUAUUACAAUAAUAACAUAAGAAAUGACACUUUGAGAAGAAGUGUCUAUUUUAAAUAACUACAUUAUUAUCUCUACAUCUAAAUUUAAAAAAUAAAUAAAACAAAUAAAUACAAAAAUAAUAGUAAUAAUAAUAAUUAAGUAAACAAAAAAAAUUCACAUAUAAAAGGUUAAUUUUCAUUCAAACUCAUCGCAUAUAUUACCUAUCCUCAUUCUCAUUCAAGAAAUUAUUCUCAAAGAUUCCCAACGACCUAAAGCUCAAAACCUCUACGUGUCCUCUACUACCCAUAGCUAAAACCAUAUACCACACAUGUAUAAAUUAGAAUCUAUAUCUAAGCCUUGCAUAUUUGUUGCUGCCUCUACAUGACGUGCCCACCAAUUUCAACACCAACUGCAGCUACCUCCAAGUUAAAGCCGAUUCUUUUAAGUAAAUUGCAUUUGACUUCUAUUCCUACCAUGUUUCAAAGUCUCGGUAUCACAUGCUCACUCGACGAGCCCCGAGUUACAUCAAUCUCAGUAUGUCGGAUCAAUAUCGAAUGAUACACAUAAUAUAUUAAUUAAAAAUUUUCCAAAAGACUAAUAAACAUUUUAGAUAAAUAAUUAUAACUAGAUGAACUAAAAAAGUUAUUACAUUUAACAUGAUCUAAAUAAUUGUAAAAACAUGUCUUAGAAUUAGUUUACAUAAUGUUACUAAUUAUAAAAAUUUAAAACACUACCAUAUUUAUUUUUAAAAUUUUUAAUAAUGGUAUAAUCUUAAAAAGAAAAAUAAAAAUGAUAAAGGUGAUUAGUAAAAGUAAUCAUUUUAAAAAUGAAUUGGUUUGAAUUUUUUAUAUUAUAAUUUUGAAUUGUAUUGUGAGUGAGUCAAGUAAUUCAUAUUUGAAUUAAAAUUGAGUUAUUGUCGAAUCGCACUAUACCAACUCAGAUAUAGACUCGUCACAACCAUUACUGAGAGAUGAGUACAACUCGAGCAAUACUUUGAAUCAUGAUUCCUCCACUACCUUAUAAUCCAUCUUCUAGGUUCCAUCCUAUAAUCACUCACCACAUCUCGCAACAACAUUUUUAAGCCCAAUGUUGCAUUUAAUUAAUUCUAUAAUAAACUACUUACAAAAUUACAUGGAUGGUUAUAGUGGCUCCAUCUGCCUCAGGCAGCAGAGUCUGCCAAAUUAUUAUUAAUGCACAAUUAAUACCACUAUAUUUGAAUUAUGCCACAUCGAUAGCUAGCAAGCUAGAGCCACUUGACAGCCAAAAAGGGAGAUGCAUUUCAUUUCCAUAAACAAGGUUUCCCUCCUUACAACAUAGCCCUUCCCAAACCUUUCAGCAAGAAAAAGAAAAUGAUCAAAACAAACAGUAGAACGAAAGUUCUCACAACUUGGAAACAGCUACCAAGCAUACCCUCAAAGUACUGCAUGGUAUGAUUGGCUUCUAUCUAUGGCAAUGCAGUUGGUUUACGAUGAUGUUCAGGAUCAGGUCCCCCGGGCGAGAGCCUUGUUGUUUCAGCAUCGAGUAAAGACCUUUUCCUAUAGUACUCCAUCUUUGGUGUGUCGAACCCCAUUUCACGUAAGAUAAGGUGACUAUCAAUCCCUUUUUGCGCCAUUGAAGGCACAUGGUAUAGACGCGACUCCAAACUUGGUCCCAACAUCGAUAAAACGACAAUGAACAAACAUGCUCGAAAUGCACUAGCCAUAGUUGAGAAAAAGGCCAAAGAUGACAACAAUUAUAGAAUGUAUAUAUAAGAAGCUUACCAAGUUGAAGUAUGAGCACCUUGGAGUAUAACUAGAGCCCUCUUAUAUAUACUCAUACUUUCAGUGGGAGGGCCACAAAAGGGCGUCGUCUCACAAGGUUUUAGUGCAAUUCUAAAGAUAGAUCGAUGUUGGAAAAUCGUAUAAGCAGAUAACUUUGAUGCAACAUAUGCUUGUCUUGUCCCUAGCUAAUUAAUUUGGAGCUUUUCGCCUUUUUUGUCAUCUCCAUUACCUUAGAUACAAUAAUUUUUCUGUCCCUUUCUGUCCAUAUUGUCUAUACCAUGAUUUGGUGCUUCUCCCUUUCUCUCAAGAUCAGUUGGAUGGGCGGCGGUUUUUAGUUCAUUAUCUAGUCACCUUUUGUUUCCGUUCCAACAUGAAAUCAUCAGAAGAACACGUAAGGACGAAAUAGGCCCUUUAAUCUACAUAAAAGUAUUAUAUCUCAAAAGAGUUUAGCCAACACGAGGGAUGGUAACAGUAUGAAUUUUUCGAGUAUAUGUCUCAUCUUGUUUCUAAUAGGAUGAUUUUAAAAUAAAUAUAAAUAAGUUCGAGAAAUUCAUCGGUUCCAAUUAUAUAUAAUAUUAAAUAAAAAUUAUUUUAUUUGAUUAUACCAUAUUACUUUUCCUAAAAAUAGAUUAUAAAUAUUUAUAAUAUUUAUUAAUUUAUAAAGUAUAUUUAUUUUUAAUUCAAUUUAAAAUUUUAAAAGUAAAAGAAAAUUAAUAAGGUUAAUGUGUGUCAUAUGAAAAUUUCCUAACCCAUCCUACCCCAUUAUAGUUUAUUUUGUUGGUACGAAAAUAAAUAUAAAUAAAUGAAAUGAGUUGGGAUGAGGUGUCCUAUCUUAUUAUCAUCCCUAGUCAAUAUAGGAAUUUGAGAAGUCUCUUUCUGUAUGACUUAAAAAAGAAAAAAAAGAUCCUUAUAUACUAAUUUUUAUGUACCCAACUUAUUUUUCUUAUUCAUUAAUUUGAUGUUGCUUGGGGCUUUCUGUUUAAAAUGAUCAAAAUUUUGUGUGAAUUUAGAUAGUGAUAAAGAGAGGAAUGACAAUAGAAUUAAAGAGAAAUUUAGAACAGGAUAAAUACAAAUGACAUGGAGAGAUUGAUGAGGUCAAACUCUCAUCACUUGUGCGUUGAAAAUUUGCAAGAUUUAGAUAGGAAUAAUAAAAAAUGACUUCAUCCAGUUCUUUCGAAUUUGUAUAUGGACGAUUCGAGACUUAAUCCUAUAUGGUCAUAUCUUAUCCAUAUGAAUGUUCUAUGAACUUCUAUAAUUUGGUGUCCACGUCGAUCUGGAUUUGGUAAAUAUUGCUCAUGUGUAGUCAGCAUCAUCCAUUUCUGCAUAUGCUAUCUAUGACAUGUGGAGGAAUUUCAGAUGCACCCUUUGUGGAUUGAUAUAUUCUUAUGCAUUAUUUUAAUUGACAAGUAAGUAGCAUUUAGUAAUUUGAGGCGGCUUUUUCUAUUCCAUGAUGUUAGUUUAGUUGUUUUUGGUAGCAUUUUUGGAGUGAAAAUAAAAAGUCACAUGUGUCAAAUCAAUCUUAUAUAGUAACACAAACUUCUUCUCUAAUCGAUGUAGAACAAACAAAUCCCCUUAUAAAGUUAGAUAGAUAAAGUCACAUGCAUGUUAAGGUCGAUAAUUAUUACUAUAUAUUUUGUAAUAAUCCACUCUUACUCAUAUAAAUAUUAUACAUUUUCGACUUAAUAACCCUCAUGAUUUAAAAACACGUCUAUGUAAUUAAAAAAAAGUUCAUUACAUACGCAAUGAUAGAAACUUCUCCCCUUGAUCAAUGUAUAAUAUCACACCAUGACUAUGGUCUGGCAUUGGAGCAAUGAAUCAAUAGCUAAGUCCAUGUUCUCUUCCCAUUUUCAGAUUCCCACUAGACUAGUACAUUAUGAUUCAUAAAAAGAAUAAAAAGAGAAAAAACCAGGAAAAUAUAUCUUAUUAUGCUUUGUCUAUGCAUGUAGUAUGGAGCACCACUUCCUGAUAUGGGGUUUCUUAAAAAUGAUGGGUGCUACUAUAUUGAAUUCUCAUAUGCAUAUGGGCUCAUAUUAAACACAAAAUUCAACACUCUUUUCCUUUAAAAGUACUCUUUUGUUGUCCCUAUGAUUUUGUAAAGAAAUAUUUUAAAACAUUAACUAUUCAUCAAUGGUUCACAUUCUAUGUAUAUGAUCACAAAUACAUGCAUGUGCCCCUAAAGAAUGGAAAUAAAACAAUUAAAGAUAAAGGGACUCAACCACGAUGUCCUAUAUUUAAUAGUAAAACAAGACGAUUAUUAAGAUAAAGUGUUUUUUUUUUAGUUUAAUAUUGCUCUCUUGAAAUUAAUCUCUUCCUCUUUAUUAUUCCUAUUCAAUACCUAGCUUCGUCACUGAAUAUAUACGUGGUUCUUGAAAAUUGGGCUAAAAAUCAAGUUUCAAAGCUUGAAAAUGAAAGCAAAACUAGGACUAGGUAGAAGAAAAAUCUCAAGCAGUAGUGAUUACAUAUUUCUAUUGAAAUAUUUUCUCACUCUCUUCCUUAUUGUCUUGUUAAGUUGUUAUAAAUGAUUAUGAAUUCUUAGAAUAUAAAAAUGAACAAAAUUUAAAAGAAGCAUAUAUAACAAUAUUGAAUUUAUUUUUUCAUGUGGUUAGGUUCAAGUUUGUACUUGGUUUGACCUUUAGAAUUCAAUGGAUGAUUAAUUAUUUAAUGAAAUAUUGAGUUGAAUUAAGAUUGUCCAAUUAAAUAAAUUGGUCGGACCGACAAAGGAUGACCAACCUAUAAUGCAAUAAUAAUAAUCUAAUCACUAUGACAUUAGUGUACAAUAAACCCAAUGUCGACAAAGGCCUUUUCCCUUUUUCUUAAUGAGCAAUGUGGCUCCUUUUCGCCACCAUUUUGGCUUUCUUAGCAAAAUAAUGUUCCACCGGAGGGCCACUAUGUGUUAAGAUCAUUUAUUAUUGAAGACCUCUCCCUCCAAUUUGAACAAAUAUAUAAUCAUCUCUCGUAUGCUUUGCCAAGUCCUUCCACAAUGCAAACAUAUGGUUGUAUCUAGCUCCUAGUGUCUAGUCAUAAGCCUUGACUCUAUGCAUAAGUUGACGUUGGAAAGGUAGGGAUUGACAUGGGAAUUGAAUUUUAAUUCCUUUUCUCAAAGUUUUUUCCCAUGUGGCACGUUCCCUUUAAGGUUCAUGUCUCUCCAAGUUCAAUUCUUUUCUCAAUUGGCUAGCCUUUCUCAAGGAAUAUUAUAUAAUGUAGUUUGUGCCGCAACAGGAACAUAAUUAAAUGAUAGGGCAUCAUGUAGUCAGUGGCAAGCCACAUAACCUGUCCGGACCAUGAAAAUAUUUCUUAUCUUUAAAUAUGUUUCUUAUAUCUUUUGCCCUGAUGACUAAAAUAAAUUUCUUGCUCUGCCAUUGUACAUUCCAAUUGUCAAGCAUCAGUACUAAAAGAAGAUGUCUUCUCUAAAUGAUAUGCAUGUAUCAUGCGAGCAUUAUAUCAAUCAAUUAAAUUUUAGAUACUUAUUGAACUUACAAUCUCCAUAACUGAAAAUGUAAAACAAAAUUUAAGUAGUUAAAUAAUAAUGAUGAUAUAGGGAUAUAAAACCGAUGAUAAGAUUAACAUAUAAAAAAAAAUUGAUCAAGAUACAAAACAAUAAGACCAAAUUAUAUAUGUAUCAUAUUAUUUCAAAUAUUUUGAACAUCAAUGACAACAUUGGGGGGUGCUAAGGAAUGGUUGUCUAGAAGCAAACUACUUUCAUGAGCCAUUUAAUGAAUCUAAUAGGUUAUCAAUCUCCUUUUUCUAAUUAAAGGAGGAUGUGUUGUCUAAGAUUGCAAGAAUGCAACGUAUGUGAAGUAAUAGCAUUCGUAGGCAUCAACUAAUAGUUCUCAUGAUGUUGCUUGAACCAAUGAUAUCUAUAGGCCUAGAAUAAUAGUUGUCAAAUAUUGAUUGGGAACAAGCAAAAGCCACCAUAUAUAAACUUAAUGGCUCCAAAAUUAGGUUUACCCUUUUUUCAAAGUAACCUUGUUUAAAAUGAAUAGAUGCAACCAAUGUGCAUCAAAAACGCGUUUUUAAAAUAUAGAUAUUAUUUGUGUUGAAUUUGCUUAUUCUUAUGUCUUUAGAACGUGUUUAUAUAUAUUAAAUGAGUCAUAAUACAUUAUCCUCUCGUAUAGAUAGACAUAAUGUCCUCAUCCAUCAUAAUUCAUUAAGUUUAUAAAUGAUUGAAUUAUAUAUUUUUUUUUAAUUGAAAUUAGCUUUAAUACCAUUAAACUUGUCUAUAUAAGCUUCUAUACAAAUAUAUAAAAGAUAUCAAAUUAUCCUUUUUAAGAGUUAGGAACUUCCUAACAUGAAUGUCAAUAAGUGCUGACGUCAAGAGACAAGAGAUCAUAAUAGGUAGGAAUGGCGAUGGGAUGAGUCACACUCCUUAAAUCCAUCUCAUUGUUUAGGUCAUUAAUCUCAUCCCCAUCUAAAAAAACCUUAAAUGAGGCAAGAUGAGUUAAUAGAGGUAGCAAUUUUAAGACUCGAAAAUGAUAGGGAGUUUGGGUUAAAUAUAAAUUAUAUACUUAAUUAUCAUAAUAACAUCAAUUAAAAUAAUGUGUUUAAUAAACAAAUCAUUUUUAAGUUUGACUAUUUAACCCAUAUAACUCGUUUACUCAUUUAUGCUAAAAUAACAUAUUUACUUAGUUAUGUCAAAAUGAUCGUUUAUUUAGUUAAGUUUGGAUUAGAGUUGCUUUAAUGAGUUAUUUGUCAAUUUCAUGUAUGGCUCAAUUUAGUUCAUUUAUUAAAAAGGUUAAACAGAUCAUGUCAUGUUAUUUAUAUAAUAAACAUAUUGUACUUAUAUCAAGGCAUUUUGAUACAAUUAUUAAAUGAAUUGUGUUCAAGUUAAGUAAAUUUUACUAUUUGGUACCUCAAUAUGACAAAACAUGACUCAUUCUCAUCCUUGCAAGUCAAGAUAGGUUAGGAAUUUUCCAUACUUGUUUAUUUUUUUUUAAAAAGUUUAAAUUGUAUUAAAAUAAAUAUAAUUUAUUAAUUAAUAAAUAUUAUAAAAAAAUUAUUUAUUUGUAUGAAAAAAUAAUUUUUUAUCGUGUUAAAAAAGAAAUAUAAAAAACUAAAGUAGAUUGUUUUAUUUAAUUAUAUAUAUAGACCUCGUUUGAAAUAAUUUCCAGUUUUUAGCUUUAAUUAAAAAUUAAAUUUGAAGUCAAAGUCACUUUUUAAAGGACAAGGUCAAUAUUAUAAAAUUUUUAUUAAAUAAGACUUUCAUAUUAAGCAUUUUUUUAAAUCAUAUACUUAUAUAAACUUUCACUAAACUUAAUGAAAAAAGAAAAAAAAAAAAAAAGGACCUACUCCUAAUGCAAACUCAUGAAGGUUUUUUCUAAAUUCAUUCUAUCAUGGGAACGUUAAAUGGAAACCCAAAACCUAUUUUAUUUGUACCAUUGUCGUCCGCAAUAGUAAUCAUUCACCUACCAUCUAAAGUUAUUUAUGCCCCCUAAUGCAAACCUGUUUAGGUUUUUCUGAAAUUCAUUCUAUCAUGGGAACAUUAAGUGGGAACCCAAAACCUAUUUGUACCAUUGUCGACUGUAAUAGUAAUCAUUCACUUACCAUCUAAGGUUAUUUAUGUAUAAUUCUAGGGAAAAAUCUAAAGCAUCGAUUGUAUAGGUAUCAAAAUUUACAUCUUAAUCAUUAAAAACAAUCUAUGCAUUUGAAUAAAGGUAGAAAUAAUAAAACAAAGAUCGAUACAAAAAUAAUGAAAUCAAUUACAAACAAUAGGAUCAAGAUACAAAAUAAUGAGAUCAAAGCUGACACAAAACACUCAUGAUGCAAGUUAAUCAAGCAUGCUUUAUUUUUUGGUACCAAAAGAUAGCUAGGGUGGCGUAGCCAUCAAGCCCAUAAUCAUUCAUCCUAGUGUAGUUUUGUAGGGGACGAGCCAUCACCACCAUGUUUGUAGUAGAUAUCGUACAGCAUGCAUGUGUGCAUCACUCCAACAUUUGCGUCAUGGGAACAGAAUGAUACAUUGUACCUAGCACCAUUGAGAAAGAGGGACAAGCUUAACCAUGGACCUACUCGGAGAUGAUUUAAAAAGGAGAAAAUUGCGUUACACAUUCAUUUUGGGCAUGUAAACACUCGUAUCUCUUAACCCUAGCCUUAAUUAGGUGAUUCGCAGCCUUGGAUGCUGUCGAAGAACUAAGCAUAGGUCUCAUUCACGUAGGACAUGUUAAUUGCAAAUGAAAAUGUGGGGGUGCAGCAUAUUCACUUUGGACAUGCACGUCUACUUUUGGACUUUUUAAAGGAUGAUUUCAUGGUGUCUUGUUUCCCAUCAUUAAUCUUUUUUAUCCCAAAGCCAACAAUCAUGCUAGCUGGUUUAGAACUUUAGAGAGGACACACCAAUUAUGAUGUGGGGUUAUAUGGGGAGAUUGGAUGAGAGGGACCUCUUAGAGGGUGCAUCGGUACAUUAAAAUAGUACAAAUGGUAAAAAUAAUAAAAAUAAAAAUAAAGGUGAAUUAAAACAUCAUAUAAAAGAUAUGAAUCAAAAUCCCUAAAAAAAUGGGCAGGUUUUAAUUUUCAUUAUAUUGAUUUUUUAAUUUUAUUCCCUUUGUAAUAUGUAAUUGAAAUAUAAUAAUGAAUAAAAAAUAAAAUAAUUUUUUUUAAUUCUCAUUCUCUACUCCUAUAUAUCAAACUCACCCUAGAUGUGAUAGACAUCCCUUUUUUGGCCUUUUAGAAUAUUUACUCUCAUACUCUCCUCCUAAUAAUCCUAUAUUUGUCUUAAAUUUAGGAUAUAGAUUUCAAGUGUGAUAACAAAUGUUGGAAAACUUGACUAAUAUACUUAAAGUGCCAUAAAUUAACGCCUAAUAUUUUUGGAUUCUAAGAUAUUAAUAUAUUCUUGUGCAUUUACCAAUACUAGAUUGGUUGAACUCCCAAUCUCUUUGAGAUGACUUAUAAAUGAACUAAUUUGCCCAUGCCUAUGAAUAUCUGUCAUGGUUACUAGCAAAGGACCCUUUCCUUGCUAUGCUAAAGGCCUGUAUUAAUCCAAUAAGCCACUUGGAAAUAGCCAAAGUCCUCUUUAAUUGAGAGGUUUUCUAAUUUAUUAAUCAAUUUAACCAAGCCACUAAUCCCAAGUGCAAUUGUAAAUAAAUUUAAUUUGAAAAUAGAAUUCACACUUAGAUUCCUACAAAGAUAAUGGUACGGCAAAACUGUGACAUUGCUAGAGGGGUUUGUUGUGAUAAUUAACUUUCAACAAUAUAAAAAAUGAGAAAGAAGUUAUUUAAACAAUUUAUAUAAAUAUUAUCCACUUUAAGCUCAUCAAUAUUUUAACAGCAUUAAUAGACAAAGAUGCUAAGUCAGACAAUAUAUAUCUAAAUGGGUCAUCAUAGAUAUGAUCGAUAUUACAACUAAUCCCUAGUGAAAAAAAUAUACAGAAUCUAAUCAUCCAUGAGUCAAAAAGAAAAUGUCUUAUCUACGUCAAGAAUUUGAAAGAAGGAUAAAAUAACAAAAGGGACGAUAUCUAAAGUGAAAUACAGACUACUACGGAGCCCUACAUAUGCAUACAAGAUACCAUACCUCUAACUCAAAUGUAUUUCAUAGGUUUAUUUUUAAUUAUUUUAAAAGGAUUUUUGCCCAAAAAAAAUUGUUACCAUCCAAUUAUGAAAAUAUUUUAAGCUUUAAUUAUUGUUAAUUUUUUAGUUUCAUAUAUAUAUAUAUAUAUAGGCUAUAGUUGGUGACAGAAUAGAUGAGGAUAAGGUUGGACAUGAAACUCCAUGUCCUACCAUUUUGAAAAUUUUUGGAUGGAGUUCCCCAUGAUGGUGGUUGCCACCACAUGGUGUGGAUGGAGCUCCUCAUGCUGACUAAAUUUUCUUUCUGCCAAAAACCUUACUGCAUCUCCAUGAUUCAUUAAUCAAAAGGGCAUUUUAUUUUUCAGCUUUAAACUUGAAGUUAACAAUUUUAAAUAUAUAUCUUAUUCUCUUUAUAGUUAUCUACACAUGCAGGGUCCUCAUGGAGUCCCACUUCAAGUUGAUGGGAUUGCUUUAAAGUCUUAGGAGGAUAAGCCAUUAUAUUGAUAUACUCAUAAGCAUAUAUGAGCUCUUCUAAGUCCUACCACACAAAAUUAAACACUUUUCUCCUAAAAAAUACUCUUUUAAUUUGCUCCAUAACUAUAAAGAAAUUAACAUGCUAAAACAUCAUCCAUUGUUCAUCAAUGGUUUACACUCCAUAAGAUCCACAAACAAACAAGCAUACAUGGAUCCAAAAACAGAACCAGAUUAUACUUCUUCUUCAACUUCUCCUCCAUGGCCCCAAUCAAUGGCCACCUUCAACGCUGAAGAUGCAGUCACAGCUCCCGGCCCAUUGAUGAACUAGUGAUGUUGGGGGUCAGGGCCCCCAGGGCUCACUCUCUUUGACUGAUCAUAAUGCCACUGGCCGGUUGGCAUACCCGCCUUGAAUACUUCUUUAGCACUUUCACUUAAGCUAGUGUUCAUGUUCAUCUUGCUCGAGUUUACGCCUAAAACCCGAGCCUCUGAACUCGAAAGCCAAAACAAAACUAGGAUCAUCAUGAUGAAGAAGAAGAAGAAGAAGAAUCUUGAACUAGCCAUACUUAGUGUGCAGAGAGUGUAGUGUGUACAUUCAAACCAAGGAUAGUAAUAUAUAUAGAGAGAGAGCAUAGUCUUAAAAAAUAUAUAAAAAUGGAGUCAAUAUGGGACAGCCCUAUAUAGUAGUGGGAGGUUCCGCACUUAGAUUAUAAAUCAACUUUGGUUCAUGAAUGUAUGCAUUCAAGAUCAAAGAUCAAGGAUCAAGUUUUGCCCCAUGUUUUUAUCAUGAAAUAUUUCAUAGCCAUCUUCCUCUUUUUUUCCUCUACUUUUUUUGUACAUAUCAUUAGGGUUUUUGCUUCUAAGUGUGAACUAAAAUGAUAAUUGAACUUUCAAAAGAAAAAAAAAAGGGGGGGUUGAAGAUUCCAUGAAGAUCCAUGGGGAUUUUUGGAGGUUGACAAGAUGAAUUAUGGUAGGGGCCAAGAUGGGAAUGACAUACCUUUUAUGUAAUGCAAAUCUGACCACAAAAACUGUCUAAAAGAUUCAAUGUCGACGCAUGCGUCCCAAUGCCCUUUUCCACAUUUUUCUUAAUGCUAACCGUGGCUCUUUUCGCCGCCAUUUUCGCUUUCUCACCAAGAUAAUGUUCCCACCAUUGUGUCAUACUAUGUGUUGAUUUGUAAUAGGAGCUUCUCCCUCAUUCCCAACUAAUCCAAUUUCUCUAACCACCAUGUGUAGUCAUGACCCCGGGUUAGUGCAUAAGUUUAUUUAAAUUAACGCGGCCUUGCACCGGCCACUUCCGGUAAUUUUCUUUGGGUUUGCAUGUGGUGCUGAAAACCAAGCCUCUAAUACCAUGUUAAUUUAUUAAUAAAUUCAGUUUAAAAAAAAAUUAAGAGUGUCGAAUUGAUGAUAUUUUUAUCAAAAAUGUUUUAGGUGAAAGUACUUUAUUUAGAAGUGUUUUUAAAAGAAUUAUUUAUUGAGUACUUUCCUAUGAAGCACUAUAGAUGAUUUUUCAAAUUUUUAAAAAUGUUUUUUAAAAUUUGUUAAAUGUUUUACUUUUGUUUAAAGAAUUUUUUUUAGGUUAGAAGUAUUUUCUAAAAGCAUUGUCAAAUAAAUUCUAAAUCAAUCAGUAAUAGUAGGUUAGUAUCACAAGUUAAUAAUCUAUUAGCCUAAUCAUAUACCUCCAACAAAGUUCAUUCGUUUUUUUAAAUCAUUUUCAAUAAAUAUAAUUGGAAUUUCUCCUUCCAUUUUCAAGAUAUGUGUUGAUUUAUAAUAGGAUCUUCUCCCUCCAUUUUCAACUACUCCCGUUCUUUAGCUACCCUGUCGUCAUGAGCUUACAACAGUUUUGACACCCGAUCGUUUCGAAUAACUUUCUUUAGGUUUGUACAUGAUUCUAAAGGCCAAACCUCUAAUACUAUAUUAAGUUUAUAAUUUGAUACAAAAGUUUAAAUCAAUAAAUAAUAGUAGGUCAAUAAUGCAGGAUAAUCUAUUAGUUUAAUCAUAAACCUUAUCCCCUCAUUUUUCUAUCAUUUUUCAUGGGUGUUCAAAGAAGAAUAAUUACCACUAUUGUAACUUAAGAUUUAAAAUUAGAGGCGUCCCUCCAAUUCUAAAAGCCAUCUAAAUUCAUUUGUUUUUCACUCUAUGAAUGUGCUAAGGAAUUAGGGCCUUAUUUAAGGAGUACAAAUUGAAAAAACUCUCAAAGUCCAACUAGAUUUCGGUUAUCCCUUUAACCGUCCAAACCACCCAAUUCUCAAAGUGCAACCAGAUUUUAGUUUAUCUUUUUCUUGACCUUUAAUUGGUUGUAGGUAGGAAAUAGAACGAUAGUGACAUCCAUAACUUUUUUCACAUGGAUCCAAUUAGUUUUUCCUCAACCAACUAAGCAUCACCAAUGCAUAUUGUUAAUCUUCGUCGAUUAUCUCAAAAAGUUGAGGAUAAUCACAACAAAAUUAUUAAUAAAACAAAGACAAAUGGUACCACAUAGAUAAUGAUAAUGAUAAUGAUGGUUUAUAUUAAACUACACAUUUUCCUAAAAAUUUAAGCUUAUAGGAUUAAGGUUCAAUACAUUAAUGAUGCUCUCCCUAACACCUUCCUUGACAUGCGGUCCCAUACUAGGCGUCAAUGGAUAGUGUAUAGGAUCUCCCAUGGAGAUAUGUCAUAGAAUUGUAAAUUGAGGGAAGAUACUAAAUCGGAAAAUAAACAUGCAAAUUACAAAAAGAUGGUUCAAACUCACAACUUCCUACCAAAGUUUUAAUACUAUACUAAACUAAACAAAGAACUGCAAAUUAGAGGGAGAUGAGCCAUAAAUGGGGAAAUGAACAUGCAAAUUAUAGGUAGACCUAUGAGCUCCCAUCAAAUCUACAACCUCCCAUCAAAUCAAGUUUUGAUACCAUUUUUAACACUUCAUUCAUUUGCAAGUAAGAUUUCAAUUAAGUUGGACAAAAAUAACGAUUAAAUGAAAAGUAUCAAUUUUAGAUACAAAACAAUAUCAUGACCUAUUUCAAAGAUUCAAUUAUGCGAAGCAUGACAUCAAGAAAAUGGAUAAACCAAACCGAGAGUUAUUAUAUUUUAUAGACUCAUGAUUGUGCAACUAGAUAAGCAUUACUUCUCAUCAUAUAUAUAUAUAUAUAUAACAUAAAUUCAUUUUCAUUAAUAUAAUUUUCUAUUAUGUUCUUUUCUAUAUCUAAACCUACUUAUUUUGGAUUUUAAUUAAUUUUUUAAAGAUAACUUAUUAUGAUGAUUUCUUUUUUAUACUUUUUGAAACUAUGAAAGUGUGGUCAACCAUGAGUGCAUCAGUGACUCAGCUGUGUGGGUUAGCAGAAUGCUUACUAUAUAUAUUAAGGUUUUGACUUCAUUAUUUUUUAUCUUAGUUCUAGGGAAGUGCUUUUAAGAUAAGCACUUGAACAUCUUAAGAUUUUCAUUAAUUAAUUUCUAAACACCCCUGAUUUGUUAGUGAUUAAACACGAUUUUUAGCCACUAAUCUUAUGAUUAUCAUAAAAUUAAAAAUGGGUCGAUUCAAUUUCCAAUGGUUGGUCAAUACGUAUUAAAAAACCAUAUCCAAUAUGCAUCUUGCUUUUAGGGUGGCAUUUUGAAUUAAUUAAGAGAAAAAAAAUGGAAAGGAAAGCAUUUAGUGGAUUCUCCAUAAUCUAUCUGUCAAAUGUAUACUUUUCUCCAAUUAAUAGAAAUUUGCUUUUUCAUAUGAAUAUUGGCUUUAGAGUACUUAGAUUUCCAUAUUUAAUAAGCAUUAUUGAGAACCACUUUUUUUGGGUGGAUAGUGUUUUGAGUAUUAAAGGAAGGAUAAUUGUACUGAGAAUAAAGUAAAAGACACUGCAUCCUUUAUUAAUUUAUUUUUAAAUUAAUCUAUUACGAUUUACAAAAAUAAAUUUACAAAAAAUCCCCAAAAAUAAAUUUACAAAAAUAUUUCUAUUACUUUUUCUCAUUUAUUUUUGAAAGCAAAUUUAUGUGAAAUAACACUAUGCAACUUUGUGUUGUGCCUUACUUGUGAGUAAAGUGAAAUAUGGUUUGGGAUGCAUAUCAAUUUUAUAAAAUAUAAUUUAAAAUAUUAUUCAAUCAAUAAAAAAUUUAAGAUUUCAAACGUUUAAAAGAAAUAUUAAAUAAAAAUAAAAAUAAUGAAAUUAUACAAAUUUCAAUAGACAAUUAAAAAUAUCAAGGAUAGAAAUAUUUAAAAAGAAAAAAUAAACUCAACACAACAUGCCUCUUCAAUAAGACACAUGUCUUGACAAGCAAACGCUAUAAUUAGGAAGUGGUUAUGUCUUAACCAUAAGCACAUUAAAAUAGACUUUAUCUAAAACUAUAGUAUGAAAUGAAAGGCCAUGAAUAUGAACUUUUUAAAAUAAUUUAUUUUAAUAAGAAGUUGAAUUUAAAAAUUAUAAUUUAGAAGAAAUGAUUAAGGAUUUUACAAGUAACAACAAUUUUUUAAUUUUUAUAUUAAGAUUUUUUUCAAGCUAAAAACCAUCUAAUAAAAUUAUCUAAUUCAGAAGUUAUAGUUGAGGUUAGAAAAAAACCUCUUGACUUCUCUAUUUAGUUUAAAAUCAAAGAUUCUUUUUUUAGUUCGAUAUGAGCUUCAAUACCUGCUAAGAUAAUUUUACUAAAAAGGUUAGAAAAAAAAAACCAAUUAUAAAAUUGAAGAAAAUAUUCCCUUUUAUUGAAACUUCAAUUUAAUUUAUGCAAAAAAUUAUGGAAUGAAACUUUUAUAAUAUCAAUAUCACACUUCGAAAAUUUCAGCUAAAGCAGUACCAAUAGGUACAAAUGAGUCGAUAGAAGAUGGAUCAAGUGAUAACGUUAACAACUGUGAGAAUUUGAUAGUUUCACAAUCUUACAAGGUUGCCUUUGAUGAGAGACUGAAAAGGCAAGACAUAAACACAAUACAAAGUGGGUAUCCUGGUGAAGUUUUCUCCCUCUGGCUGUUUUAUCCUUGGCAGGGCACUCUCUUGCCAAUCAAACAACAACAGCAGAUGUAGAGCUUAAAACUUUUGCAACAAAGAGUGUAAAAUGCCACACCAAUUUGGUAGGUGGGUCUUCCAAUUUAGCCCCUACUGGAUUGUGAAUAUUUCAUGAAUUUGAGAAAGCCUAUUUACAAGAGUCUAAUGCCCCAGCAGUACACAAAACCAGGCAUAGAAAGAGCUUUGUAAGACUGGUAUGUCAACUACAAGCAAGAUAAUGUACCGAGACAAAUUCUAAUGACUAUUCAGGUAGGAGAGGUAAUCUAUCAACAGUAUUGGGUGUACCAAUUGUGCCAUUUUUGCUGCAGAUGAAGUCAUCAAGCCCGCUAUCUAGGCCAUCUGAUUCACUGGUGUGUCUAUCUUCAUCCGUCCUAGUUUGAAAUGGAAGUAUGCGCAGUCGCACAUCUGGCUCUGUACCAAUUUUCUCUGACUGUAGCUUAUAUUUCCGGAUAAGGUCCCUCUGAAGAAGCAUAAUAUGGGAUGGCCUUGGGAGUAGCUCCACAGGUUCCCCUUUGGGGAUCACUACCUGUUCAAUUGCCAAUCUAGCCUCCUGUAAAAGGGAGAACAACUAGAGUUGAAUCAUAUGCCAGUUUAAUGAACAACUAUAUUUUAAAGUUCACUAACCCUUUGGAGACAAAAAAAGUAAUUGAUUUUGCUACUGGUUUAUAGAAAGAACUACACCUCUGCUAUAGAAACGCCUAAUUUCAUCUCUUCCUCACAAACGAUUAAGCUGGCAUAGUGAAAAUGGCUGCUAUAGGAGAUAUCCUGGUUAUCAACACCCUUCCCUGUCCUGAGUAGUGGUUUUACUUCAGAAUUUUUUCAUGUUCUAGUCCUAUUUUACGUAUUCUAGCAUGGACACUAUCUAUGAUUUUAAACAUAUUCUGAGAGCCAUAUUUGAUGUUCCUAAACCUAUUUUGUGCUCAUUAGACCUUCCAGACAAAAUUUGAAGGAUUAGAGUUUUGAGAACAAGCCAAGUCAGGUCACUGGCCCUAAAGAAUGCAUGCCAGAGUUAAAUUUUAAGGCUCCUGACUGGGCUAGAGUUCCAGUGGAAGUUUGUUUAGCUUAACAGGCUAAACCAUAACUUGGGAAGUCUCUGUUCUUUGCUGAAACCAUAUUUUAUAACUGUGAACUUAUUUUCUGGUUGGAGGUUUGAGCACAUGGCAUUAAGGUAAUUGGCCGGUUUUGACUCAACUACACAGUUGGGCUAAGGCCAACGUAGCCCAAAAUGACUGAUGAACAUGCUGAAAAUGAGCCUCAUGAAGAGCAAGAACAAACCCAAGCCUGUUCAAAAUUAGAGUUAAGAGUGCCUAGCAGAGCCUGGAAAAGGUUUGCUAUGUUUGGCUUGUUAGAUGCCCUAGAGGAGAUAGGGCAAGGCAUUAAACGCAAUAGGAGUCAAUAGCCUUCUAAAGAUAUUCCUGUUAGAAAAAUCUAAAGAAAAAGAAAAUGCGAGUUGUACCCUUCUAAAAGCAUUCCAUUUAGGAAAAAGAAAAAAAUCUAGAAAAAUGCAAGCCAAAAUGAAAAUCCAUUUUCACCUCCAGGGCAUCAAUCCUCUCUGACAAAUUUAUUUUGUCUUCUGAUCCAAAAUCCUUUAAAUCAUCUGCAUGACCGUUCAGUAUUGCUCUAACAGCCUUUGUUAUCUGCACUAAUGAGCAUGUCUACAAAAGAAGAAAGGGAUUACACAAUGAAAAUAAGUGAAAAUGAUUGUUGAGGCAAAGAGCAAUUAAUUACCUUUGUCACAUAGAUGGGUAUGUCAUGAGACUUAGCAGCAGCUUGAAUCCGUGAAUUCUUCUUGAGUUUGGACUGCAAGGCAAGUAGAGCAUCUGCUUCGCUGAUAUUAUCAGUUAAUUCAACUUUAUCAUUCAUUUUCAACUGUUUAAUCCCUUGAAUCACGCUUGUCUCCAGGAUCUAGAAAAACUGUUCACCUUAUAAGUUCCAAAUCCAACAGUUUCUUAUUAUGCAUUAGCAACUAAGUUCUAAAACUCAGGAUUUACUCAUUUUAACCAGGAAGUUGAAGCAAGAUUAGAUUUAAUACAUUCAAAAUUUAAACUUUUGGCAGGAAAAGAUUUUCAAAUACAGUAUCAGCAGAAAAGGCAUUCAAAAGAGGGGGAUUAUUCAGGAGCAGUUAAUGUUCAUUUAUAUUUCCAUUCCUGUCAGCAUAUUUCAGCUCGACUGCAUAAGUUGAUAAAAACAUAAAGGUCUAUGCAUGCCAUGUAGGUGAAACAGCUUCACAAAUACUGAAAUCUCAUUAAAGCUAGCAUUUUAUGAAAAGUAAAACAAUCUAAUGUAGGUAAGACCGAGCAUACUAACAAGAAAUUGGAAGGAAGGACUCCUAUCUUCAUGUAUGUAUCUUUAGUCCAAGAAAAAGACGGUUUCCUACUCUUAGCCCCAAUAUGAUCAUCCUUGCAAAUCUUUAUAUCCAUGCAUAAACAUUGUCACUCAACUUCAAACAUGAACAGUGGAACAAUUUCAAAUUUUCUGUUCUGGAAACUUAAGUGUACUUCAUUAUGUCUUCCUUGGCCAAUAUCCUAUAUAGUUUUCCAAGUAGUGAUAUUAGUGAGCAUAGGUGGACUAUCUAGAAGACUUUGGCUCAGAAGGAGUCGUACUGUUAGAGCUUUAGCCCAAGUUAGUUUGAUAUGUAUAGAAGAAGCUCAUUAUAUAACAUCUUUAAGUUCUUUGGUCAAAUUGGUAGCUUAACAUGGUACCAGUCUUGGUUUACAAGAUGAGUUCAAACCUCACCAAUGUUUACUUUUUCCCAUUUACUGAGCCAGUGUGCAAAUUCAAAGAAAAUUGCUGGUGAGGCAGGGUGUUCGGGCUUUAGCCCGAAUCAAUUUAAUAUGCAAAGUGGGCCCAUUCAGUUUAAGCUUUUUGGUCAAAUGGUUAACAUUUAUGAAGGUCAAGCAAAAUUAGGGAGAGAAGCAGAACCAGUAAUCUCCAUGCUCCCCCUUCAGAUAACACAGAAACUGAUAAAUGAACUUUGAAGUAUAAUGAAAAUCUAGAUUCAAUUAAUUUUUCAGACUUGCAAGAUCAAAAUAUUUUACCCCAUAAGCAAAUACUCGGACAGGUGAUGUAUCUUGAGCAGAACUCCCCCCCAUGUCUGGAGGAGGUUCACAAAUGAGUUCAUCAAGGGUACUGCUUUCCUCAUUCAUCUCCAGACCAUCUUCAACCACCUCAUUUUUCUCAUCAGAUGAAUUGUGAACAAAAGCUUCACUUUGUACUUUGUUUUCCACUCCCUGAGAGUUUAUCUUCCUCACUUCAAAAUGUGGGAAUCGACCUGUAAAAACAGAACAGUAAUAGCAAAUCAAACCAUAAGGACAGAUUCAACAAAUUUUUUAUUUGGAAUAUGAACAAAAUAGGAAGAUUUUUCUUUUUUUGGUGUUUCUUUUUCCCUUAAACAAGAAGAAAACACCUGAAAGGAUAGCAUCCACAGUAGCUUCUAAGCUAGGAUGAACUUGCAACUCAGUUUUUGAAAUUAUCUCCACACCACAACUAAAUGUUGAGGGACCUUUCCUCUCAAGCACUGUCUUCUGUACCCCCCUUCGGCUUGCCUCUUCAUCCCCUAGUGUUACACUCUGAAAAAUGCAGGCAUUCGUGCAAUUAUUCAGAAUAAACGUGCACAAAUUCUUCCCCAGAACACAGUUGACAAAGGGUUUCUAAAAAUUUAAAGAACUGGAAUGAAGUAAAAAUAAUCCCUGUAUCAAUAGAUCUAUGUUGUUUGACUUGUAAGACAACUAAGAGGUUGCUGACAUGUUAAAAUGUGAUUCUUAUCUGAAACUACCAAAUAAUCAACAACAGUGCCUCCAGUAUUUAAAAAACCUAGCAUAGCAAUUUUUCCCAUGUCUAUCACAAUGAUCCAUGUGCAUCAUUCACCAUUUUUGUCAGCAGCACCCAAGUGGCCAUUAAUACUAUUUUGAGGUUGUCAUGGUGAAAAGCUUGUAAGUAGACAACAAUACUUGUGGCAAUGUCCACAUUAUAACAAGAAAAACAGGUUCCCCGUAUGUUUUAGAUUCAACAAACAGAAAGAAAAAAAAAAAACAAAACAAAACAAGCAAAAAUAAAACAAAACAAAAAAAUUCAAAUCCAAUACUAUUUCACCUGGAUUCCUCCGACAAGCAUCUCUAAAGAAGGAUUCAUUAUCAAAUUCUCUAUGGUUACUCCAUGAGCAGUGGCAACCAGCUGAAUCCCACGUUGUGCAAUUGUGCUAGCAGCCAUGGCUUCAAGCUUCGUGCCAAUUUCAUCAAUUACAAUCACUUGAGGCAUAUGAUUUUCAACAGCUUCUAUUAGUACCUGAUAAUGUAGAACUAAAAACAUGAGCAUCCUAUACCAAUUUGUAGACAAUGGAGUACAAAAUAUAUAUAAUGAAACAUAGUUCUCACAUUUUUAUCAAGAACAACCAUUCUUCAACAGAUACACAUGUUCCAAGUAGCAUAAAACUAAAAAUCAAGUGGAAAUUCAAAACGAUAUUAAGUAUUUGUUACCUACUAUUGUAACAAAGUCAUGGUCUAUUCAAAUUAGUACCUCAACUAUUAAAUGUGUCAGUGUGUCUAUACAUAGGAAAUUAUCAAUGAAAAAACUCUAAUAUGAGGUAGGGAAAUGGUUCUAACAAUCAAACUUUGUCUGCUCAACACACAAAUUAUAGGGUACAAUUUGAACACCUGAUCAAUUUAGAUGGAUUGAUCCUAAACUUUUAGCUAGGAAAUGGCAAAGCAUUUUUGAGGAAGGAAAUGAAAAGUAAAGGAGAAACAAAAGAAUGAUUGAGGAAAUUAAUGGGAAAAACAAAAAAUAAAAACCAAAGGCUUAUCAAAGCCUAUAAAAUAAUCAUACCAUGUUUACCACUAGUGAAACUUCAAAAAUAUUGGACUUAGCCUCUAAUGAGCCUUCCUUUUAUCAGAGACAAAUUAACAAAUUGCAAAGUUGAUUCUUAAUACUAGGUUUCGACAAAUUCAUAGUUCAACGUUAAAGCCCUGAGCCUUAUUAUGUCAAACUUGCCACCAACCAGCAAGGCCUUCAAAAUUUUUAAAGAUAAUGUUACCCUGUUGAAGGACAAAUUUCCAAGAGUUACCAAUUAAAACUGAAUUUAAUAGGAUUCUCAUAAAUAGAAGACAUAAAUUAUUCUAGAAAAUGAGAGAAAGAUGCAGUACAUCUUCAAUACCCACAUAAUAAGCACCAGUAAGAAUUCUCAUGAAGGAAGUACAGUAAGAAAUAUUAACCUUGACAUCUCAUGGAGACUAGGGAAAAAAAAUCAAAACAGAACUUGUUUCACAAAAAGAAAAUUUUAGAAUGAAAUUAUCAGAUUCAUCUUGCUCCUAACACACUGCAAUAAAUACAAAAGCAGAGUGUCCAAAGAAAAUGUUGCUUUGGUUAUUGUGUCAAAUUUAUGUAGUCCAGAAGGGACUUCUUAACAUUAUCCAACUUCGAAUUAUCUUCUUAUUUGGUAUUCCCACAGAUGAUUGGUUUUGCUCGGUUUUAGGUGAUAGGAGCAAAAUCUUAUGGAAAGUGACCACAUUCAUGAUGCUUUGGUCUCUAUAGAAAAGACUGAAUUGUUAAACUUUCUAUAGAAGAAAUCAAAGAAAUUGAUUUAUUCAUUGAGGCUAAUCAAGAAAUGCUUAGCAAGAAAUAAAAGUAAGAGGUUUCAAAUCAAAUGUAACAAAACAAAUAAGAAUAAGUCCAAUGGAUCAAAUUGCCUUUAGUUGAAAAAGCAACAAUCAUAAGAGAAUAUCAGUAAAGAUGAUCGGAUAUAAACAUAAUGUAUCCUAUGCAGAACUAAAUACAAUGAAAAUCCCCUAUCUCAGACCAUUUUAAUAUUCAAAAUUCCUACAUAGUUGGCACAUUCCGAUCAAGUGUAAUGAAAAGGUGUUGAAUUUAUGAUAUUGUUAGUAGAAUUUAUGAUAUUGCUAGGAUAGAACAACAUAUAAAUUGAAUGGUGCUUGCAGUUUGUAUUUACACAUACAAUAAUCUACAAACAUUAGUCAUAACAAAAUCCACAUAAUCAGAAGGAAAAACCAUGAAAAAUCAUCUUCAUCUAACCAUUUGCUCAUUUACUACUGAAUAAUCAAGUAAAAACAAAGAUACUAUACCAAUACUCUAUAUAUCAGUCCCAUUAAAAUCACUGAUAUAACUAUCUGAAUUCUAUACUUAUUCAUAUUAAUAGGAUAUGUAUAGGCCAUAUCCAACUUCCAAAAUCACAAUAGCAAACUCCCAAUAUUUCUUAUUACUUGGUUUCAAUAAUAGUCACUUACACUCAUCUGUUCGGAUAGUAUUUCAGAGACAACAAGCAUUGCAUAUAAUCAUCCACUAGGGUAAUAUUCAGUUGAUAAUCAAAGUCAUUAUCAAGGAAUCUCAACCUAAGCAUAUUAAGGACACUGUUAGUAAAGCACAGCUCAUACCUUAUGUUGCAUAUCAGAGUUGGGAACUUGCAUCCGACGAGCAUUACCUAUUCCUGCAUGAGGUAUAUCACCAUCCCCACCAAUCUCAUUUGAGGUAUCAACAAUCAUCACACGUUUCUUGUAAUCAUUUGCAAGCAUCCUAGCUACUUCCCUACAAAGUUGGGAAAUGCAGGUUAUCUUAAAGAAUAGCUAAGUACAACCUAUGAUACUCUACCCGGUGUUACAUGAUUUUUUUUAUUUUUUUAUUUUUUGCAAAUUGAAAUGUUAUUUAAAAAAUGCCUGAUAAAAAAAGGGGGCACGCAAUAACACAGCACAGAAAACAAGAAAAGGAACAAGAAAAAUUACAAUGCCCAAAUAGAGCCUAACCCAUUCCCAAGCAAUCGAUGGGGUCUAGAAAAGAAGAGUGAUAUUCACACACUCUUCCCUAGACCAAAAGAAAAAUAUUUUGAGGAAGUGGUCUUUAGGGGCCAAAUUUGAAUACUCAAGGUCUUCCUUUCUAUUCUCUCUUUCCAUAUACACUAGAAUAAAAGGAGCCACCCUCUACAUCUUUUUGUGCUUCUUGCCCAGGGAGCUACCACGCCAACCAAGCAAAAGCUCUUUGACCAUUCCAGGACAGACCCAACUCACUUCUAAAGGGGAGCAAAGUAAAGACCACUACCUACUAGUCCAUUCAUAAUGAUAAGGAUGGGAUUGGUUAUUUCUUUCUUCUGUUUGCAUAAGCAGCAAAGGUUCCUUCUAUUUGCCAACCCACCUACAAAAAGGCAUUAACUAUAAUUUAUUCCCCAAAAGACCACUAGGAUCCUUGUCCUAGGGAUCCAUUGGCCGACAUAGACCAUACUAUUUUCAUCAUCAUGAAGCAUUCAUCCUGUUGAUGUCACAUGGAAAGAGCAUUAACUGAAUCAGAAUGUCAAUCAAAGACACUUCAGCCAUGUCAUAUGGCAUCAACUUUUGUAAUCAAUGAAAAAUAUGAAUGUAAAAUAAGAUUCUAGAAUUUAAAUUAGAGAAACUCUUUACAUGAGAUUAUGGGGAGAUAUGUCUGCAGUUAAAAGAUUUAGCCCCAAUGAACAAAACGAACAAAUAAACUAUAUGUAGUUUCACAAAAACAUCUCCAUGGUAGCAAGCAAUGGUCAAAAAUAGAAAAAGUUGUAACAAGGACCCAAUCAUCAAGCAGAUGUUAUAGCAAUAGAACUCUGACAAUGCAAAUUAAGAAAAGUGAAAAUAGAAUGUGACAACAGAAAUCUAACCCAGUCCUUUCAACAUCCUAGUAAAAUCAUGAUGAAUGCAAUUUUACUAUCAAACAAAUAUAAUAAUAAUGAAACUGCACCUUGACAAUUCAGGAGGAAAAAAAAAAAAUGGAAAUUAGAACAGAAAAAUAGAAAUAUAGACCUUUUUUAACAUUUGUGUAGGAAUGAAGAAAGUAUCAUCAUUGGGGACAUGGAUAAUUUACUUUACUUAAAACACAAGGGGAAAACAAGUGUAAUCUUGUCAUCAAGAUUGCAACCAUCAGAAAUCAAAGUAACAAACCUGAUAAUUGUAGUUUUUCCUACUCCUGGAGGCCCAAUGAGCAACAAAGAAGCCCCAUCUUUAACCAAAUCUUGCAACAAGUUGGCACUUCCUGAUAUUGCCCGACCAACACGACAAGUUAAACCAAUAAUUGCACCCUUCCGAUUCCUUAUAGCACUUAUGCGGUGUAACGUCCGGCUGAUACCUGCCCGGUUAUCAAUGGCAAAGUCACCAACCUGUAAUACAAGGUUCUAGUAAGUUGAAAGCGCUUGGUCUCUUUCACCACUUUCUUCAAAAUGGAUAACUUAUUUCCAAGAAAAUUGAGAUGACAGUAAUUCAACUAUAAUAAUAACAAGGAUUGGAAACUAUCAAAUAAUAAGUUGUAAAUACUAAAUAGUGACUACUGGGCCUUUCUGUCUGAUAAGGUCUAAACCUUCAAGAAGAUCCCAAAGUUUAGCAAUAAAUCUUGUACUUUCUCCCAACUUCCAUAUAAAACAAUAUGGACAUUUUCCUUGUCAAUUUGAAAACCUCUAAUAGAGGUCUUUCCAAGGUUUCCAAGGGGUGACUGUGAUCUUAAUUUUUUCAACAUCUAUAUAAGUGGUAAGGGCCUAGGAAUAGGGCCAAGAUGGUAGAAAUCAGAGAUUUUUAUACAAUGAGACACAUGAUUGUUCCAGUAGAGCCAAAUAUGCCUAUCAUUAACAGCAAAAGGUGAGCCAACAUGAUAAUGACAGCACAAAGUGGCAUGAGGGAUGGUACCUUCCAAGUUGUGUUCUGUGUUGCAACUGAGGCAACUGGCACUUCAGGUAUAAAGAGAAGAGCUCUGUCCACAAUUCUCAGUAAUGAGCACUCAACCAAAUGAAAGCUUCAGAUUUGGCAGUGUGGGAGAUUUUUGCAUUUGUUCUUCAAUAAGUUGGGUUGCUUAGUGAACUGAUCAAACUAGGCGAUGAAGUCAAUUGAAUAACUUAUUGCCUCAAAUUAUAACAUUUCUCCCAUUUACCUCAACCUCCCAUACCAAUAUCCAAGACCUUAUAUACUCCUAAUGAUGGACUCAUAAGAACAUGUAACUAUUGCACAAAAAUACCCUUUGAUAACUUCCUUCACUCAAUAUUUUAAAUACCUUCAAAAUGCAGCCAAAGGGCUUCAUAUGCACUUCAUAGAAUAAGACUUGGGAUUACCACAUUACUGCACAGUUGAAUCAGUCAAUGCAAAUUUUCAAGAUCGCGUGGUAUGGGUCACACUAUAAGGGAAUCUAGACCAAGUGGGUGUUUGGUAAAACUUAAUACUUAUUACUUAAUGAUUUAAGUUAACUUUAAGUUAAAUUGUUCUCAAGUCGUAAUUUAAAACUUAUUACUUAUUUUUUACUUUAACUAUUAAGAUUGUUUGAUCAAAUUUAUUUUAAAUCAUUAAAUUGACAUAUUUACCCUCAUUAGUUAUAAUUAAUACUUAUUAUUAAAAAAUUUAACUAAUAUUUAUUUUUACUAAUUUUAAGCAAUAAAUUACCAUAAAAAAUGACCUAUGAAUGCAAAGUCGUGAUUGUUAAAUAUAUUCUCAUCAGAUGUGGGCAAAUAAGAUAAAAAAAAAUUGAGAUUAAAUAUAAGUUAACUAUUUUGACUUAUUACUUAAAGUUGUUUUUAACUUUAAGUUGUAAUAUUUAGUUAUUUUAUUAAACAUGCUUAAUCUAGUUAAUAACUUUAAUUAAGUUAUUAAGUCACUUUAAGUCAUUAAGUUGAUUUGCCAAACACCCUCAAGAUGAACAGUGCUAACUUUUCCAAAAAUGUGCACUUGACUCACUUUAGCCAAGAAAACUUUCCCAUGAACUGAUCUUGUUGCCAAGAUGAAAGUCCAGCAUCCAAAUCUUAUAACAAAUUUCAAAGUUAAACUCACCCUAGACAAAUUUCAAAUUGAACUCUCCCAAUUUAAAUUUCAAGUUAAAUUCACCCAUACAAAUAUCAAAUAAAACUCCCCCACCAUGAAUUUCAACAAGAUUCUACGUCAUCUUAAACCUGACUACAAUCUGUUUCUUACAGAAAUGACUCCUUUCCAAGAACCACAAUUACACACAAUCCACCACAUAUAAUAAUGGCAACCAUCACUUUCCCCUUCCAUUUUCAAAUUCACACAGCCACUAAAUUUCUCAUGGUUUCUAAAAGCCUCUAUUAAGCUACCAAUUGACCCAAAAGUUUACUCAUGGUUGUUAAAUUGCCAAAUUACAAUCUAGAACGUUUAAUCAAACAUGUGGAAGGCAAAAUAAAAAAUAAAAAAUAAAAAAACAAGCUCACCUGAGAAGUAGCAAACUCAAUAUCCUGAACAGUGAUCGGACAAUCAGACAAAACAAAGUCGCCGGAGGGAAACCGGGCCAGCGGCUUCCGACCCAAAUCCAUGACAACUUCAAUCAACUGGUGGAGCUCCGGGUGCUCGCUUACUCUCCGACGCAUCUCCUCCGGCAACAGAGCCAAUAGGCGGUCCAAUUCAACUUCGAACUCAUCCUCCCCGGCUGAAGCGGAAGCCAAAUAACUCGAUAAUAGAGAAUUCGGAAAUUUUCUGGGAUACCCAGAAAAUUUUGCGGGGAGAAUGCGAAGAGGAGAUGAAAAUGGCGAGGAGUGGAUAGUUGGGUAGGGGAUUUUUGGGGAAAAUUUUGAAAAUGGGGUUAGGGGUUGACAUGGGAGCCGCUGCAGCCACAGAGGAGGAGGAGAGAAGCGAAGUAGAGGAAAUAUGAGCAUGUGUUUUGGCGGCUGAGAGCUCCAAGCCUCCAACUCUUUCUUCACCUCAAAAAUAAACUUGAAGGAGAAAAAUAUAAUUAGAAAUUCAAACAAAAAUAAAUAAAUUUCUGAAAAAUUUAAAAUUAAAAAAUAAAAUAAACUCAUGAAAUUCUAAAAAAUUCUUGACAAGAUAAUUAGUAUCAAAAAUCACUAAUAGUGAAUCAUAUUUACGUACCAAAUCAAAAUUAUUUUUCAAAGAGUUAUUAUUUCUUAUCAAUGACAAAUGUUAUAAUUCAAUUCAAAAAUAUAAUUAAAAUACGAAAAAGAUAACAGAAAAUAUGAAAAUUGUCAUUACAAAACUUUAUAAGAAAAUCAAAUAAUAUACUAAAAUUUUAUAACUGAUUUUCAAAUUUUAUAGACGUAAAUUAUAUAGAUAUUAAAAUUUAUUGAAUUUUUUUUUUAAAUUAUGUAAUAAAAAAUCAAGAAGGGAGAAGAGAAAUAUGGAAAAUGGGUACAUGUAUCUUUUUUUUCUCAAAUUUAUAAGUGAAAAUCAAAUAGGAAAUUAUUAGUAAUUGUAGGAAUAGAUUGAAAUUUCAAGAAAGAAGUGUUACACCAAUUGUUGAAUCAUCUCUAUGAGUACAAUAAUUUAAUUUUUUUUGGGGAGAAUUUAGAAAAAUAUAGAAAUUACUAUUUUUAACUUCUAAAAUAAAUUUUUAAAAUAUAUAAAUUUGGGUCAAGAAAAUAUGAUGAUUAUUUUAAAAGUAAAUUGUUAAUCAAAUUUAAAAUAAAUCAUCAAAGAUACUUGUAAAUUCCAAAAUUAAAAAAAAAAUUAAGACUUUAACUCAAGUCAACUUAAUAUAUAUCAUUGGUUUAUUAGCCAAUAUUGAAAAUUUUGGACAAAUUUGUAACUUAAUAUAAUUUUAUAGUAUCCUAUCUCACAAAAAUGGGUUGUGGGCUUAUAAAAUGGUCUGCACUAGGCCCAUUGUAAAUAUCCAAGGUAUGUGCUUGGGCUUGGUCUUGGUCUUGGACCUCCAUCUAAUAACAAACCCAAAGUUGGGCCUAGGAUGGCCCUUCUAGAUUUCCAAUGUUACUUUAGGCCCAUGACAUCUAAUGAUAAAACAAAGUUAUGAAUUCCCAUUGCGAGAAUUUACAUAUAUAAAAAAAUAAAAAUAUUCUUAAUUUUAAAAAAAAAUUAUAUAUAUAUAUAUAUAUAACAUUUUACCAUAGCACGAUCCAACAUCUAAACCUAAUAUCUUAAACAACAUAGAAAAUGUUUUUUUUUUCUCACAUAUUUCCCGAUAAGGUAAGUUACGUAAGCACAAAAAUGUACAUAAUCACAAUCAACCAUUUCUUAUUGUAAUUAACACAAAAGCAAAAAAAUGAGAACAAGUAAAGAUUGACUAACUGGCACGAAAAUAAUUUUCUUUCAUUGUUUCCAAAAGGAAAACAUUAUUAGUAAAGUCUUCCAAAUUUUUAGGAAAGCAAUGCUAUAUAAAUUCUUAAUUAAUUAUAUAGCCUUUUAGCGUUAUAAUCAUGUGUGCUUAUGGCAUGUGGGUGGCCAUAUAAAAUUGUUCUUGAUUUGAGAGAGGUGAAUAUAGAUGAAGUAAAGAAAGAUUUUCUUGGUUUUACUAUAGUUGAUUUGUCUUCACAAGUCAUUUUUAAUAGUCAAGCUACCUUUGAAAUUGUUAAAAAUGAGAUGAGAGAAUAUGGGGUGCUAGUUUUUUAUUGGUUCCAAAGACAAUGGAUAGGAUUUUGAAGUAAGUUAUUCCAUGGUUGAGAGGUUUGGAAUUUUUAAUAAAAUUUCCCAUGUGGGAUUUUGAAUAUUGGUUUUUGUUUGACUUGGGUUUGUUAUAAUAUCUAAUUUUAUUUAUUAUUUUAUUGUUUUAAGUUAAAGAAAAAUUAUAUCUUAAUAAAAUGAAAAAUGAAAAAUGAAAAAAAAAUAAAAAUAAAAAUAAGGAGUUAAUUUUCUUUAAGAAAAUACUACCAAAAAGAUAUUGUUCAAAAGCUUCAUGAUCCAUAUCUUGAUCGCCUUUUUCUUUUCAGUUUUUUAUUUUUAUUUUUUUUUGUAAAUACCCUAAUCAAUUUUUUAUAAUUUGGUCAUAUUUUUCAUGCUCCUAAUAACAAUUUUUUUUUAACCUUUUUACACGUAUCUAAAUGAGAUUAAAUAAUGGUAAUCAGUAAGAUGUCAAAAAGUGUUUCUCAAUACCGAGAUUGACCAUUUUUCUUAACUUAAUAAAAAUCAAUUAGGUUAACUAAUUUAUAAAAUUCAUAUACUUUGCAAUGCCUUUUGCUAAUGGGUUAAUUAAAAACAAAAAUCAUGAAGCAAAUCUUUCAUAUUGACUUAGCAAUUUUUCCAUUCUUUUUUAACAAAUAUGAAAGCAAAAUUAUUUAAUAUAUGAUAGAGAACAUACAAGAAUCGUGGAUCUUUCAACCCCUAAAACCCUAAACUCUAAUAUCAAGCACAACUAUUUGAUAUGAGAUAGUGAUACAAGAUAGAGAACAUACAUGAAUCAUAACUCUUUAACUCCUAAAACCCUAUACUCUAAUAUGAAAGCAAAAUUAUUUAAUAUGAGAUAGUGAUAGAAGAUAGAAACCAUAUAUGAAAUGUCACUCUUUUAACUCCUAAAACCCUAAACCCUGAGAUGCAAGCACAACCAUCAGAUUGGAGAUAAACCCAAAUACAUCUAUCAUCAUUUUUUCAACUCCUAAAACCCUAAAAUCCUAAACCCUAGUUAACCCAUUGUAACGAUAUUGUCCAAGCAAAGUGAAUGACAAGGCACCCAAAAGAAAGAAAAACACGUCUAGAAACAUGUGGAUUGUGAUAGUGAAAGAGAGACAUUUGGAAAGACAAAGAGCAUAAACACAACAGCUACACACAAGGCCAAUAAUAGAGCAAAAUCUUGGAAGAAUUCUAUUGCACCUUAUUGCACUGUAUUACACCUUAGGCAAGAGCAUGGGGAUCAUACAUUUUCCUAGUGUGUCAUUGUCUCCCACAGCACAUGAAAGUGACAAAGCACCUUGAUGUGAAUAUUAGUAGCUACCAUGCCCCUUUUGAAACAAUCCCUUGAGCCCUUCCCAUGUUCCAAAAGUUACAUUCUAGGCAUGCUUUUUGGAGGCUCACCAUCACACACCUUCCUCCCUCAUAACCCCACUUGCAUCCACCUCUAUCCCUCUCAUGCAUGCUUGUGAAUGAUCAAUGGAGGAGUCCAAAUAAUGUGGCUGAGUUUCUUCUUUUGAGUUUUAUUGUUGUUCACAUUGUUGGGUGGUUAGGACAAUUGGCAAAGUUUCAUAGCCAUACAUGUUACUCUAAUGAUGAUAUAUUUCAAUGAGACAAAACGUCGCAUUAAUUGCACUAUCAUCAUCAUUCUUUUAUAAUUGCGUGAGAAGUUGCUCAAUAAGUUAGACAAAUUAAUCAAGUGAGAACACGUUAAUCUUGCUAAGUUGUGAAAACGAGAAGACAAACCAAAUUAUAUUUUCAAUCAUUAUUGCCCCCAACAACUAUAUAAGACCCUUUUUCAUGUCAACAUGAUGAAAUAUAAGUUAUUAUUGGAGAGUACUAUAAUUUGAUGAGACACCCGUCAAUUAAUGAACAUAUCAUAUAAAUAUUGUCGAACUAAUAGAAGAAAGCUCUAGAGGAAGAAACUUUAAAAUUUUCCUUUUUCUACCAAACCAUUGAUGAUGUAUAUAGAAAGGAAAUUUACACAAAAAGCAUAAAAAAUGAUACUCAUGUGAAAUUAAUCAAUAUUAUCAUACUUUGAAAUAGUGAUCCAUCAAUGUGAAACUUUGAAUAUUGAAAAACCCUAUGAUGCCUUCAUGGUUUCAUAUUCACACUCAAUUUCAAGAUUCUCAACAAUAUACCAAUAUUUCAAAGCCGGGUUUGAAUGAUGGAGUAAGCAACGAAUCUUAGAAUGUUACCACUUUUAUAUGGGUCCCAAAGGCAUUGAAUGAAAAUGAUAGCCAUGGCUCCAAAGAAGAACCAUAAAAUGACCCUUGAAUUUUACCAUCUUCUACUUAAGAUUUUCUUAAUCACAACCUUUAUGCCUACAACAUGAAAAGCUUUUUAUAUCAUACUUCUAAUUUACAAAAAAAAAAAGGUAAUUAAUUAUGUAACCUAACAUGAGUAAAUGGUUUAAAAAAGAAAAUACUAGUUGCACCCUAAAUUUUACCACCUUAUAGAAUAAUAGGUGACCUUUGGAUAGGUACAAACUUUUGCAUUACCAUCCUUUACCCACCUUUUCACAUCUAAUAAUUGUAUAUUAUGUAUAUAUGUAUAUGGUAAAAAUUUGGUAUCAUAUAAGCAUUCCCUUCUUAGUUGAACCCUUUUCUUGUUUUUGUAGAAAAAAAAAGGAGUAAAUUAUAAAAAAUAAAUGAUUGAAAAAAUGAAAAAAUAAUUAGUUCUACUACUAAUUUUAGCAUUAUUUUUACUAAGAUAAAUUAUAAAAAUCACCCUUGUAUUUUUACCUAUUUUUUAAUUUAGUUCCUAAUUAUUUUUGGAAGUAAUGUCAUCUUUAUACUAUGUCUAAAUGUCUAAAUGUCAAAUAGGUCAUUUGUAAGACUUAAGAUUUUCUAUAUAUAUAUAAAAUAAUAAAAUUAAAAAAAGAAAAAGAAAAGAAGAGAAAUUCAUGUGAUAAAUAUGUAGAUAAAUUGAUCACACCCAAAUAUAUCAUAUAAAAGCUAUAAAGGUGAUUUUGGUAAUUUACCCUUUUUAUUCUUUUGUAAAGUGACAUAUCAAUAUAUCAUUGAAUAGGAGAUGGCUUUUUCAUUAUUGCAUUUCCGACCACUUUUUUCACAUUAUUUAUAAGUGAAGCCUUUGGAAAAAUGUAUAUCAUUUUAGAGAUGCAGAGACAAGACAGACAUGGUACAAAGGAGAAGUUAUUAUUGCAAAGUGAAUGAAAAUAAAGUUUACCGCAAAGUUUGUUAGGCAUAAAAAUUGAAGUAAAUAAUGGAGAAAUUGUAGAGUUUUGUUUGCAUUAAUAGUUUGGUGGGAUGUUGAAUGUGUAAAGGAAAAAUCUAAGAUAUUGAAACCAUACCCACCAAAAUUCAAAUGUAGUUUGUUCAAAGUAUACGAUAAAAUUUAAAUUACUAAAUGAAAGUGUAAACGUAGAUUAGGAUAUAAACAAAUGCAAUGAAAAUAUAAAAAAAAAAAAAAUUGAAAUCAUCCUUUAAAGUAACACAAUCACAUAAGGUUUGGAUACAAAUAAAUAAGACUCAAAUUAUAGAUAUGACACCAUAUGAUUGGUCAUACUUUUCGAUAAGUGCUGAAUUUGUACUAGAACCGACCUAUCUAUAAAAUGUACUAGAAAUAAAGUAGUGGAAUAAGAUAAAGUGUACAAAGAAAUGAAACUCAGGUAUAAAGCAAUGAAACCUAAAUUACAAACAUAAUAUCACCUAAUUAGUGGUAAUUUUUUACAGCUUUCCAAUUUGUACUAAAGAUGAUGAAAUCUCUACGAGAAUAAAAUGUAGGUUUUUGCUAUAUGCAAAGGCUAAAAUGAAAGCUAGUAGUGUUCUCGUCCUUUUUCUUGCCUUUGCAAGAGGGAAUUGGGAAUCUUUUAUAGGCUUUCUUCCUCACGAGUCUUUUGGAGUUUUGUGGUAAAUCCUUUUUAGAAGUUUCAAUAAUUUUUUGAUGGGCUCAUGAUAUGCAUCAAAUAUCAAGUGCUUUAUUGAUGCUGGAUGAGUCACAAUGUCUCUUUUGUAUGGAAUCCUGAUGGGUAGCUCAGUUGAUCCGAUCUUGGAUUUACUUUCUAAUGGUCACCGGUUUGAGUCCCCUCAGGACCAUUGGAUAUAUACCAGACCCCCAUAAGAUUAGUCGAGGUGCGAGUAAGUAGGUCCGGACAUCCACAAUUAUCAAAAAAAAAAAAAAAAUGACUCUUUUGUAUGGGGGUGUUAACUAAAUUAUACAAAGAGGUGAUGGUCCUUUCUAGGGGUAUAAUCUCCCUUAUUGUCCUUAUAUGUACUAGAUUCGACUCAUUUAUGAAAUGUAUUAGAAAUAAAAUAGUAGGCUAUAAGAUAUAAAAAGUAAUAAAUUCGGAUAUAAAGUAAUAAAACCUGAGUUAUACAUAUGACACCACCUAAUUUAUUAUAGGAUGGAAUGUGUAGUGUAGUCCACCCAUCAAUAAAAUGUAUGAGUGAAAAUGGUGGGUAGUAAUGAGGGGGGUCUUUGUUUCUUGGAUCAUGAGCCUGGUAGCAGGGGGACAAUUGAGUUCUGGGGUCCCAGGGCUCUUUCACAGUCUCUCAAUGUGUCCUUCUACUUUCUGAUUCUUUACAUACAAUACUACUAAACUUUGGCCAUGUUCAUGUGCUGUUCCCUAGGCUUCCUCUCUAUUCAAUCGUACCCCUAACCCUUCCUUGUCAGAUUCAUUAAAGACACAUGCAUGUUUCUCAAACUUAUGCAACUCUGAUCAUGAUUUCAAUCUAUUUUUCCUUCUUUUUUUUUUAUUAUUGAAGUUUUUUAGGGGCUAAUUUUCAAUAAGUGACAAAUACAUUAUAUCCAUUGUUGGCACAUCACUUGUUACCAUAAAUUCUAGGGUUAAUCAUGGUAUUAGAAUCUUAAUUGAUUGUUAAGGAGCAAAAUAUUUUCAAAGUGCAAUUUAUACUCCUAAAUCAAUUAAUUUAUUUUUUCUAGUAACUCCAAAAUUCAAUUUAAUUAAAUGAAUUUCAAUCAUAUAAAAUUUAUUUAUUUAUUAAGAUUAAAAAAUUAGACUUUAUCGUUCUAACCGAACUACACUAACAUUGAGUCGAGUUAAAGUAAAUCCAAAAGAUAAAUGGAAAAUAAUUUCUCUCGUUAAUUUUUUUACUCAUUUAACCCAAAUUACAAAAUUUCAACUCAAAUAAAUUGAUACAAUUCCUUUUAUUAACUAAAUAUAAUCAAGAAGCUAUAUUGAGAACUUGAAAACUUGAAAUAAAAACUGACUUUAACUCCUCAAAAAUGAUAAUGGGAAAAAAGUUAACCAUUAGAGAUGAAAAUGUGACGAAUUUAUGAUUGAUCACCCUCUUUCUAACCUUAUCCUGUUUAUAUAAAUCUAUUAUCAAUCACAUCCCAAUAAAAAAUCUAAACUCUUUGCACCUCCUUUAAUUUAUUUUAUUUCAUUUAAUUUUUUUUAUAAAAAAAUAAAUUUCAAUUACAUUAAAAAUAAAUAUAUUUUAUAUAUAAAUAAAUAUUAUAAUUUUUCAUAAUUAUUUUUUUAGAACAAGCUUUUGUAUUAUUUUAUGUGUAAAAAUUUUUAAUUUUAUGUAUAUAAUUAGGAUGAGGUACAGUGGAGUAAGAGAAUAUUUUAACAUGUUUCAAAUCUAUCUUGGGUUUAAAAAGUCAUAUUCAUUUAUUUUAAUGCAAAAUUCUUCUUCUCAGGAACAAACAAAUACCUACAAAAACCCGCCACAUGACAGUACUCCACCCGAAACCAUAGAUUAGUAAAAUGGUGAGCAUAACUAUUAAUGUUGAGACACAAGCAAUUAAUAUUUGGAACAACUUGCAAAAUUUGACAGCCCAAUUUAAGAGCUUUACAGAAGUGCACAAAGCCCUUUGUUGUGCUAUAAAGGCAUCAGUCUUUAAUGAAAUCAGGUGUCUCAAAUAACCUACACCUAAUUCACUACCCUACUUUAACCUAAUUUAUUUAUUUGUAUCAAAUUCUUAAAUUUUUGUUAAUUACAGGAUAAUAUACGAAGCUAAAAUUAUAAUUAUUAAAUAAUAAUAUUAACAUUGUAAAAUUUUCAUUAAAUAUGAAGAUAACAUCUUAAAUAAAUUUUUAUUUUUAACUUAAUUAGAACCCAAAAAUAAAGUAAAAGUCAUAAUUUUAAAAUAACAAUGGGUCAUGGGUGUUGUAAAAGUUUUACUAGAUAUGAAGGUUUUGAUAGUUUUUUUUUUUUUAUAGUUAAAGUCAAAAUUAUAAUUUAAAAAAAAUAAUAUUGAUAUUGUAAAAAUUUUAUUAAAUACCAAAAUAAAGAAUUUUUUUUCUUUAUUUGUUUAUUAAAAUCUUUUUUUAUCUCGUAACCUUUUUAAAUAAAAUUAGUUGAAUAAUCAUAGAAGCUCUUAUCAAGUGUAAAAAGAGCUAUUGAUUUUUUAAAAAUUGAUGCAAAUUUGGCAAAAUAAUUCUUAUAUAAGUUGAAAUCAAUUUUUAAAAAAAGUAACAUUUUCUUAUUAAGUCAAAAAACGAAAAUUUUUAUUGAGUUUAAAAAAAGGACCUUUUGGUUUUUGAGAAGUUAAUUCAAAUCAAACCAAAAAUGUUUUAUGCAUAAACUAAAUUGGGGUUUACAUAAAAAAAAAAAUUUUUUUUUUGCUUUUAUAUUAUUAUUUUUAGGAUCAUAAGCUCUUUAAAAAGAUUAUUCAAUAAGUUGAUUAUUAAAAAAAAAAACUUAAAAUUAUUGGGUUUCAUACAUAUAUAUAUGAAUAAUUUAGUAAUUAAAAAAGAUUUUGCCUUAUAUUUCAUAAUAUUUUUAUAAAAUUAAAAUUAUUCAUACAUUGAACAUCCCAUGAGGGCAUCAAACAAAUCCAAUUUUUUUUUUUUUUCACAACCAAAAUGGGACAUUUUCAAGCGGGCCUUUCUUCACAUGCCCUUCAAAAAGCCAAUAAUAUGAGUAUGAGAUUCCAUUUUUUUUAACCUUUCAACCUCUACCAAUUUUUUUUUUAAUUAAAAUAUAAGUAUGAAAUUACAUUGAUAAUCUUUCUUUCUUUCUUUUUUCUUUCUUCCCUUUAUCUACCCCAAUCCAAAAACACUAACCCUAGUCCCACCUUUUUCCUCCUAUUCUCCACAUUAAUUUAUUUUCCUUUCCAUUGAUCAUAUCUUCUCUCUCUCUCUCUCUCUCUCUCUCUCUCUCUCUAGUGCGGGGUUUUUGAUUGAACUUCCUAAGAGCAACUUAUGUGUGGGGUUGCUCCCAUUUGAUGACCCACCCACCAAACUCUACCGCCCACAUGGCACCAACCCAUCUACCAAAAAGUUCCAUUCAUGGAUAUAUGAAUUAAGACCGUAUUAAGUUACCCCCUCAAAUAAACAAACCCAAUUGAUAAAAAAUUAAAUUAAAUUAAAGAAAAAAAACACACACGCACACACACGCAAAAACAUUGGACAUUGGAACAAUACCCUCAAAUAAUACAACUGUGGCACCCUAUGUCUGCAACCUACUCUCUCUCUCUCUCUCUCUCUCUCCCUCUCUCUUUCUCUUCUUUUUCUCUCUGGCAUUGGAAAAGGACCAGACGGAUGGCAGAGUCACACAAAACUCCACCCUUUUGUUCAGAACCCACAUAGGAUAACAAAAGAGAGAGGCAUAUAUAUAUAUAUAUGAUGAAAUCUCCACAUGGGUAUACAUAUGCCGCAUGCCCAAAGGGCCACGCCCUAAUUCUUCUAUACGGCACCCUCCAUUUUGUAUUCCAUAUUCCGUAUUCUAAGUCUCUUCCCCAUUCAGGUGGGUGUCCAAUUUAAGGAAGCAUGCCACCACUUUUCACUUUGAUUUUGAUAAUGUUAUUCUUAUCUUGUGUGUUCUACUGAGGAUUAAUUAUUCCAAAGAUUUUCCCUUUUUUCUUUCCUUUUCGUGGGUUGUUUUCUUCUCAUUGGGAAGGGUGAUAAUGAUAAUGAUGAAGUUUUGUUUAUGUUUGUGGGGAUUAAAGUGGUGGGAGGGUGUUAGAUUCCUGUGAUAACUGUAAAGACUGAAUCAAUAAUGUUGUGUUGGGGCAGGAUUGAAUGAUUAAGACCCAUGUUGUGGGGUUGGACAUAAAUUAUUUGGGAAAAAAGAGAUACAAGAUGAUUAGGGUCUCUUUGCUACCAAAAAGCAGACAACAACAAGCUAUUAGUCCUUUUUAGGAAAGCAUUGAUUGAAUCUCAAUAAUGAAUUUUAGGUUUUAUUGAAGCUAUUAGCCUUUUUUAGGAAAGCACCCUUGAAUCCCAAUUAUGAAUUUUAGGUUUUAUUAAGUUUUGAGUAAAAAUGAUUUCUUUAAAACAAAAUUUUCAUAAAACAAUUUUAUUUUUAAAAUAAUUUUCAAAUUAGCGCAUCUUAUUCAAAUUAGCAUCCACAGUUAGCAAUUAUGGUUUUAAAUUUUUUAACUUAGUUGAUGAUUUAAGUUUAAAAUGAUUUGUUUUAUGUUUAAUUUUUUUUUUAAAUUGUAGUUAUUAAUUCGGAUUUUGUGACUAAAAAAAAUCUCAAGCCAGAUGAAUGUCCAAAUGGUUAAGAAGCAUUAGUUUAAAAUUAUUUCAGUAGGAAGUUCAGUUUGUGGAUUUUUUUAUUCAAAUAUAUUAUUUUUGCUCAAAAAAUCGAUUUUAUUUGGAUGUGGUAUAGUUUGGGAGAAAAGAGGAGGGGUAAAAAUAGAAAAUAAGUUUAAAAGUUAAUAAUUUUUUAUUCUACAUUUUUUGUUUUUCUAUGAUUCAAUCAUAUUUUAUUUCAAUUCAUAUUUUUUUUAUUGUAUUCCAAAUAAGAAAAUUUAGAUUUUGUUGGGUAUAUUUUUUAGUUUUUUGCUUUUCGAAUUAAAGGUUUUUAUAUAAAAAAAUGGAAAAUCUUACAUAAGAAAUAUGAAGUUAUCUUAUAUUCUUGAAAAUUACUUUGGAAAUUUUUAAAAUUUAAGAUAAUAAAAUAUUUUUAAUACUUUAAAAAAAAUUAAGGUCUUUACAAACUCUUCUCAUUUUAAAGUAAGUCUUUUAAAAAUUGUAUAUUUUAUAUAAAAUUCCUAUUAUUUUUUAUUUUAAAAAAAUAUCAAAAAGAAAACACCAUAUGAUCAUACUUUGUCAUAUUUUUACUCAAUUGUUAGAUACCAUGAAUUGAUUGGAUUAAUAAAAGAAAAACUUUAAUUUUCUUUUAAAAAAAUAUUAUUUCUUAAUUUUGAAAAAGGGAAAUUCAAGAAAGCUUGUGGGCAGGCACAACCAUCCCAAUCAAGUCCACAAGUGAGUUGCCUCUAGCCUUUCAAUUGAAAGCUAGAUGAUACCCAAAGCUGUCCAUUGGUUGUUCCUCAACUAGCAAAAAAAAAAAAAAAAAAAAAUUCAGCACAAUUUUCAGAUGAUGAGAUGCACAUAUUGCUUUCCUAGUAGGGCUGCAGGGCCUCUCCAAUGGAACCCAUGCUGGGACACUUGGAGACACCAGGACCAAAAUCAAAGGGGUGUCCCCAAAAAGCUAUAAAGUGAAAGUGGUAGUGCCCUUAUUCCAAAUAUGUGUGCACAUAUAUUAUAUAUAUAUAAUGAAGAAACACUUGAACCAAUUUUGUGGGGUACAAAUCCACAAUGGACCCUUAAAAGUGGAACUAUGUAUGGUCUAAUCACCCCAAUUUCUUGUACUAUUGACCCAAUUGAUGGGAUCUAUAUUGAUUUUUAGUUGUAAAGGCAAAGGUUACUUCACCUGAAUUCUUCCAACCAACCUCCUUUCUGUCUCAUGUAACUUUCACCAAAACCCUUUAACGGAGAUGAUGUUGAGAAGUUAUAUAAAUUACAUUCGGGAGGGAGAGAGAGAGAGAGAGAGAGAUUUAUGAUAUGCCCCUUUGAUGGAGAAGUUAUAUAAAUCACAUUCGCGAGAGAGAGAAAGAGAGAGAGAGAGAGAUUUAUGCUAUGCCCAAGAGAAGUAAAUAAAAUUAAAAGCCAAAAGAAAAAUAAUUAAACCCAACAAAGAACUUGUUUUUUUUUUUAAUGGAAAAUUAGACAUUUUAUAACUAUUUUUGAAAAUAAUUUUUUAUUUUUUAAAACAAAAAAUAGAAAUAUAUUUUACAAUUAAAAAAUUAUUUUCUAUUUUCUAUUAUUAAAAGCAAAAAUAUGAUGUCUUAAAAAAUUAUUUAUACUUAUUUCUUAAGAAUUAUUUAAAAAAAUAAUUAUAUAAAUAUGAAGAAUAAUUAAAAAUAAGGUAUUAAAUAUAAAAAUUAUUUUUAAAAUAUAUUUAAAAACAUUAAAAACAUUUAAAGUUUUAAACAAAUUUUUAUUUAACAAAACAUUAGAUAAUAGUUUUUAAAAAUUAUUUUUAAAACCGUUAUCAAAUAGUUUCGUAGUUUAUUUGAUAUGGGCGACCAAGACUAUGAUUAGAAAAUGAAAACAUUCGACAAAUAAAAAUAUAUAUUUACUUACUUAAUUUCAAAAUUUUUAAUGUACACUAAUAUUUAAUUUAUUUUCAUUCCACCCCCUCCCCCUUCCCAAUUUGCCGGCUCUUUCUCUUCCUUCCUCUCAUAGGAAAUUCAAACCCAAAUAUAAUAUUUCAUUUGAAACUCACAAAAAAAAUCCAAUAAUUGACAAGAAUAUAAUUGUGUCUCUAUCCCCUCACCCAAGCACCAUUUUAUUAAUUGCCAUUUUAGUCAUGAUUAACACUUAAAAGUCAAUUUUAAUAAUUUCUACUCAUUCUAAACUACCUUAAAUUAAUUGCUUAAUGAUUAUGUAAGUGUGACAUAAAUUGCUUACGAAAUACAUAAGUUUGUUGAUUUUAUUUUUCAAUCAUGUUAAUAUUAUAAAGUAGAUAUUAAUUUUUUAUUUCUUAAAAAAGUUUAAAAAAUGAAUUAUAUAUAUAAUUACUUUUAUUAAAAUAAUUGCCUUGGUGCAUAAUACAAAGUAUCACCUAAAAAAAUUAUAAUAUUGUUAUAAUUAUAUUAUUUUUAUAUCGUAAACCAAGAAGUGUGACUGACACAUGGUUUGUAUCCCAUGAAGAGUUGCACCACAAAUAAAAAAUCCAUAUAAAAAAAAUAAUAGAAAAAAUCCAAUCAUAAAAAGUUAAAAAGUUGCAAGAGAUGGUGACUUUUUUAGCAUAAUUGCAAUAGUAUAUCAUAACAUAUGUAUUUUUUUUAUUAUCAAAUUAAUAAUAUAUAUAAAGCAAGGGAUCAAAUCAUACAAUAUAUAAAUAUAAAAUAUAAAAUAUAAAAUAUAGGAAAAUAAUUGUACGGAUGAAUGUAUAUAAAAUAAUCAUAUCUGACAUAAUAGAAACAAAUAAAUAAAUAAUGUUGAGUGGGAUAAGACAAUCAAAAUCUUCUCUUGUUUCUUUCAUUGGUCUCUAUCUUAUGGUUUCCCAAUAUUUAAUAAAUCAAAAGCUUCUAUCACAUUGGGUGCCAUUUUCCACAUAGCUCCAAUCACUAUAAGGGUUGAAUGAUUUUUUAUUUUUUAUUUUUGUAACUAUAUUAUUAAUUUUUUGUAUUUGGAGAAUAAGACGUGAUUUUGUAAAUUAGACCAUGUUUCACGAGUGUUAGACUUGAAAACCUAGUUUUAUCUUUGGAUUAUAUUUCUUAUUUCUUUAUUUUUAACUUUUAAAAGUAAAAACAAUUAUAAAAAAAUAUAAAAUAGAAAUUUACCUUAUACUUUUAAGGUGAAGUAUGAUUAAAGUAAUUUUGAAACAAUAAUUUGGUGGAUGAUUCUUCAAAUAAUCAUUUUUUCACUAUAAUUAUGAUGUCUUAUAUCAGAUACGAGAGAAAUUUUCUGACAUUAUAUAAGUAUGGACACCUUUCAAUCAUGUAGAUGUGUUUUAAAACCGUGAAAACCCUUUUAUAUUCGGAGUGAAUAAUAUCUACAUAAUUUGGUAUAAAUUUUUACAAAAUGAUAUAAAAAUUUAUUUUUAUCCUCAGUGUGAGGGUUUGUUUGAUUUCAUAUGAAAUGUUUGUCUAUUUAAUAACGUUAUCCCAUGAGACACAAUAAGAAUAUUAUAGGUGUUUGUGAUGUCCCACAUUAGAUAGAGGAUAAAGUUUCUGACCCCCAUAGAGGUGUUUGUCUAUUUAAUCCUACAAUCCUAUGGGAUACAAUGAAGACACGAUGAAAACAUUGUAUUUAUAUGAGAAGUGUUUGUGAUAUCCCACAUUGAAUAGAAGAAAAAGUUUCUAACCCCCAUAGCGAAUGUUUGCCUAUUUGACCUUGUAAUCCCUUAAGACACAACGAGGAUGUUGUGUCUAUAUGGGAAGUGUUUGUGAUGUCCCACAUCGGAUAAGGGAAAAAAUUUAUAACGCUACAUAAAUAUGAACUCCUCUUAACCAUGUAGAUGAUACCAAGGAUAAGGAUAAAUUUUUAUAUCAUUUUGUAAAAAUUUAUACCCAAUUGUGUAAAUAUUAUUCACUUUGAGCAUAAAAGGGUUUUCACAGUUUUAAAAUACAUCUACAUGAUUGAAAGGUGUCCAUACUUAUAUAAUGUCAGAAAUUUUCUCUCGUAUCCAAUAUAAGACAUCACAAUUAUAGUGAAAAAAUGAUUAUUUGAAGAAUCAUCCACCAAAUUAUUGUUUCAAAAUUAUUUUAAUCAUACUUCACCUUAAAAGUAUAAGGUAAAUUUCUAUUUUAUAUUUUUUUUAUAAUUAUUUUUACUUUUAAAAGUUAAAAAUAAAGAAAUAAGAAAUAUAAUCUAAAGAUAACCUUCUCUUUGAACCUAUAUUGGACAAUAUCUACACAGUUUUUUAUAAUGUUUUUAAAAAUAUUUUUAACAUAAAUAAUGUUUUCGAAGAAAAAUUCAAUGUUUGGUAAACUUUAGAAAAGUAAAAAAUUUAAAUAAAUAAAUAAUAAAAUAAAAUAUCUUAUAAUACUUCUUGAAGAAGCACUUGAUGGAUGCUUCUUCUAAACAUGUUUUCUAGGAAAUAUUUCGAAUAAAAACAUUAUUAAAAACACUUAAACUUUUAGUAUUAUUUAGAAGUAAUUCUUGUAAAAAUAUUUUUAAUCUUUAUUAUUUUUAUUGAGAAUCAGUAAUGUGUUUAGAUAAAAAUAAGAAAUAUUUAAUUUUAUAAAAAAAAUCUUAUAAUAUUUAAAAAAAUAUUUUUGAACUUUCUUAAAUAAUUUCCAAAUAAACGAUAAUUAUAAUUGAAAUUAACUUGUUUCAAUUUUUUUUUUCUUCACAUAGUAAUACAACUAUAAUUCCUGAUAAAGAUAUUUUUUAAAAUUGCGUUGAUUUAUGAAAUUUAAAUAAUUAGAAAGUCUACAAAGAUUUAAAAUUAUAAAAUUAUAAUUUAUAAAAAAUUAUAACAUGAAGGUGUCAUAGCUUCCACAUCAAUUGCAGUCGAGGACUCAAGAAAAUAAAAAAAAAUGUGGGGCACAGUGGGCAAGAGGCCGAGGGCAUUUUGGUAAUCUAGGAGGUGAAGAUGCCCAAGUGGACAUUGAGUCGCUUUCCCAACGAUAACUAAUCAUACUGGUGGGGCAAAGGAGGGUUAUGAAAAGGGGCGUGUGGGUAGGAGAUAUUUACAAAAAUGGCGUAACAAGGACAUGAGUGACAGGUGUCAACCACUUACCUGUCUGAGUUGCCUUCACCUUAGAACAUGCCCCACAUCAAAUUAUUUAAAUAAUGAUAAAAUAUAUAUAAUUAAGAUAUAAAAAUAUUUUUUUUAAAUUAUUAUUAAUAAUAUGACUAAAAUACAAAACUUGGAUACAUAAUUCUUUAGUUAAUCUUUUUAUUCUUAUUUUUUACUUUAUUUUAUGAGUUUGGAAAUGUUUUUAUUUGCAAUGUUUGUGAUGAAAGUGUUUUUUUAGAAAAUAUUUAUAGAAGAAUCAUUUAUUCGAUGUUUUUCCAAAAACUAUUACAAGUGAUUUUUAAAACAUUAUAAACAAAUUUUUAAAUUUUUAAAAAUAUUUCUUAAAUUUUAUCAAACACUUAAAACCCGUUUAACUGUAAUUUUAAAAAAUGUUUCCAAUAUUUUUAACACUUUAAAUUUUUUAUGAUUUAAGUAUUAAAAAUAUUAUAAACAUUUUCUAUAAUCAAAGUCAAAUACAUUUUUAAUGAUUUUUUAAAAAAUAUUUCUUAAAAUCAUUACAUUACGGAUUCAAAAUCCCAAACUUUCUCUAAAUCCUAUUAAACCUCCCCAAAUUCAUUUUAGGAAGGGUAAGAUAGAUCUUCAAAAAUAUUUACCACAUAACCAUCGGGAAAACAUUUUAAAAAAUUUAAUUAUUUUCCCCACCAAUAUUAUUUCAAAAUUCAUUUUAAUUAUAAAAAUAAUCUAAGAUUAUAGUUAAUUCUAUGGUAUUGUUUUGAAUACAACAUGCUUGCUUAUUUUUAGAAGCCUAAGCCUAAGCUUACCUAUUAAGGGUAAGGAUUUUUAAAAAGAAAAAGAAUCCAAGCUUGGAUUUUAUAUUUUCUCAAAAAAAAAAAAAAAAAUCACUUAUAGUGCAGUACUUUUCAUAUCUGCAAUUUUUUUUUUUCAAAACCUAUAUGUGGUCCUUAGACUAAAAUUUUCUUUUCUUCAUGCACAAGAAAAGUCUCUUUGAAUUUGGAGUAAUAAGAAGGAAAUUUUUAUUUUUUAUUCUUAUAUUAUCAUUUAAUAAUUUUAUUUAAUUCAAAUUCCUUUUUUAUUUCAUUUUUAACACAUUAUCAUUUAACAACUUUUUAAUACAUUUAGUUAAUUCAAAUUUGUACUUUUUCUUUUUUGGAAAUUAUCUUUUAACAAACUAAAUGGGAAAACUGAAGUUGAAUAUCACCUUGUAUCCAAGAUUAAAAAUGAAAAAAAAAAAAAAAAUCUCUCAACUUUGUGAGAUAUCGAGACUCAAAUUAUCACAAGAGCAUUGUUUUAAAUCAUAUAUGUAAAAAAAAAUAUAUAUUAAAAUGCAUGGUCAAUAUUUCAAAAUAAUGUCCAUUUCCUAAUUCUAUAUUUUAAUUAGUUUUUGAUGUGUAACAAGUUAAUUAAAUUUUUAAUACGAUUAUUUUUGUUAACAAAGGGGGAGAAAUUAUAAGCAUAUAUUAAAUAAGGGUGAUAAUUUGUGUUGGUGGAUCGUGUUCAUAUCAUGUUAAAACCUUGAAAUUCUAUUACAUAACUCAAUCAAAACCUAACAUAAAUGUUACUUGUGUCAGAAACAUAAAUUCAAAUGCUACUAAUUAUUAAACAUGUAAAACGCCCUGUAACCCAUUUAACCUAUUUAAUAAUCAAAUCUUCUUAUUUAAUCAUUAAUUUUUAUAUAUGAUUAUAUUGUUAAUGUCUCGACCAAAAUAUUUGUGAUUCAAUUUACCUAUUCAUUUGAAAACAAAUAUAAAAUAAGUUAAAUAUGGGUUAAAUAGUUUAAGAUAUAGUUACAUUAAUAGUGAGAUUACUAAAUGAGUUAAUUUAAGUCAAAUUCCUGUUAUACAAACAAACCCAAAAAUCAUCUAUUUAUUAAAUAAGUUAUACAAGUCGAUAAGAAUUUAACUUAAAUUCAUUUAUAUUUAACCCUAACCCAUGAAGAAUGUGUUGAGUUCGUGUCAUGUUAACGAAUUAUAUCAAACUUUGUUAGCCCUAACAUUAAGUGUCUUUUGGAGUUGGAAAGCUUCAAAAAAAGGCAAGAGAGAAAGAAAAUAAAGACUUAAAUUUAAUAAAUUUUUGUUACAUGUUUUUUCAAAACUAUACAUUCCAUCAUUUCUUUUCUACAUAAAGGAUGAAAAUUUUGAAAAUACAUAAAUUUUUAAUAAUUUUUAUUAUGUUUUAUUAUUUUCAUAACUUCUAAAAAUAAAUCAAUAAAAAAAAGUUGAAUUUAUUUGGAUUUUUUUAAUUUCAUCUUAUUUUCUAUCAUUUAAAUAGAAUAUAAGAUUUCAUUUAAAUUUAAUAUUUUCCAUCACCUUUUCAUUUCUUCUCUUUUAUUUUUCUCCUACUUUCCCUGAUUUUGAAUUAGGGUCCUUGAAUCAUUAGGGUAAAAGUAAAAGCUCUCAACUCAUAGGCUUUGUCCCAACAAAUGGAUUAAUUCAUGAUUAAGAAGCUCAACUUGACCCAAAAAAAAAAAAAAAAUCAUACUAUUUUGUAUAUCUUGAAAAAUUUGAGAAUUAAGGAUAUAGAAAAUGGAAAAUAAAAAUAAAGGAAAAAAAAAAUGUGAAAAGAACACAUUCAUUGAUUUCACAUUUUUCCACUCCACAAAAAUGGAAGUUUUAGUUGGCAAAUUUUUUUUUUUUUUUGAAUCAUUGGAAAAAAAAAAAGAAGAAGAGAAGGCAUGACAUUUUCUAAUAAGUGUGAUGAAUGGGAUGACUAAAUGAGCUAACUUGAUAAAGGUUUUGAAUUAAAUCAUUAGAGUCAAAAGAAAAUUUUCUCAUCGUGUACUUUCUCUUACUUUCUCACAAGAGAAAGCGUGAUGAAUGGAUGACUAAAGGAGCUCAACUUGAUAAAAGUUUUGAAUUAAAUCAUUAAGGUCAAAAGAAAAUUUUCCAAUCAUGUACUUUCUCACAAGAUAAAAUUUAUUUGGCUAUUCUUUUAUCAUGAGAAUGGUCCCUUUUUUUUUUUUCCCCAAUCAUUUAGUUUAGAUUUAAUUAUGAACAUAAAUAACUUAAAAUUUAAAGUUUAUAAUAUGAUAUUAAAGAUAUGUUAUUUUCUUUUCCCCAAUAUUAAUGUUAAUUCUAUCUUAUUUAUGACUUGAUCGGUUUUAUAAAUUAUAUAUUUAAACAACUUAUAAUUUAAAAAGAAAUUUGAUAUUGAAUGCCUGAAAAUAUUACUUUUUAAUGAAAUUUUAUUUUAAGACCCGUAAAAAACUAUUUCAUAUUAUAUGAAACUUUUGUAAUGAUAGUACCGUCUUUUGAAAAUUGUGGGUUUAGUUCGACAUUAACUUCUAGAUAAAGUACAAAGACUAUAUAGUAAAUAGAAGACAAAAUCUUCAAUAUAUUUUUGAAUAAUUCUUUUAAAAAACAAAAACUUUUAAUUUAAGAAAUAGCUUAAUAUGACAAACAUAACAAUAUUCAUUUUUCAAAUAUUUUUUUAAUACUUAAAGUUAUUUCAAGAAUAAUUAAAUUAUUUCUUAUUAAAUUAAAUUUUUAUUGCAUCAAGAUUGAUCCUUAAAAUUAUGACAUACAAAGGUGAAAUAAAAAAUAAAAAAUCAUGUAAACCCAACCCUUAUAAUUUUUUUUUUUAAUAAUAUUUAGCAUUAUAAAUAAUCAUAAAUCCAAAUUUAAGUUGUGAAUUUAUGUCAUGGAUUUAAAUUCAUAAAUUUAUAUAACUCAUUUGGGUAAAUUUAGAGUUAUUUCCUCAAAAAGAUCCUUUUAAUUUGAUUUUUAUUUUUAUUUUUAAUUUUUUUUAUAUUUUUUUGUGAUUAAUAAAAAAAACAUAUAUAAUGUAAACCUAAAAGCAUGCUCUCUUAUUGGGUAUUGCUUUGGAUCUCAAUUUAAAUUUUAAUUGCCAAAUAAAACUAAUUAUGAAAAUAUUAUUUUUCUUAAUAUUUUUUUCUUUUGGUUAUGUUUACUUUCUAGAAAAUUUGAGAAAAUGUAAAUAAAAAGGAAAAAUAAAAAGAAAGAAAAAUAAAAAUUAAAUUUAAAAUUAUUAAAUUAUUUUUAAAUACUUCUUUAAACUCAUUUAACUUAUUUUUCUUUAUUAUGUAAAAAUUAAAUAAUUUUAAAAUAUAUAAAUUUUUAAUUAUAUUUAAUUUCCUUUCAUAUUUUCUAAAUCAAAUUAAAUACGAAAAACUAAUGUUUAAUAUUUUUUUUUCUUUUUUUAAUACUUUCCUAAAGCCAAAUUUUAAAACCAAACAUAACCCUAAUGUUUAAAGGUAACCUUAAUUAUCAAAUCAAAAGUCGAAGUAAACACAGACUUAAAACUAUCCCAAGAAGAAGGGACUUGGAAUUCGAUCUAACCCACUUAAAAAAAUCUUCAAUGAAUGCCAAUAAUCAUAAAUUGGAAAUCAAUACUAAAAGGGGCUGUUUGGGGACAGAGAAACCUAGAAAUAUGAUAGGAAUUCUUACAUUAAUAUCACAUGUCUCUGAUAAAGAUUUUAUCACCAAAAAGUGGCAACAAAAUAAAGUAGAAUGGAUGUUUAAGGAUUGGAUUAGCCAUUAUAGAAUUUACUGAGCUUUUACAAACAUGUGGGACACAAACCAUUUAUUACAAAAUACAGGGGCCACCCAUGAAGAGAUUGCCUUGACCAAGGACACCAAAUUAAAAAAAUAAUAAUAAUAAUUAAAAAAAAGGGGGAAAAAAGAAAAGAAAAGAAAAGAAGACAGGGCCUUGAGAUGCUAUGUACAGUAAUCAAAGAAGGCAGAAAAAGGUGGGUUGGGAGAUGGAAAAUUGAGGGAAAGAUGAUGUUGUUUCUUUUAAGUGAAGCAAUAAAGAAAGAGAGAGAGAGAGAGAGAGAGAGAGAGGGGAGAGAAAGAGAAAACCCAGAAAAAGGCUGUAAGAGGUCGCUUUCAAAAGUGGUGGUAGUGGCAUUUGGGAGGGGGGAGGGGAUCUAAUAAUAUAUAUCAAAAGCAUCCAUCCAGAGGAAAAUCCACUAAAUCCCAUAUGACCACACAGUUGUAACUGUGAUGUAAAAACCUGAAAAUAACUGAAUGGGAAGUGAGGAAAGUUGACAACUUUGGGAGAGUGAGGAUGGUGAUGAGAAUGAAUGGGAAGAGAGCUUUGGUGAGUUGGUGGUGGUUUGUGUAGUGUGUUGGGACAGUAGGAGAAAGGGCAUAAGGCCCUGGCAAAGGAGACGAGGAGGAGGGGGAGGGGAGGCAGUGAGUGAUGAUAUCAGUACAAAGAUCUUUAAUCUCCUUUCUGACCAAACACUGCCACCUUCACCAGUGGCAUCAUCAAGGAGUCCAAAUAGGGGGGGUGAAAGUGUGAGAAACCUCUUCCCUAUAGCCCCCACCCUCCCUAUAUUUACUGUUCCACCACCACCCCACACCCCUCUCUUGCUUUCUCCAUUCCAGAAAAAUUUUCUUUACCAAAACCCCCUUUUCGGAUUUGGGUUUUCUAGCUGGUUUUGGCUGUGGCUUGGGUAAGUGUGGAGGGAGGAGGUGGGGUUUAUCUAAAGUACCCAUUUUUUUUUUCUUUAGUACACAAAAAUCAUAUAUCCUAGAUAGAGGGCAAAGCAUCAAAGACUGUGCAGAGAGAAAGAGGCAGCAAAAGAGAUGGGUUAGGUUUGGAGCAGAGCCUGGGGUUUUAGGCAUCUGGGUCUGGUCUGGUUUUGGGGAGUCUUUUGGGUGAUGGAAUUGAGAAGGUUGAAUGGCAAGGCCUUUUGUGAUAGGGAGCAGGAGAAGCAGUAUCAGGUUUCAGAGCUGUGGCAGCUACAAAAGGAGCAGAACACCACCACCCCCACCACCACCACCACCACUGAGAAGAAGAGGAGCAGCAGCAGUUGUAGGAAGCAGAGCAAGAGUGACGAAGAAGCAACAACCAGAAGCCUGUAGGAAAAAGUGCAGUCCCUCAAAAGCUGGAAGGAGACAAGCACAAGGGUCUGAGUCUGGAUCCUCAGAGGACCAACCCCCACCACCACCAUCAUCUUCAGAACCUCAAUUCAAGACUUGUUCUAGAGCACCAGCAACCGGAAGAAGAAGACUCAGACACCCACCACCACCCCCACCCCCACCAUCAGCCGCAGCAGCAGCAACAGCAACAGCCACCACCUUCCUCCUUCAUCCAUGGCCAUCAUCUCCAUCAUCAAUAUCCUCAAACCCAACAUUUGUAUCCAAUUGUAGACACAAACCCACCACCACAAGCCCCAAAGAAGCGGACCCAUUUGCCGUCGUCAUCGUCAUUGGCGCAAAACGUCAAACAUGUCAUGGGAGAGACUCACCAGCAACAACAGGCAGCGUCGUCGUCGAGAAUGGGGAUGAGGAGCGUGGUCGGCGGCGAGAUUGUGGAGGUUCAAGGCGGCCACAUUGUCCGCUCCACCGGCAGAAAAGACCGCCACAGCAAGGUGUGCACCGCCAAAGGCCCCAGAGACCGCCGCGUUCGCCUCUCCGCCCACACUGCCAUCCAAUUCUACGACGUCCAGGACCGCCUCGGCUACGACCGCCCCAGCAAGGCCGUCGAUUGGCUCAUCAAGAAGGCCAAAGCCGCCAUCGACGAGCUCGCUCAACUCCCAGCUUGGCAUCCCACUGCCAUCACCGUCACCGCGGCCGCCGCUGCUGCUACCACCGCAACCACCACCCACCACCAGGAAGACGAAGAAAAUCCCAACCAGGUCGCCAUUGAUGGCGACGAUGAUCGUGUGCAAAUGCAUCACGGCAACAAUCCGGACCCCAACCCCAAUCCUAACCCUAACCAAAACCCUAGUUUUCUUCCGCCAUCGUUAGACUCUGAUACCAUUGCGGACACAAUCAAGAGCUUUUUUCCCAUGGGUGCUUCUGGGGAAUCCUCGUCUUCGUCCGUACAGUUUCAGAGCUACCCGCCCGAUUUGCUCUCGAGAACCAGUAGUCAGAAUCAAGAUCUUCGCCUUUCGCUUCAGAGCUUCCAAGACCCUAUGCUUCUUCAUCAUCACCACACCCAGAGCCACUCUCAUCAUCAACAACAAGCCCUUUUUUCGCCGUUAGGCUUCGACGCCCCCUCCGCCGCUUGGUCCGAGCACCACGCAGCGGAGAUGGGGCGGUUUCAGAGAAUGGUGGCUUGGAACGCCGGCGCCGAGAGCAGUGGCGGUGGAGGAUUCGUGUUCAACUCCCCGCCGACACCGACACCAGCUCCGCCGCCGCUUCAGCCAUUGUUUUGCCAAAGCCAGAUGUAUUCUCAGAGGGGACCCCUUCAGUCCAGCAACACGCCUUCGAUUCGCGCUUGGAUAGACCCGCCAAUUGCCGCCACCAUCGACCACCACCACCACCACCAUCAAACAACUCCCAUUCAACCAUCCAUGAUUUCCGGCAUUGGUUUCGUCCCUGGCGGGUUUUCCGGAUUUCGGAUUCCAGCACGAAUUCAGGGUGAGGAGGAGCACGAUGGCAUCUCCGACAAGCCGUCCUCUGCUUCCUCCGAUUCUCGCCAUUGAGUGUAGCACUAAAACCCCGAAAUCUUCUCUAACAGGUCAAAAAUUUAACACCCAUUUCUCCAAUUCAUUCAAUGUUUCCACAUUCUCAGUUUUCACUUGCAUUCAUUCUGCAGGGCUAAUCCAUCAUCCACAAAGGGAGGCCAAAGAACUAGCUGUUGUGUGUGGUCUUUUGAGCAAAUUCAAAGCAAUCUGAAGAGGGAUUUCGGUGACUUCUAUCCAAUGGCCUAAUCCGCGGGAAGAAGAAAUCUGAGUUGGGAUUUCAGGUUUUUCGAUCCCCGGUUUGCUUAGCUUCUAUCAGUUGAUUUAUGUUCUUAGAUUUGCUUUCCUGUUUUGAGCGGGCUUUCAGAGCUCAACUUUGUUGAAAUCUUUGUUGGAUUGUUAUGUGUUUGGGUUUUGCUAGACUUGUAUGCUAUUGCUGUUUGCUUUUUCCUCAUUUCUAGAGUUGGUUAAAAAACAGAACUUUGUUUUUCCUUGUCAAAGUUUUUCGUAUUUUCCCCAAUCAGAACAGUCUGAAGGCUUUGAAUAUGACACCAAUUCGAGGAAAUUUGCUCAAAACAAGGAAACCCCAGCUCAACAGGAGCGGGAUAAUUGAAAUACAUUGCCAUUGUUUUUUCAUUUGAGUUGGGUGUUGCUGUCUCAGUUCCAAAUGAGGGAAACAUAGGGCCUUCUCCUCUGUUUAGAAAAUGGUCACUUUCCUGUGAUUGUUUUGUUGCUUUACUGCCUUCCAAAUGGAACAUUUUGUGUCUCAAUAACUUCAUCAAACCCGCAAAAAGAAUUGAAAUCAUAGCUGAUCUCUUACAUCUCUAUCACUGUUAGGAUGUUUGGGAACAUGGCAGGAGAAGUCAUUUUCCAUGAGUAGUAUAGUAGUUGGGAAGAGAUAGAGUAUUAGCUGAUUUUCCAAUCUGGUCUCCUCCUCCCAAGCUGGAAAAGGAGGGAAUUUAAAUUCCCUACUUUAGUGCCGAAUCUUGUUUUUGUAGCGUCCUGUGCUCCUUACCAUCUGUUUUAGCCUCCUGAAAACGAAACUGGUUGAACUUGAAUGAGAUUGCUGCAGAAUAAAUCUAGAGACCCCCGUUUUCCCAUAUAGCAUGAUACCAUCAUGAAGCUUGAAACUUCGGCUACACGCUGUGGUCGAAUCUGAAUUUUCUUAUUUACCCUUUUGGGUUAACGGCAGCUCUCUUCAAAAGUUGUGAUGCCUUUAGGAUUAGGUGGUAGAUAUUUGUACCCAGCUCUUGAGCAUUUACUCGAGCAUUGAGAUCAGGUUGUGGAGGAAUCUUGGUGAGCAUAUGCAAUCAAGGAGUACGGUGGGUGACUUUAGCAGGUAGACCAAGUGGGGCUAAGUGGAGUUCAACUGCAGGAGGAACCAUGAAAGGUGAAUGGGGUGAACACAACAAGCUCAAUUAUAGAAGAAUACACAGAUGGAUACCACCAAAAUAUAGUACUUGGCCAUCAGUAUAUGGUCCCUACCCUGUAAAUCUCAGUGCCUAAUAAAAAUCUGAGUCUAGCUGGAACGUAUUUAAAAGGAAAAAUAGAAAAAAAAAAAAAAAGGAACCUUUGGCUUCUAUUGGGAAUGUGACUUUUGCUUAUGCUUUCUGGUUUAAGAGUAUCGUUCAACAGGAGAAACAGGUUAUUUAAAUUUGUAGCAGAUUUUGGGACUGUAACAUUCACAUAGACGAAAAAUUUAACAAAUGUCAGGAACCUGAAGGCCCUGAUAUUUAGUUGCCCACUGUAUUCCUUGUUUUUUCCAAUGAAAGCGAUAUAUAAUCACAAGUCACAAAUACUUGGCAGGGGUACCAGCACGCAUGAGCUAGAGAAUAUGUGCAUUUCUAGAGUUUUAAACAGUUUUUCGUGGAAAAAAAUAGAGUUUAUUAGGAGAAAGAUAGAUGUACUGUUAAAUAAUAAGAGGGAAGCUAAUCUUUCUUUGCAUAUAGAUAUAUACAAUUAAACCCCCUUUAGCCCCCUUCUUUAAGGUACACCAUAAAAGAACUUGUGAUAACAUGUGAUUUAGAACAUCCUUUUGUCUCGAGUUAUAGAUUAUAUCCAAUAGCUCCAAAAGAUAAGGAAUUGUACAAGCGUUCUUACGUAGAUAUAAUUACAAUGCAAAAAUUUUAUGAUGGUAUCAGUCUCAGAUGAGGUCUGUUCUUUUAUUCUUUGUGCUGCAUAGCAAACCAUGUUCCUUCACACCAACCAAAAAGGGAAAACAUGAGAAACUGAGAUGAAAAAGAGCUGGCUUUAAAUUCACACCGCCGAAUCCCUAAGUGAUAAUUUGUUCAUGUUUGGUGUUUGCUUCUUCAGCUUCAGACCGAGAAGAGCUGACUGCAGUGGUCACUGCUUCUUGGGCAGCUGGCUUUGUAGUUCCCUUCCCAUUAGACAAAGCAGGCCUGACUAGAACUGGAGUUUUCAUUGUCUGUGGGUUUGUAAUUUUUCCUACCUUGAUCACAUGCUUGGUUUGAGCUUUCUUUGGAAGAGUUGACUGAGCAUGAACCCGAGUCUCCCAUGGUCGAGCAGCUAUCCAGCGCUCCAUCCAGCUCCAACCCCAGUUUUCUUUGCCGAGAUCAUAAUAAGUGUGGCCCAGAUACUGACUAUUGUUGGCCCUCCACUGCAAAUUGCAUUAAUUCAGAUAGUAUUUAUGGAGUAAAAGCCCACAAGGCUUGCAGGUAGAGACAGAAAAUAAAUUCUUGUAAUUUACCCACCUGAUGAGAGAAGGCAUAUGCCAUGGCUCUCUCACGCUUAACUGCUGCUUCUUCCCUCUGCUGUAUCCUCGAAAGGAUUUCCUCCAUGGUUUCAGAGCCACCACACCAUUCCACCUGUUGGGCAAGUGAAUCAUUGUCAAGGAACAUGCCAAUCUUCUAGUACUUUUUUUUUACUUCUAAUAGCAAAAGAUGUCAUAAAACUUUACUAAAAUGAGGAGAAGAAAAGAAACAUGAAAAAGCAACAACCACUUGAAAAACACUAGUGAAGCGGCCCUUAUUGGUAAACAGUUUAUUAGUUUCAGGAAGCUUUGAAGGUCCUUGAGCUACCAACAACGAUAAAUCAUUUAGGGUUCACUUUGUUGAAAGGGAAAGAGAGGUUUACACUGUCUUAAAUUUCAUACUCAAAUUGAUGAGAGGAUUCUUAACUACAAAUCAUGAGAGUAUGAAACUACAAUAGCUUCUUUAAAAUGAGACCAUCAUCAAAACCAAGACCACCAGAAAGCCACCGAGAAUGAAACCAUUGGAUGUAUAACCGUAUGUAGUUGGACACAGUGAUGGUUGUCAAUACCUCUAGCUCAUGCAGCUUUGCCUCAAGUUUCAACUGAUUCUCAAGUUUCUUCUGCCUAACCCGACCUUCUUGAGCCAUACAAUGCCGCCUGGCACUAAUCUGAGCCUGUAUUCUGCUCCAUGCAUGUAUGUAGCUCAAUGUGGUUGAAGCCUGCUUCCUAACAAUAUCGCCUUGUGUCAUCACCUGAAAUCUCACUGUCCCUCUCAAACGGUGCAGGUUUUUUCUUGCCUGCAAACAACAUGAAAACGAAUCACAAACACGAAAUUCACUAGCUAAUUUUGAUGUUCUACUCUUGUGAUACAACUGAAUCCAAUCCACAGAUAUAUUUAAAUGUUGGAAGUAUUAAAGAUCUGGGUGUGAUGAACUUAGGCAGAAUAUCAAUCUUCAGACCAGAAACAGAAAGCAAACAUACCUUAUAUGCCCGGUAUGUUGUUUGAAUUUGAAUUGCAGCUCUCUCCUCAACUGGAAUCUUAUGAACACCGGCACUUUUACCCAAAGCGCCAUUGGCAAGACUGCUCGACUCCUUAUCAAUAUGGUGCUUCCCCUUGGAGUUGCUUGAUUUUUCGGUGGUUGAGUGCACCUAUGUCACAGAAAUUAUGGGGUUAUCUAGUGUUAAAGAGGGAAUUUAUGUCACAAAAGUAUUGGAAAUGUUCCGAAGAAGACUAACCUUUGCUGGUUUAGAUCUAUCUUCCUUCACUUUCCUUAGGCUAAUUAUCAUCUUAAACCAGCCUCCCGCACCCAUUCCUAUCAAUCAGGAUGCUGAAAUAUUUACAAACCCUUGUGUAGAUCAAGCAAAAAAUCAUCAAAUCAUCAUGAGAGGUUUCAGGUUAACCAAAUGUUUGAUACUAUAUUAAAUUUACCAAUUUGACCCAAAAACUUAAGCUGCUAGGUAAUAGGUCAAUGAUAUGCACUAAGUUAAGGCCCAAGACCUUAAGAAAGAUCAUUUGACCCCAUGUUAGUCUUCAAGCAUGCUUCUUGGCACCCAUAAAACAAAUCAAACUAUGGCUUGAAGAGCCAGAAAACCUAAUCAUCAUUGUUGCUUAGAACUACCAGUCUUGAAUCUAGUUACUCUCUUAUGUUCUCUCUCAGAAGCUCAUGUUUGUUGGCUAUUAUCUAAUAGUUUAAGCUUUUGGAUCAAAUUGAUAGUUUAACAUUCAAAAUGUAACUCAUUAGACAUAUAGUAGGAACCUGCAGCAGCACGAGAAAGCUAUAAACAAUGUCCAAAAUAAGGGAUGAUAGUGUGACAAAACCUCUAUAGAUGUAUAAUCACCUGAAAAAAAAUCAUCAAAAAAUUAACAAAAUAGUUAAAGGCUUCAACAAUAAUUAAAAACAAACCCACCCAUAUAUUCCAUGUUAGAAAAGGAAUGAGUAUUGCUGAGAACUCAGCUUUCAGACAAAAUUUUGGAUCUGCAGAGAAAAAUGAAUAAACAUUGCAGUACCCAAUUCAUUUUUACCUCAAAAUCUCAAGUUCUCCCCCCCUCCAUAAACACAUUUUUAUACAACACCAUUAUCAUAAAGAGAUUAAAAGCAAUAGAUAAAUCAAGAAACUGGGAAAGAAAAUUUGCAGACACAUACCAGGGAAGAAGAAAGGUAUGGGGUUGGGAAGAAAGGUGGGUGGGUAGUAAUAGGAGGAGUAGGAGAAGUAGAAAAGAAGAAAGUUGAGAGAGAAGAGUGCUUUCGACAUGGCCCAUCGCCAGCUUCAACCCAUUGGAAGCUGGUGUUUGAUCUUUUGGAAGUUCAACUGUCAACAACACUAAGGGCUGGGUUGGAAAUCUGCUGGUGCUUGAGCCACCAAACAGUGGUAGUCUCACCCUCAAAUACUUAGAAGUUAGAAUGAAGCAGCCCAAAAAAAAAAAGUUUAUUAGAUUGUUUUUUUGUGAAAUAUUUGAUUAGUCAUCUUUAAAUAGAGGAUUUUAUGGUGCGAUGUGGUUUAGGACACCGUGGGGUAACACGGAGACUUAAAAGAUAUGUUUGAUUAGUUGAAUAUAACAUGACAUAGAAUAAGAAAUGGAAUAAUUUAUCAGUUAUUUAUCUUAUGUUCAAUCAAAUAUAAAUUAAGAUAAAUGGUAGAAUAUAUAUUUAUAUAUAAAAAAAGUAAUGGGAUAUAUCUAUAUAUCAUAUCCUUAUGUUAAUCCUAAGCUAAGAUGUCCAUGUAUUAUAAAUUUAUUUAUUUUUAUUCAUUUUUUAUUUUUAUAUUACUUAUUUUGUAAAAUAAUUUUUUUUAUAAAAUUAAAUAUAUGGUUAAAAAAGAAAAACAAAAAAAAAAUAUUUAUAAAAUAUAUUGCAAAACAAUAUUAAUAUAUGUAUUAUAUAUAUAAUUAUUUUUAUAUAUUGAAUAACAUAGUAUAAAAUUUUUAUUUAUAAAGUUCAAAUAUUUUAAUUAUGAAUAUUUUUAAACGUAAAAGAAAUUUCAUAUUUUUUUUAAAAUAGAAAAUAUUAGAAUACAAUAUAAUUUUUAUUUUAAGCAAUGAAAAAUAAUAUAUUUUUCAUUUGAUUUUUUUACUCAUUUUACAAGCUAAGUAUAAAUAUCAUAUUAAAUAUGUUAUCUUAAGAUAUCAUCUCUAUUAAGUUUAAUAUCCAAGGAUACGAUAUUCCAUUAUAGAUCAUAUCGUAAAAUAUGCAUUUCCUAUUCAAUGAUAUACAAUAUCCUAAAAUGCAUAUAUCCUAUCAUAUCUUAUUUCAUCAACCAAAUGUAGUAUAAUGAAAUUAUAAAAACAAAUGCAAGUUGGCAUAUGACUAAUACAUCAAUAAUUAUUGUGGAAUAUAUGACUUCAAUAAAUGUUGUGCAAGCUACAAAGAACAAUGAAUUCUUAAACCUAAAGAUCGAAAACAAUUCAAAAAUAGUGAUAAGUUGUUGUAAUAAAAAGAGCAACACUCUUACUUCUAUUAUGUCAAUAAUGAAGGAUAUUUAGAAGAUAGUUCAAGAUUUAAAUAUUUAUAAUUGUUAUCAUAUUUUAUAAGGAAGCAAAUAGAAUAACAUAUGCUUAGUUGAGGAAGGUAUUUGUAAUACAAAAUUUAUUAUUUAGAGAUCAAUUUUUCCUAGAGAUAUCGCAAAGUUUUGAUUUGAAAAUUAUUGCGACUCAUCUUUCGAUAUAAUUUGUAGAUACUUUGUUUCAUCAUCUCUUUCCAUGUAAAAAACAAAACUUGGGGACCAUUAGAGGGUGAUCAUCGUAAAAAUAUUUUUAAUCUAUAACUUUUAUAGGUAACACUUUUAUAAAAUAAAAAAAAACAUGUAUGUUUGUUAGUAUAUUACAUAAAAAAUUGAUUUUUACAAGAAAUAUAUAUCAAAUGCUAUUCCAAAAAUCAUUUCAAAUGAUUUUUAGAUUAUUAAAGAUACUUUUUGAGAAUUUUGUCAAGUACCUCAUGUAAGAAAUCCAUUUUCAAACAUUAGAAAAUAGGUCAGGCCACAAUACAAAAAUUUAUUUAUUUUUGGUAGGUACUAAAAAGACAUGUGAUGUUAUUUAUACAUUUUUUAAGUCUCAUUAUUUGUACUUUUGUCCUAUUCUUUUGUAUCUCUGAGUUAUUUGUAAUCUUGUUGAACAAUUUAAAUCUCACCAUAAAUAUUGAACAAUCUUGAUUUUGACUUUGAUAGAUACCUUUAUGGUAAGUUAGUGUUUUUAAAAAACAUGUAGAAUCUUUAUAGCAUUUUUUAAUAGAUUUUUAGAGUUUGUCUGGAAGCGAUUUUGGUUAAAAUAUUUUUGUUAAUAUUGUUUUUAUGAGAAGCAUUUUUUUAAAAAUAAAAAAUAAAAAAAAUAGCUUAGAGUUUGUAUAAUUUUUUUUUAAACAAGUGUUUUCUUAGUAUUUUUGGCAAUAUAUUAUCUAACAAAAAUGUAAUUUUUCAUAUUUUUAAACAUGUGUCAAAUACUUAAUUUUUAUAAUAAGCAAUUUUAGAGUGUAUUUGGCAGUAAUUCUAAAAAACGGUUUUAGUAUUUCUUAUAUUUAAAAUUUUUAAUAUUUUAAGUAUUAAAAAAAUUAGAAACACUCUCUAGAAUAACUAUUAAAAGCAUUCUUAAUCUCUUUGGUAUUAAUCAAAUUGUAAAGAAAAAAUAGGUUAAUAUUGCAAAGGUUAAAGCAUAGGAUGUUUUUUGUUUUUUGUUUCUAAAAUGAGAGCCCCAAUUUGUUUUCAUUUUUAGGUGACAAGAUUUUAUUGAGAAACUUGAUAGGAUGAUUGGUUGAGACCACCCAUCUCUGGUGUUGCCACCUACAUGUGAAAAUUUUUGGGUUCAUAAUGACAGGAGAACAUACAAUGUUACAACACUAUAAAAUGGGCUUUGGGUCCUGUACAUGAGAUGUGAUGGUGUAACUAUAAAUGGCCCAAUCUCACUAUAAGUGGAGCAGGUUAGCCCUCUCCCCCUUCUCACUUUCUCAUACACCUAGCUCUCGAAUUAAUUUUCCCAACUCAAAAAAUUUCUAUCUCAGAUUUUGAGCCUUUAGGGAAGAGAGGAGAUAGGGCUCACAACUUGUGGAGAAGACAACCCCUCUAGCUUCAUUUUCUGCUUUCUUAAAAAACGAAGAAAACGAAGUCGAAGCUCACCUAGAGUACCAAAAUCCGAGGUCUAAAGACUUUGGUUUUAUUUGGAUUUCUUGUUUUCUAGUAAAAAAAAAAAAAAACCCUAAAUUUUUAGGUUUUAUAUGCUCGAAUUCCUCUUUCUUGUUCUUGUUUGAAAUCUUCAUGUAAUUGGUUAUUUUCAAAGCCAAAUCGAUAUGAAAACAAUGAAUGAUUCACAUAGAUUUCAUUUAUGUGUUAUUUAGAAUUUAAUAAGUCUAUAAUCCGUAAUCAUUUUUUUUUUCAUUUUUUCUUUAUGUUCUAUUUGAUUUAUGAGAAAGUGUAGGAAAAGACAUACACAAAUCAGGACAAGUCGGGCCGGGGAUGGGAUUUUAUUUGAAAACGGGAAGGGGACCAUGAACCCACCCCGUUGUCAUCCCUGAUUCCUUUGGUAGUGAUUUAUAGGAAAGAUGAAUUAGUUUGGUCCCGACAAGGCUCAAACCCGUGACCUUCGACUCAUAAGACCAAUGCUCUAACCAAUUGAGUAACGAGACCAAAUGAAAAUUUUAAGCAAAGAAACAACAAAAUCAAAAAGCAAAAUGAAAAUUUCGAAAGAAAAUACAAAUAAAAAAUGAAAAUUUUGAGCAAAAAAAAACAUAAUCCAUUUAGUAGUGACUAAGAAAAUGUUAAACAAAAUUAUAAUAAUGAUUAAAAAUCCGUUUAGUAGUGAUUUCUAGAAAGGAUGAAUUACUUUGGUCUUGGCGGGGCUCAAACCCGCAACCUUAAGCUAAAAUGCAAAAUAAAAUUUUAAAAGACAAUACAAACAAAAAAAGAAAAUGUUAAAUCAAAACGCAAAAAAAAUUACAAAAUUAUAAUAAUUACUAAUGAUCCUUAAAUAGUGAUUUAUGGUGAGGAUGAAUCAAUUUGGUCUUGGCGGGGCUCGAACCCGCGACCUUCGGCUCAUAAGACCAACGCUCUAACCAACUGAGCUACGAGACCAUAUGAAAAUUUUAAGCAAAAAAAUAAAAGAAUCAAAAAGCAAAAUGAAAAUUUUGAAAAAAAAUAUAAACAAAAAAUGAAAAUGCUAAACAAAGGGCAAGAUCAAAGCAAACCAAUCUAAUUUCCAUAGUUAUUUGUAGAAAAUUCAAAGCAACCCAACCUAAUUAUUUUAUUUAUGAAAUUUUUUUCUAAAACCGGGCAACAUCAAAGCAACCCAAAGACAAAAUUACAGCAAUGCUUGAAUCUGGUCCCGGCGGGGCUCGAACCCGCGACCUUCGGCUCAUAAGACCAACGCUCUAACCAACUGAGCUACGGGACCAGAUGACUCACAUGCCAUCUAUUGUAUUUACUAAAACAGUUUCAAGAUUCCAAUGAGAGAGCAUGUCACCCUUGUUGCAGUCAGUUGACUCAAUUCCAUAUGCCAGAAAUCAAACCUAGGAAGUACACUAAAAAUAAAUUUUCAUUGCAAGUGAUGCAGUUCUAAAAUUGUACCACCUAGGAAAAAAGAAAAAUAGGAUUUAUAAUUAAGGACCUAGCUAUUAUGAUAAAGGAGAAUUUUAUAAAUUUAAGAUUAUGAUAUUUAUAUUAUAAUAUAACAUAUUAUAUGUUAUAAAUAUUUUUAAUAUUUAUCUUAAAAGGACAAUAUCUAAAAUUUCGCAUACCUUCAAAUUACCAUACAAACCAAACAUGAAACACGAAAGAAACUAAAUUUAUAAUUUUGAAUCCCAUUAUUAUUAGAAAACAAAAUAAUAAUAUCCGUCUUUUAUUAAAGGAUUAGGUUCUUGUUUAAGAUAAUUUCUUUUUUUUUUUAUUUGUAACCAAAUGUUAAAUCCCACAUCACUUCGGUAUAGUUUAAUAAAAAAUAAGUAUCAAAGGAGUACCAUACUUGAGUUUUAUACUAUAAAACACUUUUUUUUUUAUAUCAUAAUCACAUUUUUUUUACAAUGAGAUUGGAUGAGGGCAUUCCCUAUGAUAUUGAAAAGUGAAUUCUUCGAGUAUAUCAAAGACCGACCCUAAUUAAAAAAAAAAUGCAAUCUUCACAUUCCAAAAGUUUAAUUGAAAAUGAAAUAAUUUCUUAUACAAGUCAAAAAUAAAUUCCAUAAAAAAAAUAAUAUUUUCCUUAUUUUGGUGUUGUACUGUCUUUUAAUUCAUAAUUUUUAAAUAAAAUUAUCCAAAUAAAUGCAAAAACACUUGUUCAUUUAACAAUUUAAAAUACAAUAUAAAUAUUUAUAGUAGAGGUAAAGAGCAAAUCUAGAUCACAACUACAAAGAAGCUAAGAAAAAGAAAAGAAAUCACAUGGGGUUGAGCUUAAUUUUCCUCCUAUGGCACUUCAUUGAUUGAGUUUGCUUAGCAUGCAACUUUCAAAAGGCUUAAAACUAGAAGUAGCACAUCCCCACCACUUUGUGAGUAUUGGGUAGCUUUCCUACAAGAUAUGGGUAUCAAGUAUUGAGAUAUCAUACUAAAGAGGAAACAUCCACUUUUUGCCAUUAAUGUGGAAUUUUGUUUGUUUUUGGCGUGAAAUUAAGGUGGGGUUUGUCUAUAUAUUGAUGCUGAAAUGUUCAAUUAUGUGAGACAGUGACACGAGGGGCUGUUUGGCUGAAAAUAUACCAUGCUCCUUUUUAAUUUUUUCAUUAUGCUUUACUUUGUAAGAUCAAUUUAGUGUCGUCACAAUUGGUUCAUUUUGAAGGACAAGAAAAAAAAGAAGGGGACAGAAGCUUUUGGGUUGGGGGAUUUCUCAAAAACAGUUUUUCGAAACAGCUUUCCUAACAGUAAAUGAUACAAAGGUUUUUAAAAGUAUUUUUCGUAAUUUGAAUUAUUGUUUGACACACUUUAAAAAAAUAAUUGAUAAAAAAUGACAUGCUUUCAAAACAAAUUUUCAAAAAUUGUUUUUUUAUCAUAAGUAGGAGUAACAAUUUAUGUUGGUGGAUUGUGUUCGUGUUAUGUUAAAGUUUAGGCAUUCUACUGUAUAUGUCAACUUAAGCUCGUCACAAAUAAUAAUCAUGUUAAAAACAUAAAUCCAAAUAUUCAUAAUUAUUAAACAUGUAACACAUCAUAUAACCUAUUUAACAAUUAGGUUUUCCUAUUUAAGAAUCGGGUGGAGCUUGGUCUUGUAUAAAUCUAUAUAUUUAAUGUAUUAACUAAACAUGUUUAUGAUUUAAUUUAUCUAUUUAUUUAAAAAUAAAUUUAAAUAGAAUUAAAUGUGGAUUAAAUAAUUUAAAAUUGUAAUUAGGUUAAUUCAUAUUAAAUUCGUGUUAUGCGAGUCAACACAAAUUUGAUUCAAUCUUGAUUAUAAUUAACCCAAAUAUGUGAAAAGUGUGUUAAGCUUGAGUCAUAUUAGUGAAUUAUAUCGAACUUUUUCACAUUUAAUCGAAAAUUUGACAAAUAUAUUUUUCAAAUUAGAAAACCGUCUCCGAUUAUUGAAAAGUGUUUUUGUGCCUUAAUUAAGCUAGAAAUUGUAGAAGAGUGAAAUAUGACCAUGUUUUUUUUUUUUUUUUUCUAAUUUUUUUUAAUAAAUUAAUAUAUUACAAUAAAUACACUCCAAGCAAAAUGUGAAAGCCUAAAAGUCAAAAUGCAAAAUAUAUUUCAUUCUAAAAUAUGAUAAAAAAAUAUUAUUAACAACCAUUAAUCAUGCAAUCAAUAAUUGUGCUUAAUUAUUGAGCUCAUGAUCUAAAAGAUUUGAUUAGAUUUCAAAUCAAAUUGGAUUAUGAGAGAUGCAAAUUUCAAAUUAUUGGUGGGGUGGAGAUCUACAACCUAACACAUGGAUAUAAUACUAUAUAAAGUACAAUUGCUUGUUGAAUUUAUAGAUAUGAUUAUAACUUCCAAAGAUCUAUUUGGUACAUUUAUGAUUAUAAUAAAAAUAAAAAUUAUACUUAAAGAAGAGUAUUAAACUCUACUUUCUACAUUAAAAAUCAAAUAUAGGAAACAUAUUUAGUAAAGGGUUUUCACAAAUGGGUCUAAAAGACAUUUCUAAAAAAUGAAAUAAUUUUAAAAAAUCUUAAGAAAAAAGAAUAUUAUUAAAUUUCAUAUCCAAAAUAUUCAUGCAUUUUAAUAAUUAAAAACUUAUAUAUUAAGGGUUUAUUUAUAUUUAAAAAAAUCACUUUUACAAGUUUUAAAAUUUGAGAUAGUGAAUUUUUUUUUAUACCCCAUUUUUUUUAAAUAUUUUUAAAAAAUAUUACUUUAUCAAUUUUAGAAUCCACAAGUUUUUGUAUCUUAGGUAAGAAAUAUUAUUAUCUUUUUAUUUUAAUAAUAAAAAAUGUGUCCAAAUGAACUAAACAACACAAAGACAUUCUAGAUUUGAGGAUUUCAUUCCACUCUAAAAAUUUGGAAUUUUACCAUCAAUUAUGGCUUUUACCAUUAAAAUGUUUUUCCAAAUACAUCUUAAAUCUUUAAAAUAUAUAUAGAACUUUUUUUCUCCCCUUCCAAACAGCCCUUGAUCCUCUUCCAUGUCAUCUAUAUAUAUUAUCUUGUGGCUCAGGCACCAAAAACACUUCUCAAUCCAAACAACCCCUACAAGAACAAAGAGAAAAAUCUCCUCAGAAUCCAAUGAAACAAAAGUGGGAAGUUGACACACAUACUUUAAAAUUACAUGUUAUAAAUGGGUCAUUCCAAUACACAACCCAAGUGGCUUCAUUUUGGCCCCAAAUGACCAUACAAUAAAUACAACCUAGGACCCAUUAUCCUUCCCUUAUGAGUCAUGACACCCACCCAUGUUGAUGGCUCCAUCUUCCAUCACCAAACAAACAGAUAGAAUCAACAAUCAAAAAGGAGAAGAAGGAAAAAAAAACAAGAAUGAAAUAUGGGGAAAAGAGAAUCUUAUGAAUAAAACCCUAGAUGGGGUCCUUAUAUUUUGUGUAUCUAACAAAAUCUUGGUUGCUUGUAUGCAAAGUGGGGUGGUAUCAUUGAGGAGAGAGGCUGCUCCACCGUCCCUGUCAAAAGGGAUAGUGGGUGGAUUGGUCUCUUUAAGGCACAAUUUCUUUUGUUUUCUUUCCAAGGAGUUAGAGACAGUUUGUUUUGGCUAAGGUGGGUCCCUUUGAGAAAGGUAGAGUUUGCUUUGCUUAUUGGCAAUUUGGCAUUACAUAUGCGAAAGAUUUGCCAAGUUUCAUUCACCUUUCACCUUUCAAUUUGUAAAUUUUGUGUCAAAUUGGCAAUUUAGCUUAAGAAAAAAAAUGUAAGAAACCAGAGUUUCAAAAUACGAUUUCAAAUAAAUACUAAAACUAUAGUUUUAAUAUGUUGUUUCCAACUUUAUAUUGAAACCGCAAUUUCAAUUUGUAAAUUUUGGGUCAAAUCGAUAAUUUAACUAACACAAAAAAUGUGUUCCUAAUAUAAAUUUAAAAGGUUUCAAAACGUGGUUUUAAACAUUAAUUAAAACAAUUUUGAAAGAUGGUUUAUAAAAAAGAAAGAGAUUCUUUUGAACAAAUGUUUAAACCCAAUAUCAAUCAUAGUUUUACAGCUUAGUUUUUCUCUAAAAUUUGAAUAAAUUUCAAUAGCAUCCCUAUCACAAUUAUUAUUGCUAUUAUUCAUUGAUUGCCCUAAUUUGAAUCCAUUUAAAUUCACUAUACCAUUAAUGAAAAAACACUUAACAAAAUAUAAAAUGAAUAAUGGGCAUAACAAGCAAAGACCUUGCUUCUAGUUGUUUUUAAUUUUUGCUUUUAGUCGUAGAAGUAAAUGUAAAUCAAUUAUUUCAUCAUAUGAUUGAAUUAUCUUUCCCAAUAUGAAAUAUUAAAACAAAUUUAUUUCAUUUAAAGAAUGUAAUUAUUCAUACUUAAUCAUAUAGAUAUUAUCCGUUUUGGACAAAAAAAAAUCUCACUAUUUGAUAUAGGAUAUUAUUUCUGCAUGAGAGUGUUUGUGAUAUCCCACAUUAAAUAGAGGAAAAAGUUUAUAGUGCUAUAUAAAUAUAAACUUUUUUUAACCUUAUAGAUGUGUUUUAAAAUCGUAAGAGUCUUUUAAGUUUAAAAUAUAUAAUAUUUACAUAAUUGGCUGCAGAUGAUACAAAGAAACUCAUCACUCUAAAUUAUAUUUUUAGCCAAGUAAAUUUUAUUUUAUUUUUUUCUAAAUACAAAAUGUCACAUGAUUUAAUAAUAUCUAAUUAACCUAUAUGCUAACUCUUCUUUUCAUCGAAACUUUCUAAAAAGCCUCAUCUUUUUCAAAUAUUUUCAUCUCAAUUUCCAAUAUCUUAUGUUGCUUUAAAUUAUUAUCCAUUUCAACUUGAUUUUUUACAAUUUUACCUUAAAAUAACCUAAUUUUUUUAUAUUUAUGUGUUGUAUUUUUGUGAACUUAAUUGAUAAAUUAUAUGUUGAAAUAAUUAUUUUUUAUUUUUAUUUCUUAUUUCUUUGAUGAUAAUGUUGAGUUUUUCUUUCGUUAAAUUAUAUAGUGAAACAUUUUUUUUUGGAUGAAAUGAAUUUUUCUUUUAAUCUCAAAAUUAAUAUAAAAUUUAGUGUUUCUUUUCCAUUUUUAAUAUUAAGGAAAAAAAAAAAAGCAAUCAUGGUUUAUUGUUGUAAAUAAACUAAAUUAAGCCAAAAAGUAUUUUUUAAAACCAUUACUAUAAUGAAAUCAUUUUUAAUAAAAACAAAUUUAACAAAAAGGAAUAUAAAAAUUACGUGUAAACUUGUUUUAAUUUUUUUGUUAAAAAAGUAAAAAAAAAAAAAAUAGUAAUAAUUUUUUUAAAAUAUUUUGAUCUUGCUACAUCUUAUCCAAAAUUUUCUUUUUAUUUAAUCAAACUUUUAAAAAUAUUAAAAUAUCAUUUUUAAUACAUUUAAAACUUAUGAUUCUAACAUAUGAAUCAAUCUCAUAAUAAAAACAGUUACUUUUGUUAUUACUCCUUAAAAGUUUGCCCUUAAUCGACAAAUACCAAUAACUAGAACAUUGAACUAGUUGGCUUUGAUAAUAAUGUGUAUUGUAUUAAUUAAAGGGUAAAAAAAUUAUAUUUGUUUAGGGGUGAUAAAGUUUGAUAUGAUUCGUCAUUAUGUUUUUCAUAGAUUUAGAUUGUAUAUAAUUGAAUUUGGGUCAAAUAAUGUAAAUAUGCAUAAUUAAUUUAAUAACUAGGUAGUUUUUGGGACAAUUUACACAACAUAAAUUUGAUUUGAAUUGACUCAUUUAAUAAUAUUGUUAAUUAACUAAUUAUAACUUUAAUCUAUUUAAUCCGUAUUCAAUUAUUUUAAAUUUAUUUUUAAAUAAAUAAGUAAAUUGAGUCAUAAAUAUAUCUAGUUGAAACAUUAAUCAUAUAAACUUAUACAAAAUUUAGCUCGAUCUCAUUAUUAAAUAAGAGUACCUGAUUAUUAAAUGAGUUAAAUGAUGUAAUUCAUCAUGAUAUAUCUGAUUUAUACAUAAUAUCAUGAAAAAUGGAUACAGAUUAUGGACUGCUACUUAAUAUCGAUAAUAGGUCUAGAAAAGUAUCUAAAAAUAUCAUUAGAUAUUUGUACCUUGUUCAAACUAAGGAACCAUAAUAGAUUCCAUUUUGAGAGAGUUGAAAAAACACCAUCUCAUUUAAAGGUUCUAUACAUCUGUCAUGUCCUAACACAUUUCUUUAUACAAAGACUCCGUUUUUUCCUUUUUUCGAAUGGUAAAUAUUUCUCAAAACAUAGAGUGUGAAUCAAAUCCAUGUUUGAAUUAAAAUUAAGAUACCGAUGCAAGUUCUUCCCUUUUGAAUAAAAUAGAUUCAUAUCUAAAAGAGGUUGACAAUAAGUUCUUUCAAAAUUAACUAUUUGCCCCGCUAUUAGAGGUGUUCCAAAAAUGUCUACGAUCAAGUAAAUAGCUUUACUAACAAAUGGAUUGGAUCAAGUUGGAAAAUGAAAAGAUGCAUAAGUUAUACAUUUAGUAACCACUUUGUGGAAAAUCAUUAGGUAUGAAUAUAUUAAAUAUUCGUGACUUUGUUUAAUAAUUUGGUACUAUUUAGGUUUAUGUUUUUAACUCGAUUAUUAUUAGUACCAAUUUAGGUUAAUCUACCUAGUAGAAUGUCUAGACUUUGACACCGUACAUCAACACGAAUUAUCAUCCUAAUUCAAUUAUAUUUCUACCUUUAAUAUAUGACUUUAUGGCAACAUGCAUUUACCAAUUAUCUAACUAUAAAUUAAAAUUAUCUUAUGCAAUGUACUGAAAAUGAAACAUGUAUGUUUUGAAACAUCAUAAAUAUUUCAUAAGAGAUAAUUAUAUAUUUGUCAUUUUUCUAAUUUUCUUUAAGAAUUGUGAAUGGAGUGUAUAAUAAAAGGGAUUUUUUUAAUUCGUUUUGAGGAAGAAGAAAUUGAAGGGUUGGUUUCCUUGGUGGUGUAGAACAUGUUAUGACAUGUUAAAAAAUUAUUUUAAAUUAUUUUAAAUACAACAUUUAUAUGCAUAAAAUAUUUGAUUUUAAAAUGAAAAAAGUCAACAAAAAUUAUAAUAAUUAGCCUAAUAGCAUUUAUAGUAAACAAUCUUUGAAAAAAAUUAUAUAAUUAAAAAACUAGAUAAUUAUCAUAACCAUUAAUAUAAUAGUAAUAGCACAAUAAUUAGUAUAGGAUAAUAAUUAAUUUUUAAAAUUUAAGUUCAAUAUUUAUUGCCAAUUUGGGAAGAAGGUAUUGGAAACCUUUGCACAAAUCUUAUAAUUGAAUGACUAUAUUAUAAUUAAUAAUUAUUUAUUUAUACGCUAAUUACUUUAAUAUAUUUGUAAAUGAAUUAUUUUAAAAUAUAACAUUUAGGAAAAAAAAAAUGUUUUCAUACACUCAUAUGAAAAAAAGAAAAAUCAUAAAACAUGAAUUAAAUUUAUAAAAUAUAAAUUUCAAGUAAUCAUUUAAAAAUAACUAACAUUUCACACACAUUUUAGUUAAAGGUAUUACCUUUGACCAUUUAAGUAUUACAUUUUAAUGAUAUAAGUACUAUCAAAUAUCCUAGGUGCUGCAUUUGACCUAUGAGUGUAUAAAACUUGAUUUUUUAUUUUUAUAUAUACACUUUUUCUUGAACAUUUAUGAAAAAUAUCUUCUUUGAAAGAAAAAUUAUUGAAAGAGACUAUUAGACUAUGUAAUAAAAAUUAUUUUCAUUCCAUAAUUAUUUUCAAAUAUACCAUUUAUGCUUAAUAUUUAUUUUAAAUAAUAUUUCAAGUACUUCUAGAAUAAAAAGUACAAAAAUAUUAAAAAAAUUAAUCUAACAAUAGUAACCUAAUUAGUAUGAUUUAAAAUAUGAGACAACAAUUGAGAUAAUUAUUUUCAUACCAUAAUUUUUUUUCACAAAAAAAAUUGAAUAAGUGUGUUUUUUGGAAGAAAAAGAAAAUAAUUAUCAUAAAAAUUAAAGAACAAGUAGGGAAGUAUUAUAAUUAUUCAAUAAAAUUAAUAAUCAUAAUUUUUCUACCAUAAAAGGCUAGCAAGAAUUUACAUUUUUUGUGAAGAACAUGAUGGAUUGAAUUAUAUAAAGCAGGAUGAGAUAAAGAUUGAUGUAUAGAAAAAUAGUCAUUCCUUGAGAAAAUUUGAGAAAGAUGGAAUGGGUGAAAUGUGGAUGGAGGGGGAUGAGGGAGAGAAAGGAAGGAAAAGGGGUGGAAGUUGAGGAGAGAGGUGGCCCACAGUGGGGGGCAAUAAAGCUGCAAGACAGCCAGAGAUGCCUUUAAAUACAACAAACAGGCAAAGAUGACAUUGCCUAUCAAUACUGGCUGUUAACUCCAUUUGGAACUGCAAAAACAUAAUUCAGAGAGAGAGGGAGAGGGAGAGGAGAGAGGAGAGAGGAGAGAAGGGAGAGGGAGGGAGAGAGCUUUGUUGAGAGUGGGUCUAGGAGUGAAAGGAGGAGGGAGUGGAGCGAGGAUUUGGGCGAGAAAUGGGAGAGAAAAAUAUAUUCAGAGUGCUUAGAUUUGCAUGGUUUGAAUUUUAAAAAAAGAAGGUUUUUUUUUUUUUUUUGGUGGUGUGUGGGUGGAUGGGUGUGUGUUUGAUUUCAUCAUCUCUCUCUCAGACAAACAACUGUGUUUGAGAAAAAUCAGGAACCCAUCAGAUACUCACUUUCUUUCUCUAUCUACCUACAAUCUUUGCUGAAAAAUUGGCUGGGCUUGUGGGGGUUGUUCCUCUCUGCUCUAUAAGUUUUGCCAAUCUUGACUUGCACAAGUUGAGAGAUUUUAGGUAAAUCUUUGAUGGGUUCUUUGUGGUUCCUCUAGAUUUUGCAAUUGGGUGUUUUUUUUAUCCUCCAUAUUCCUAGAUUUUGAUUGUUUCUUUCAAAAUCAUUUGGUUCAGAUUUGGGUCUCUCCCUGAAACUCUGCAUUUGGGUUUGUUUGAAAGUUUUGAAAGUUUCUUGUUAUGUACACAUUUUGAUGGCAUUGAAGAAGAAUGGCACAGGAGGAGCAAAACCAUAGGUGUAGUGGGAGUAGCAGUGGCGGUGGUGGAGGAGGAGGAGGAGGAGGAAGGCCCAGCAAAAAGCCAAAACAGAAGAAAAUCCCACAGAGGGGACUUGGUGUGGCACAGCUUGAGAAAAUUAGAUUGGAAGAACAAAACAAGAAAAACAGUCCUGCUGCAUUUUUCUCAGAUUCCUCCACCUUAUCCUCAUCCAACCCUUCAUAUUCAUCACUCUCACUCCCCAAUUACCACCACUCCCACUCUUCCUCAUUAAUCCCUUUUCCUUCUCCCUCCCCACCCAAUCUUCAUUCCCCGACCUCUCAAUUUAGGCCCCCAAAUAUAGAUGUUGCCCACUCAAACACUGUUCCAUUGCCCAACCCAAUCUCCAAUGGGGGAUUUAAGAUUGGGUUUUCGCCUUCCAUACCAGUCUCUGGCCAUGGACAUGUUCCCAAAUUGUGGAACCAUGAGUUAAAUCUUGAGGGGGAGAAUCCUAGAGUGGAUCAUGGGCUAGUUUUUCAGCCGCCUUAUGAAUCAAACCCCAUUUGGCCUCUCCCUACUCUGAUGCAAAGGGCACAACCAUAUCAGCAACCUUCUUCUUCAAUGGUGAGACAAAAAGGUUUUCAUUAUUUGGAUUCUUUGUUGUGUUUUUGUUUGGUUGGAAAGUGAUUUUGAUGUUGUGGAAAUCUUUAGGUCAAUGUCUCAUCAGGAACUUCAUCAUCACCUAUACCAAAUUUUCAGAUAGAGCCCCCUUCAAACCAAAGCUAUUAUGGCAACAACUACACAUCCAUGUGGCCAGAGGAAGAGAAGGUACAUUCAACCUUAUUUAAUUUUUCUAGCAUUUGGUCUCUUAUCCUCUUUUAUCUUUUAGUUUUCUUAUUUUAUUUUACUUGAUAGAGGCAUAUGAAAGAUAGGACUUUUUUUAGUUAUGAUUUUGCUUCAUGUAACCAUUUUCUGAUUGAAAUGGAGGCAUAUGAAGGUGAGAUAGUAGUUUUAAUUUAUUUUUCCUAAGAAUUUUGAGUAGCUACUCACAUUUUGUCCUUGGAAUUAUAAGUAUGAAUUGUUCUCUAAUGGUUAAUUGGAUUAAAAUUUUGUAUAGAUGGUUGGGGUGAAGAGGCCAUACCCAUUCUCUCUGGACAAUCCACCAGGCCCCUCUUUCAACUCCAAAUUUCCUACCUUUGAUGCUCCUAUAAGAUCAGAUGAAUCAGCUUCAUAUGGAAAUGGAGGCACAUUCAUUUUGGAUGUCGGAAAUGCCAUUUUCAGGUCAGCUUUAGGUUUCAUCCAUUGGCCUUAUAUUGAAAUGGUAAAUCAUUAUAGUUUGUUCAUAUGGUGUUUGUUUCUUUCAACCUUUCUCAGAGAAGGCCCUUCAUGCUCAACUUCAUUGUCUGAAAUUGAAUCAAAGAAAGGCAUUAGAGAAAAUGGGGGUUCCAAUGGGGACUUUCUCACAUUGGCACCUCCCUCCAUCACUUCACCACACCCAAAUACAAGAUCAAAGCAGCCUCCUGGUCAUCCAGCCUACUACAACAAAGACUCCUCCGAAUUCGAGUCCUUGCCCUACCAAGUAAAGCUCAAACAACACAAUCCCGCCUUCCAUUUCCCAACCCCUUUUCCAACUCCCAAUCUCAUUAUCUCCAAUUCUUGUUUUAAGGGAAACACGGGCGACCCAAUUAGGCCGCACCCAACAGGGCCACUCCAGCAUCAGCAGCAGUGGCAGCAGCUGCCUUUCUACAAUUUCCUGCAGCCGGCAAACCCGCAAAAUGGCCCAGCAGCAACCAGUUCAAGCAAUUGCAAUGGUGGGGAAGUAGGAGGAAGUGUUGACCUCAACCUAAAGUUGUAAAUGGCUUGUCCUAGCCAAAGGCAAUUUCUGGUGGUACCUUGAUAGUUCUUUCUCUGCAUUAAGCCAUUCUAGGAUGGUUCUCUUCUAUCUUUUGUGUUCUAUAUGACUUAGCAGUAGAGUAGACACCUUGAGUUUGAAAAAGACCCCAAAAUCUUGAGCAUGUAAGGAUGAUAAAAGAAACAAAAAGGGGUUGUAGAUUUGCUUGUUUGGAUUCUUGGGCUCUCUCUCUCUUUCUUUUUCUUUUUCUUUUUUUCUUUUUUUUGAGAUUAUGGUGAAGUUUAAUGGAUAUGUGUAUUUUGUGUUUGGUUUUGGUUGGUGGGUGAGUGAGGGAUUCACAUUCACUCCAUUGGUAACAAACUUUUUGCAUGUGGACUUGUGGGAUUCUGAUUGUGCCUUUGUCUUUUAUUGUUUUGGUAGGGUCCUCAAAUCUCAUCUCCAUUAUUGCUGCAGAUGAGACAGAGAGACUCAGGCUGAAGAGGUCAUGGUUUGAGGUGGUGGGAAGAAGAAGAGAUCACAAACUAUUAAAAAUGUAAAAUUCAAGAGUGAAUUGAUCCCAAGAAAAUUUACUGAUUCAUGGUGAUAAGUUUGUAAAGACAAAUGUUUUUUAUCCUUGAAGAUUGUUCAUCUGUGGAUCUAAGCUUGUGUGUUUAGCAUUUUGAAUGUUUGGAUUUUCUUAGUUAAAGAAAUUAAAAUAAAAAAAAACACUGUAGGGAGUAUUUGAUAUUUGAAAUCUAAGCACCAUUCCCAAAAAGCAGAGGGAGUUGUAUUAUAUUCAAAGUAAUUAUGAAUCUUAUGUUUUUUAAAAAUUUAUAAUUUAAAGAAGUAAUUUUUUUUUUAUUUACUUUCUCACAUUUAAAAUUUUUUGAACUGUUUAUUUAAAAAAAAUAAAAUUGGACAAGAGUCUUUAUAUUUAUUAAGUUUUUAUUUUUGAAAACAAAAAAUAAAAGAAAAAUACCAAGGGUACAAUUGAAAAAUGUUAUUUUGAAUCUUGUUCCCUUUAUUUGUAUUUUAAAAGAUGUUUGGUAAAAUUUAUAUUUAUUAUUUAAUAAUUUAAGUUGAUUUGAAGUUAAAUUAUACUUAAGUUGUUAACUUAAAACUUAUUACUUAAUUCUUACUUUAAGCACUAAAAUUGUUUGAUAAAAUUAAUUUACACUUUAUUUUAAAUAAUCAAAUUGACAUAUUUAUCCUUAUAAAUUAUAACUUAGGUAAAUGGGGUCGUAAAAUAGUAAAAAAGAUCGGAAUUAGAAUAAAUAAAGAUAAAAAAGUAAAAUAAAGAUGUGAAUUUAAGAAUAAGUUAAUUAUUUUUACUCAUUACUUAAAUUUUUUUUUUUUACUUUAAGUCAUAUUAUUAAGUUAUUUUACCAAACAUACUUAAUUUACUUAAUGACUUAAAUUAAGUUAUUACAUCACUUGAAGUUAUUAAGUUGAUUUACCAAAAGCACACUUAGUCUCAUUCCUUUUUAUUUAGAUCCCAUUGUUUAUAUUUUCAUCCAAUAUAAUUAAAAUUGUGAGAAAACGGAAUUGGGACACUCAUUUAGGAAAAAAAAAAUAUGAAAAUAAGAAAUUAUAUUUUUAAAAUCAAAUUUAUUUUUAUAAGUCAUAAAAUAUUUAGAGUUUGGUGUAAUCUUCCAUUACUUUCCCAACAUGAUCCCAAAAUACCCUUUUAAAUUAGUAAGAAUACCCCUUAAGGUUUUGAAUUAAAUGUUAAAAUGUUGAAUUUUUUCAAUGAAUAAAUAUUAAAAAUUAUUAUAUAGAAUAAUCAUUGAAAAUAUAUCAAUGAAAAAAAUGUUUCCUAUUUUUGUUUUUUUUUUUAAGGAUAUUUAUUAUUUGUGUUGUAAACUUGCUAAAUUAUCAAUAAUAAAUUCUAAAGUUUAAACCAUAAAUAAUUAAAACAUUUAAAAUUUAUCCUCCUCUCAUAAGAAUAAACUCAUAAAUGUAAGUUUUUGAGAGAGUGAUUCAAAGAGUUUUGGAUACACUCUUUUUUUUUUUUAAAAAAAAUACAAAAAUAAUAUUAAUUUUUAUAUAAAGUACAAAAACUCUUAAAUUCUUAUAUUUAAAAAAAUUAAAUAAUUUUUAUGGUCAUAAAGUUUUUUUUAAAAAAAUGUAUAUCCAAACCAGAAUAAUUAAUAAAAUUUAUUUGAAUAUGAAAAAAAGUUUACAUAAAUUAAAAACUAAAUCCAUAAAAGUUUUAUAAGAUUUUAAAACAUUAGUUAUUGUGAGUGUUUAGCAAGAUUGAUAAUUUUUUACAAAAACUCCUAAAUGUCUCCUAAUUCAGGUACUCCAAAUCCUUUCUUGUGCUACUAGUCUAAUAAAGAUCAAGGUGUUGAAAUAGCUUAGAGGCUAUAUGGUAUGUAGUUGAGUGAAUAGGUGGAUGUGAAUCAAUUUAGUUUUGAAGUUAUUGCUUUUUCUCUUGAACUAUUUCUUUAAAAGAGUUGAUGAAGUUUGGACAACAAUUUCUUUUGACAAAGUGUUUAUGCGCCCUGAUCCAUGAUUGAUCUAGACUUAUGUACGAUUGAUCCAUUUGCUACAUAAUCUUUUUUCAACCAUGGGAUCAAGGGUUUUGUUCCUUUUAAAACCAAAUAUUUCUAUUUUAGGAGAAAGACAAUAUAGUAGUCGUUUAUCACUCCCUUUGUGCUCUUUUUCUUCAAUUCAAAUUGCGAGUGUUUGAUUUAUAAAAAAAUUCUUCUUACCUUGAUUUUCAAAUCAUUUUUCAAUUAGACUUUCUUAAAAAUGGAUUCAUUUAUAUGUUCAUUCAUCUCUCUUGUUCUCAUUUGUUUACGUUAUGAGUUAAAACUCUUUUUUUUUAUUGAGCUUCAACAAGAAGCCAAGGUCAAGCUUCACGUGAACUUCAAGUAUUCUCUAAAAGAUGAAGGCAUGUAGUUGAAUUGAGAAGAUGUUGGUCAAAUGGUUAAUGAAUGAUUGAUUAGACAUGAGUUAGAUAACUCCUUCUACACAUUGAAGUUCUUCAUGGUGAAAGUGUUUAAUUGUUGGUAGAUUCGUGGUUUUUCAUCUCUUAAGAGAUUUUCUACGUAAAUAUUUGGUGUUAUGGUCUCUAUCUCAUUCUUCUCAUUUUUCAUUAUCAUUUAUUGAUGCUAAUUUCAUUCUUAAUCAUACAUGUUAAAUGGGUGAAAAAUAAGUUGAAAUGAGUUCAAUUAUUCUUUAGAAACUUUGGAUACUUUUCUUUUCAAUUUGAUUACAAUAUCAAAGAGUAAUUAGAAAUAUGAUUUAAAUAGUUAAUUAUUAUUAUGAAUUUUGAUCGGGAACCUUGAUUUAUUUGCAUACAAAUUGCAUUUAUUAAAUUUUUUUUUAGAGAGUUUUGGUGCAUCUAUACUUGCAUGUAAUUUUUAUUUUUUAUUUUUUGUUAAAAAGUUGUUAGAAGAUAUGAGAAAUUUUAAGGAAAGACUAUACAUGUUGGAGCAUCUCUUAAAUUUAUUUAGAAACACCUAUUCAUCCCUCGGGAUAGUCCAACAUUAAAAUUCAUCAUUGGUUUUUAUUAUGAAUAUUUUAUUUUUCAAGUGGAGAUCUUGAGAAAUGUUUUAUAUGUGGGAUGAGUGUGCUUUAAAAAAUAACAAAAGUAAAAAUAAUGUUCAUGGUUUUUUGCAUAAUAAUUUUUUAAAAGUUAUUAAUAUUUAAAAAAAAACAUUUAUAUUUUUUUGUGGUUUAAAAACUAAUUCGAACACAUGGUGUCAUCAACUUAAAAAGACAUUUUAGAUAUUGAUUGAAAUAAUAAAAACAUGAGAAUGCAUGAAAUCAAUUCUAAAUUCUAAAUAUUUUAGAUUUACGAAUAUAAAUUUGAUUUAAAAAAAUGCAAGUUCUUAUUUUCUUUGAUUUAAAGGAACAAUUUGUUCCUUUUUGCAAAUUUUUAAGUUCAUAAAGCAUGAUGACUCAUUAGAUGAGACAAAUAUUUAUCCUCUUUAUAAUUACGAUUAUGGACUAUCUUUCUUAAUAUGGUUUGAGUUCAUCUUCCGAGGACUAUGAUGGAUUUCACUAUCUUCCUCCAUAAAUUUUGUACAAUAUUCCAAAUCAUAUACAAUGGAAGAUUUCAAACAAACACGUAAAUGAAUUAAAAUUAAGAAUAUUAUGAAGGAUCCUAAAUACUUAAUUGUAAUAUAUCCAUAUUUAUAAUCAAUAACCCAAGCCAUUGCGACUUCACAAUUCCAUAUACAUUAAACUAUGAGACUCUGCACAUUAAGCGGGAAGCGAUUGAUCGCAAAGGAGAAAUCAUAACUAAACAAUUUAUUAAUACGUAAUAGUAAUUAUCGAUCGCAGAAGAGAAAUUAUAACUCAACAAUUUAUCAAUAUUGAUUACUACUCAAAAAGUGUUAUUUGAUAACUUGUAAUUAACUCUUUUAAACACUUUUGAGUAAUAGUUAUUACCUUUUAACUCAAUUAGCAUAUUAGGUACCUUUGCAAUCGUUUCUAAUCAAAUUGUGUAAGUUUCGGUGCUUUUGAUAGUAAUUUGAUCACCAAAGCAAUCCAAGAUUAAGGAGAGUUCUAUGAAAUCCAUGGCAAAGCAAUUGGAAGCUCAUUUACAUGAAGAAUUCAAGAGGACAUCAACUGUUUGACACUUUUGGAGCACUUCCUAGAGUCCAUUUGAUGCAUACUAUAUGUUGUUUCGAAGCUCGGGAAGUUAGCAAUCCAACGCUUCAAACGGUGCGCGAAUCAGAGUUGAAAUGAAGAAGUUAGAGCCAUUGGAAGCCAAUCACACCAAGCUGAAGGCCAAUUUCGCAGGCUGCGAAAUCAGCCUUUGCCUGCGAAGUUUCGCAGCCAUCUUGCACGGUUGCGAAAUCCUCCUGAGUGCUUCCAGAUAUUUGUGAUUGACAUUUUUAGAUUUUUUGCUUCAAAUAUUUUAUGUCUAAAUCCCUAUUUUCUCCUUGUAAUCCACCAAUUAUUGGAUUCCUUAGUUAUUAAGUAAGAACAAAAGAGUGAAUAACUUGAUAUAUAUUGUUUUUGUAAUUUUCAUGAGAUAUCUCUCGGGAGCUUGUUCUCAGAGACAAUCAACUUUUUGUAUAGUUUUGAAGGAAGUAACAUACAGAGCUUUGCUCUGCCUUACCUACUCAAUUUGAUUGUAUUUUUCUUACUAGCCAAACAAGCUCUGAGGAUGUUUCCUCAAAUAAUGAGAGGUUAGGUUUUUUGUUUCUUGGAGCUAAGGUAGCUGGGUAAGGUGCCGAAUGCAAGAAUUGGUAGUUUUGUUGUUUCAACUGUUAAUGAAGAGAAAGUAUAACCUGUUUAUGGUUUCUAUGUUUUAAGUUAACUUAAAACGCUUUCAAUUCACCUGGGCCAACACUUGGUAAGGCAAGUGAUCUCCGUCCAUUGAGAUGCACUAGUUUACCUCUUGCGAACCUUUGGGAGGUGACUUGAAGGUAGGAUUUUCUAGAAUUACCAACACUUGGUAAGCUUUUGGACUCUAAGGAGACAUUCAUUAGUUAUCUCUUGAGAGUUUGAGAAGGGAAGUCCAAGGUUAAUAAUCACCUUGAAUGGCAAAUGCUAGGUGAGAGGCACGAGCCAUUGCAAGAUGCAUCAGUGAGAGGGAAUUAGUGUUGAAAUCCAUAGAAGGGAUGCAUCUGUACAACACCGGUUGGAGAAUAAACUAUAUAUUAAUUCUCCAAUGCGAGGAAAAGAACUAAAGUGACCGGAACUCUGUUUUUGCAUGAGAAGCCUGACCCCAGUGAUCCUAAAACUCCACGAAACGCUUUUCUUUGUAAGUAAUUCCCAUUAAUUUCUUUUUCGUUAGCUUGAAACCAAUCAUUUUUCAACCAAAGUUUAUGUUUUCUUUUGAAGCUAACCUUGAAAUGAAAAAGCAUCAAUUCAACUUUGAAUUGGUAUCAGUUGUAAGUUGAAAACCCUUCCUAGUGAACAAUCCUAGAGUCAGCUUAUGCUAUCCUAGUGCAUGGUGAUAUAGGUUAUAAAUUUUGUUGAUUACUCCUAUCUGAUGACCAAACUCAAGGUACACCAACUGGACAUGAAUCAAAUAUGCAAUGGUAAUUACUCCAAAGGCUUGUGAGAUGUGGGGAAUGCUUUUCUAAAUAGAAAACUACGUAAGGAGGCUUACAUGCCACCUUCGCAAGGAUGAUCAGUUUCUUCACAUCUAGUUAGUCAACUUAAGAAGGCAUUGUAUGGACUAAAUUAAGCAAACUCCGACUCAAAAGUAAGAAGCAAGGUUGAUCGUAGAUAAAUUUUGCUUUGUAAACUCUAUAUAAUAGUGCUAAAUAUUAUUUAAAUUAAGAUGGUUUUCCUUCUUUCUCAAAUAAUAUAAAACCAUAUUUGUCCUUAUUUUCGUAUUAAAUGAAACUAUUAAAAUGUAAUUUGUAUAAAACAUCAAUAUUCAAUGAAAUCAAAUUUUACCUCUAUAUUAGUAUUAAUAUUAAAACAAAAUUUACCAUAUUUCGUUUUCUUAAAACAAAUUCAAUAUAUGUAUUAUUACUUUUAUAUAUUCCAUAAAAGCCAACCAUAGAUAUUUCAUAAAUUUUUUUAUUUUUUUAUUUUCUCAUUCUGACUUCUAAAUCACGAACUUCUUUCAUAAAACUAGUUUGAAAGGUCCUACCAAAUUAAAAGAACUUCUCAACUUCUCAAAAUUAUUAUUAUUUUGAGAAUUGAUCAACGUUCCAUGGUGAAGUCCCUCAAACUCUCCAUGGGGACCCAAACAUUAGAUGCCAUUAGAUGCUAAUAACGCCCACUACAAUCAGCACCAGAUAAUCCUAGACAUUCAAUCAACAAUAGAAAUCGAACCGAGGACCAUGUGCCUCUACCACUGACCACCACUAACCAAUUGGACACAUUGAUGGGCUUAACUUCUCAAAAUCCAUCCAAACCAAACCCAAAAUAUUUUUUCUUUCAUAUGUAUAUCAAAUAAAGAGACUUUAGAUUCUUUUUCCCCCUUUUUCCUGCUGCAUUCCAUCAUCCAAACAUAGCCUAACAAUUAGAGCUCAACAAAAUACAAAAAAUGGUUCAGUUUUUACAGGCUUAAGGACUUUAAGAGUUCAUUUGAAUCUUGAGGACUCCAGCUGUAACGCCCAGACAUUUUCUUUUAAGGGUAAUUUAAGAAAUUGUUAUUAAUAAUUUAAUUAGUUAAUUAAUUAAUUUAAUAAAGUGGAAGAGGGGUAAAAGUGUAAUUUUACAAAUAAAUACCCUAGGUAUAAAUUAGAAAUUUUAUUCUUUCCCUUCUUUUCUGAAUAGAGUUCCUGUUCAUAGAAUUCCAGAGAAAAGGUUGGAGUCAGAUUUCAGGGUUGAAGAACAGAUCUCUAUAGGUAAGAUUCUAACCCCUAGUUUAAUAUUUUAGAUUCAUUGAUUAAUUUCAAACACAUUAGAUAUAUUUUUUUUGGAAAACCCCAAAUCUAGAUUAGGGUUAGAUUAUUUUUUUAAUUCGUUUUAAUAUCAAAUAGUGAAAAUUUAAUAUUUUGAUUUUAGUAUUGGAAUUUGGGAGAUCUUAAGUUUUAUUAGAAAAAAAAAAAUUCCUUGGAAUAUUUCGAUUUUAGGUUAGGGUUAAUUAAAAAAAAAAAAAAAAGGGAGAACGCGUGUGCACAGCAUUGGAAGGAAGGAAAAUAAAAAUAAAAAAAAUUUUUGGGCGUGUGCCCAGAUGGAAGGAGACUUAUAUUAUAUAUAUAUAUAUAUAUAUAAUGAUUCAUUAUUAUGAUGAUGGCAAUGGAAAAAAAAAAAAAAAUUGCUUUGCUUUACUUGUUUGGUGUGUACCCCAAACAAGUAAGAGAUUUAGCAAAAUAUAUAAUAAUAUAUUUUUUGUAAUAAUGAUUUAGCCUCAAAUUAGAUAAUUAAUAAAAUAAUGAUAUUUAGUUUCAGAUUAAUAAUUAAGAUAAUAGUAAUAAUAGAUUUAGCAAAAUAUAUAUAUAUAUAUAUAUAUAAUUUUAUAAUGAAAUAAAAUUGUAAUUUAAUUAAAUUAGUAGUAUGUUAUUAGAAACAAAUUGAGAAUUUAUUAGUUUUAUUUAAAUAAAGAAUAAAUUAGUUAAAUUAUAAAUAAAUAGUAAUAAUUGUUUCUCUUAUGUUAUAUUAGGUGAAGAGUAGAUUAUAUUUUUUUCAGAAUUAUUCUUCUCCCAAACUUUCAAGGACUUCUUUUGAGGUAAGGGAAGUUAAUAUAAUAUUUAUAAAAUUAAAUUAUUUCAUAUGUUAUUUUGAAUUGUGGAAAAUAAAAUGAUAUUUUGUUACCAUGCAUGGAUCAAAUUGUUUUGCACUAAAUGUUAUGUUGGAAUAUUUUGUUUUAUUUAUGACACAAAAUAUGGAGAUAUUAUGUUGUGUAAAUUUGAAUACUUGAACAAAAACAUCACUCUGGUUUAUUUGGCCCUUGUCAACGGGAUAUAAUAGUUGACUAUUCGGCCCUAUCAACGGGAUAUAAUAGUUGAUCUUUACAUUUCAUAGUGAGAAUGUAAUUGAUUUGGACCCCAGCCUCUAGGGGUUUGGUUAGAGGUUACUAGUACUAGUAGUGUUUGGUCCGUCCACCAAGAACAAUUUGAGGCUAGCCACCCAUUUGAAAAGUCCCACCUAACUGGGCAUUUGAUAUUUGAUAACCAGAGUAAUGAAACUUGAAUGAAUUUGAUUGAAUCUUAUGUGAAAGUGUUUGAAUUUGAUAUGAAAUUGAUUGGUUGAAUUUUGAAUAUAUUGGUAUUUUUGGAACUCUGAUAUUUGAUGAGAAAAAAAAAAUUGAUAUCUCCUAUUUGAAAUGAAAAUAUUUGAUCCAUGAAUUGCAUUAAUAUUCCUUAUUGGGCUGUGAGCUCAUCCCCAAUUGUUGAAAAUUUUUCAGGUACUCUUAGUUCGGGUGAGGAGUGAUGGCUAGGCUGAAGAAUGGUCAUCAUUAGGAUUUGACUUAGGAUUUUAUGUUGGAUUUUGUUUAACUGUUAGUUAUGUUCAUUUGGAUCAUUUGAUAUUUGGAAGUUAUUUGGAAAUUGAAUUUUGAAGAAUUUAGAUUUUGUUCCGCUACUCUGAACAGGUAUUUGGUAAUUAGUAACAUCUAGUUACAAUAUGAUUGUUCGGGUCAGAUUAUACUUUAAGCCUUCGGGUUUGAGGUGUGAAAUGACCGUCACGCCCUUGGAGUGGGUCUUGGGGCGUGACACCAGCACUAGGAGAAUUUUUUAAUAACUCAAAAUAUAAGACUGAAGGGACUCAGUUCAGCUCAAAUAUCAGUUGAACAAAAGUAAUAAAAUCGGCAUUCAGCAGCAAAAUUAUUUAAACACAACCUCAAGUAAUAGUGGUUUUAACAUAAAGAUCAACCUUCAUAUUUAACAGGAAGGAAAAAAAAGACUCAUGUGGCAUUGAAAGAAAAUAAUUUUCACUGAACACUAGAAAAUUUGCUAUCCACCAUUGCUACAAAACAACGUUUCAAGUUUCAGGUUUUGGGUUUCAAGCAGUAUUAGCUCAAAAUAUAGAUGUAGGUGAAACAGCCGAGAAUUCUAAAAUGAGUAAUAAUCAUAGAGCUUACGAUUAGUCACAAGAGAGUGCCUCCUGUAAAACUUUUGUGGUCUCCAUGACUCUAUGACCAGCCAAGGACAUAGUCCAAAACAUAAACCAGUGCCAGGGAGAAAGGGUAUAGCAAGAGAGCUACAAAAGAUGUCCAGAGAGGGAAGGUGGUGCGGAAACUGGCAAAAACGCCCAUCACAACGCAAACUAUGACAAUGACCAGCACCUCUGAUGAAAAGUCCCAUGUCAAUCCCCUAACAUAAACGAGGGCUAAGAAGACUGACAGGCAAAGGACAUUAUUCAUUGUUACCGCCCCAUAUAACUGUAUGAGAAAAAGAGAUGAAAACAGAUUAGAGGGAUAAUUUCAUAACUCCAGAACAAAACAUUUAACGAUGAAGCAAAUAUAUUGAUGCCUGUAAACAAUAACACCAAUGUUUAUGCCUUGUGAGUUCAUAUUCUGCACUAUUUGAAGAUGAACCUAUGACUAUACUGGAACUCUGGCCUACAAGCAGCUAACAUGGUUCGUAUAAUUCAAUAUACACCAGUCAUUUAGAAAGUCAGUUCCAGAGACUGCAUUUCACUGGGGGAGGGAGAGAGGAUUACAAGAACUGUUAUGAGAUUGUGAGAAAUACAGGUGUUAUAAGAAGAUGUCUUAGGAGAUCAAAUGUAAGAAACAUUGAUUAGGCUAAAAAGUGCGUUUGGUAGUGAUUUUAGGAAGUCUUUCUAGUCUUUCUAACACUUGAAAGAUAAUGGACCUUCCCUAUAAAACAACCAAUGAAGUUUUAGCCAAAUCUAAGAGCUAAUGGGCACUUUGCAGUAAUGAAAAAGCAAUAAUACCUUCUAAUCUUAAGUUUUUCACUAGAAAUCAACGGAAUAAUUAGUGAAUGACAAAUCACAAAUUUUUUUCAUUUUCUUAAAAAAAUAGAUUGUUAAGUUUGGGAAACAUUAGAUUCAUUAGAAAUAUUGGAUCAUUAAUCAAAUAAUGCUCUGCCAUAUAGCUCCAAACAGGUGGUGUGAUUAUUUAGUAUCCAAAAAUUACAUAGAAGAGAAGGGAAGAAACACACCUCUGAAAAUGUCAAAGACGUAGUCCUGUUCUUUUUGCGGCUAGCAAAGAUAAUUGCUGAAACUGCCUCACUGGAGUUGGUAGCCAAGGGCAGUGCAAUAAAUGAGAUGAAGAAGGUAGGAAUACUUGUAGCAUCAGAGAAGUUGUCAACAGCAUCUACAAGGGGAUCAGCAAAUACAGCUGCAAUAAGAGUUCCCAACAACAACAUCAUUACUGCUUUAAAGGUAAUCCACUUCGGGUUUUCCACAGCCUCAACCACCUCAUCACUUUGAUCCCCCCCCAAACGAUGGUGCUCUCUCUUUGUUCCCUGCAGACGCAUUUCAAAAAGUUGGGAAUCUUGCUCAUAAUAAGCUGCUGCUGGAGAAGGUUGUUAUGAGACAACUUACCCUGUGAAAAGCAUCUAAAACACUUGAUGAAUUAGGACCAGCAUCAGGACCAGAACCCCCAUAACGCUUUGCUUCCAUAAGCCAUCUUGAAAUUCCUUUGACAAACUCUCCCUCAUCAACAAACUGAUCAUUGGAUGUAUCAAAAUCACUCAUCACUUUGUCCACAGCCUCAUUCUUAUCCAAGUCUAUCUCCUCAAACUGAAUUCCUACAAUCAAUGCUCUUAAUUCGGCUUUUGAAAGGUUCCCAUCGUGAUUCUCAUCAAUUGUAUGAAAAAGCCUGUGGCAGUACCAAUCAUGUGCUCAGGAAAUAUAAGUCAUACUAACAGCAUGCCUGCAUUUGAUAAAACACUUACUUUCUUAUAAUUUCUUCAUUAGGUUCACCUUCCUCCGUUAGGAGCUUUCCGAGUGCGCGCUUUCUUAAAUGUUUAAGAAGUCCAGAUAUUACAUGUUUAUGCUUUGCAUAAGCAAGUCGUCUCUUUUGUAUCCAAGGCACAAAAACCUGCACCAAUAUUUAAAAGAAAAGUUGAGCAUCAAUACAGAAAGGAGACCAAGAUUCCUUUUUCUUUUGUAUUUUUAUGAAUAACAAUUUUGUCGAAUCUAUUAAGAGAAAGGCAGAAACCGAUCUACAAGUGGAUUAUAAAUUGGAAAGCAGAAAACAAAAAAUCUAUAAAAUCAUGAAGGAGAAAACCUUCCCUCCAUAUGAUACAACAAAAAUGGCAAUUCCACAAUUCAAUUUUAAAAUUGCCAAUCCCAAUACAUUCUACUAGAAUAAUAAUAAUAAUAAUAAUAAUAAUAAUAAUAAAUAAAUAAAUAAAAUUCAUAUUAGCUAACUCUAUGGCAAGAAAAAAAUACUCGCCAUUGACUGUAACAAUCCCGGUUAUAUUACUCAGCCGCUGACUAAGACAGCCCUAAAUUUUCGCUUUUUAGAUAGAAAGUCUGUUCCUAAGGCCUUGAAAACUCAAAUACGCAAAACUUUGUAAAAUGUAAGGAAGGGUGUCUUUGACUUUGCAAUAAACUAUAACAUGCUAUUUAUCCAAAGAACAGCACAUUAUAGCAUGAAUAUAGUUUCAAGUUUAAAUUUCCAAAUAUUUCCCUCAGACAUCCCAAACGCUUCCAUUUUCAGGAGAUAAUUGAUAGAUAAAUGAAAAUAGAAAAUAUUUUAGAUUAAUUAAUGGUGCAUUUGACAAAAGGGACAUUGUUAUGAUUGAAAUAUUUUGAUGAAAUUUUCUCAAAAAAGAAAUCUUAUAAAUUAUCUGUGAAUGGAAGAGAUUCUUGAGCGCUUAUCAAUCCAUAAAUAAAGUCAUACAAUUAAAAGUAUUCAAGCAUGAAACCAAGGGAAUUUUCAGAUCCAUUCCAAAAAAAAUGAAAAAGCUUUAGAGACAUGUUUUAGAAAACAGCAGGAACAUUUGGAAACAUGCUGUAAUCAAUUGUUUCAUUUUCUUGAACGUAAACCAGAAAACAUCAUUUUGAUGGUUCUUGGAAGGACAUGAUGAUUUCAAAAAGAAGUUCUCAAAGCAAGGAGGUUUCCAGAGAUCUAAGUGACAACAUGUCAACAUUAUUCAACUUUCUGGCCAUAGUUGCUUACUCAUAAAACAAAUCAUGAAUCUUUUUUCUAUUUUUCCAUAUCAAAUCAUGUACUGUAAGAUUUUUAUAUAGUGAAAAAAAAAAUUAAAAAAAAAUUCACACAUGUACAUAUUUAUUAGAAGCAUGAAGUAUAGUAAUAGAUAACCAAUUUCAUGGAAGAUAGUAGGAUUUAAAGAGUUAAACUAUGUCUGAUCAUAUGAAAACAUUGGAUACUAGAGGUUUAAAAAAAAUAUUCAAUUUAACAAACCUGAGUUUAAUGUAUAGGAAUUUCAUGAAUUUAGGCCCUAGUUGGAUUGACAAAAUGAUGAGGGGGGUGCACGAGAGGUUCAAAUUUAAUCAAUCCUUUUAACUGUUGAAAACAUGAUUAAAAUUAAAAACCAAAGUGUAAUUAAAUUUGAUGACUGCCAAGAAAAUAAUUACCUGGUACAAGCAAUAAGUAAUCAAUAAUAUAAGGGAGACAAUAAGCGCAAUCAAGACUGCUAAGCGUCUUGCUGAAGUUGAAUGUAGAACUUGAGGUAGUUGGACAAUGAUAAAUGGGAUGACUGAUAUCACCAUGAUGAUUGCAGCGUAACUAGUCCAGAUAUCGGUACUAACACCAGAACCUGUGAAGGAGGGAAUUAUUUUAAACAUGUAGCACUAUAGUCAUUAAUUCAAUAUUUUUAAAUCUGUUUAUACUACGGCAUCAAACACAGUUUAAGGAUGUGUUUUUAGUCAUCAACUUUUGGGAUAUGUGAAUAUCAUUCCUGACACUUAACUCAGCAGUAGGAUGACAUUUACCAUCACUUAAAUGGAAUUAGAAGAUAGCAAAGAAAAGCAACUUAAAUUUAUACAAGUCUCAAGGGUAUGUGUAUUUUAGAGAAUAUCUAUUUUCAUCAAUCACACUUUUAAAGGUCAACAUAGUGAUAGCUUAAAUCUUCUACAUUUGACUUUUCUAGUCAUGUAACAGCUGCAAAGUUAAUAGACAUUCUAAGCCCACAAAAAUUUUGCUAUUAAGGAAUGAUAUAUAGCAAAUUUGGUUAUUGACCAACUAGCUCCACAUAUUUCCAAAAUACCCUUACUUGAUAGUUAUACGCAUGAUGUAUAACACGUGGAAGAAAUCAAGAGAGACGGAUGAAAAGUUAAAUAUGAAGGUAUAACACAGGAGAGAAGAAAAUUAAGAGAAGAAGUUGAAAAUGUAAUUUAUUGUGGGAACCACUAUCUUGUUAAAUGAUAUUAGACACUAAUUCAUCUGUAAAAUAUAAAUAUGCUCCUUAUUACACCAUGUAAUCCAUAAGUCCAUCAUCAAAUUAUUAAAUUAAACAAAUGUCCCUGCCUUAAUCUUAACAGCAUGCAACAAAUGCAGUUUUUGAGUGGGCUUGCGACUGCCAAAAAUGUAUACAAGCCAGAACUUAGUAGUUUAUCAUAAAGAAAUAAUAAAUGAUAUAGGAUAGCACUCUGCACAGGUAAAGGUAUAUCGACAUGGGCAUACCGGUUAGGCUAAAUCCUUUGGUAUCUUGUGAGUCUUUGGCAACUGAAUCCUGAAGGUCACACUUGCCAACAAUAACACAAGUUCCCCAUAUUAUUGUAAGGAGCAUUACAGUUGAUCCAGCAAGCAACCCCAUUCCUACAGAGACCUGACUCUGUGCAGUUUCUGUACUUCCAGACAGGCCAGAUACUACAUGAAAUAAGAGAGUUCAUUAGAAGGAACAUGGAGAUCAAUCAUUAGAUACAUGACUACAAUGUCACUACAAAAAGGAUAAAACAUAAAAUGAAAAUAAAUAAAAGGAUACAGAACUAUAAAAGAACAUGCACGUUCUCCCCGUUAGAAACAUGGAAAAGAAAAUUUAGAUUUCGGAAACGUGGGGAUACAAGGGGUGAGCAGCAUCAUAAAUUAAUCACUGCAAAGCAGUGAGCACUACUGAUUUUAGGCAAAAGCAGGCAUGACUAGUAUAUAAGACAAACCAAACCAUCAAUUCAAGAAUCAAAGCAGAGAAUUGAAUAUUUACUAAAGCUGUCAAUGCAUAACAUGGUAUAAUUCACGCCCUUCAUACUAUGGGAUAAUUGAUUAUUCCAUCCUUUGGUCCUUUUACCCCAACCAAAACUCCAAAAUACCAUUCUCAUUUCAAAGUGAUAGUUCCAAAAUUUGUGCGGCAGCACCAAUGAGCAUUUGGGCUAAGGCAUAGGGUACUUCCAAUCAAGAUAAAGCAUCAGACAUAUUCAGAAGGUUUCCUCUACUGUGUAUCUAAUGUGAUCAUCAACUUAAACAUAGAUUUCAGAUUGUUAGAAGAUGCUCAUUCAUGAUGUCAUGUCAAAGUUAGCGCUAAAAACUUCAUCCAUGCUCAAAGUUGGGAUCAAAAAAUGGAAAAAAGGAAAAAAAUAUUAAGAACCAAAUCAUUUGCAGAACUCUUGCUCUAAAAAUAAAGUACAAUGUUGGGGAUAUUACUUAGCAGAGGAAUUUGCAAAACAAUGGCUACAGGACAAAGGAAAGAACAAAAGAUCGUUUACCAUCCAUCUCAAAUGGAUCUUUCACUGGGUAUCUCAGACACAAGAAACAGAGAAACUCCUACCAAGAAACUCCAAACCAAAAAAAAAAUGAACACAAAAAAUUCUGGUUGAUGUGUUCUUAAAUUCAACAGCUGAAAUAAAACACUGUCAGCAAAAAGUUUCUUGGAACAAAUUACUGCACAAAUUCUGAAAUAAACAAAAUACUGCACAAAUUCUGAAAUAGAGACGAAUUAUAACAAAUAUUGAAAUUAAAUUAAAAUUUUGAAUCUAAGAAUUUUUAUAUUUGGGGGCCCUGAUUCCAAAAGAGGGAGAGAGAGAGUUAAGCUUAAAGGGUUUUGUUUCCUUUUCCUUAGUUUCUUCCAACGGUCCGACCCCAGUCCAGGGUAUAUCCUCCAGCUCACACAGUACAGUUAGAAAAUUAUUCCAAAAAAAAAAAGGGUCAAACAAGAACUCAGAAAAAUCAGAUUCUGAAUUUACUUCUCCUGUCAUUUUCUAAGGCAACAAAUAGUAAAAACAAUCUUUAAAAGAAAAGAUCAGAAAAUAAGAAGGAGAAGAAAACACUUGAUUUACAUUCUUUGUAGCUGAUUGAUUUUUCCCCUUUUCAAAAUUAAAAAAAAAAAAAAAGAAGGUUGCUGAGAAAAUGUUGUAAAAGAAAAUCAAAGUUAAUCUGGAAUCUUCAGAGUUUUUCAACCCAUAUAAAAGAAAAUAAAAAAAAUUAAAAAUAUAUAGCGAGAAAUGAAUGACCAAAUUUCAUUGUUAUCAUUUUUCUUCCUCCAAUUUCUCAGCAAGAAACAGAGAAAAAAGUUUAUGAAAAACAAAAAAAACCAUAAGUGAAUCUGAACAAAAACAAUGUAAAACAAAAGACCCAAAUCCAAUCUUUCCGCUUCCUCCAAUUUCCGGGGAACAAAAUCAGAAACAGAUACGCCGCUUGAUUACCAAGAAAAUGAAAGAAAAAUUAAAAACUUGGUAGCAGUGAACACAAAAAAAUGAAAACCUCCCUUAAAACAACUACUUCACCUAACUGUUUCGAGCAUUUAAUUUUCAAUAACGCCAAAAAAAAUGACGGUUCUGUUCUUUUCCUCCACUUUCUCAUCAACCCAACGGUCAUUUUACCAUUACCUACACUUUCCCAGUAAAAGAACAAAGAAAAGAGAGCAAAGUCCGUACCAAGGAUAAGCAUGGCAUCGGGAAGAGCGCCGAGAAUGGGAAGCAAGAGGCCACCGACCAGGCCAGGACCCAAGAGUUCAAGCAGGAGCUCACUGCCGGAGGAAAGAUAGGUUGCGGCGAGGAACAUGAGGUAACCAUAGACCAGGAUGAGGAAGAGGUUACCCACUGUUGUCGUUGUGCAGGGCAUGAAUCCGUACGUCUGAUCACAUGAAUCCGAGGCUGAAACAGCGGAAAAUGAUCUGAGAAGAAGAUAAGGCGAGCCAUCGCGGUGGUCGUGGACGCCGUCAGAGACUAGGCCGGUGGACGAUGUGCGGUUGCUUAUGACUCUGCCGUCGACGGAAGCGCCGGCGGCGAGGAGCAGAAGGAGGAGGACGGAGCCGGAAGCGGUGGUGGCCAUGGUGGUGGAGGAGAGCGAAGAGUCCUAUGUGGAGUUUAUUUCCAUAUAUAUGGAUUUGGAUGUGGAUGGAUGAACCGCGUGUGAUGCGUGUCUGAACCGGCGAUCGAGUUUUAGUAUUAUUAAAUGUAAGGAGCGCAGCAGGUAAUGAAGGGUUCCUGGUUUUUCCAUUUUAGGUAAAUGGAGGUGUUCAUUUGUAAUUAUAUAAUUUAAAAGGAAUGUUUUCAACUUUUUUUCAAAUGAUUAAAAAUAAUAAUAAAAAAAUAUAUUUUUAGAAAAAAAAUUAAUAAUUAAAAUUAAAAAAAGUCAAAUAAAAGACAAAUGGACUUAUAACUGUUCUCCUCGUUUAAUUUUUUUAAUGAGAUGAGAUAUGAAUUAUUUUGAAUAAAUGAGGUAAGAUUGGGAUAAGGCAACCUGACUCUAAACAUAAUUUUCUCCAAAAACUUUAAAUUAUAUUUUAAAAAUUAUAAUUAACUAAAAGAUUAACUAACUAUUUAUGUAAAUCACUCGUAUUAACCUUAAAUUUGUUUUUAAAAAAUAUUAAAUAAAGAAAAUUGAGAAAAAAAUGGUAGAAUAAAUAAUUUUAGAAAUAUUUUAAUUUUAAGAUAUAUAAGCACUAAACAUGCUAAAUUUGAUUGUCUUUUUUAACUAAAUUAUUCAUGUUUUCCUAAAAAAAUAUUUGUGUUAUUUAUGUUAUUCAAUUUAUAUUUCUGAAAAAAAAAGCUGAGAAUUGAAUGGGCCAAAAUGGGACAAUAAUAGUAAUUAAAGUAAAAAAAAAAAACAAAAUGAAAUGAUUGCAUUUUUUAAUUUAACCGUUGUAUCAUACUCCAUUAUCUACAGUAACUGGUGGCUUUUCAAAAGUUAAAAGAAUAUGAAAAGUUGGAAGAUAUCUUUGUUGUGAAUUAAUAAGAAACAAGAAGAUAAUAAAUCAAAAUUAGCAUCUAAUAUACACAAUAAAAAAGUUAAAAAAAAAUAUGCUUAAUUUUUACAUUAAUUAACCCAAAAAAUAAAUCAAAAUCCAAAAAAAUAUUGCUUUAUAUAAAUUAUUUUUUAAUUUAUGCACAAAGUUAUUACAUAUUUAAAAAAAACUUUUGUUUUCAUAUAAAAUAAUAAUAAUAAUUACUCACGCUCAUGUAUCUGACAGAAUUACGGGAUCAAAUAAACAAACGGGAUCAAAUAAACAAAUAUCUCAUACAACGCAAACAAAUCUCUACACAAAAAUUAGGGAUGAUUUUGAUAUCAUUUGUAACAACUUGCAUUAAAUAAUAUAGAUAUUGUCGUUUAUCGCUUUGAACCUGAAAAGAAUCCUCGUGAAUUUAAAACACGUUUAUAAAAUUAAGAAAAGUUCAUAUUUAUAUAAUUUUAUGAAUUUUUUCUUGUAAUCUAAUGUUAAAUAUGAUAAUAUUAUUAUUAUUAUUAAAAAGCAAUUUUAAUGAUACUAAAUGAGAAAAAUAAUAAAUAGUAGGAACAUGAAGGACCGAGAAUAUACUUUUUAUAGAAAAUAAUCGAGACAUUGAAUAAUAUUUCUCAAAAGUUUCAAAUCUAACUUGAUCUAAUUUUUUAUUUUUUAUUGCAAAUGCAUUGGACCAUAGCUAACAUUUCCAACGGAUCAAUCAAAAUCACGUGCUCUCAUGUUUUUUUAACAUCCCUAUUAACCUGAAUUUGUUAUUUCUUAUGUCCCACCAACUUCACUUUAUUCUUGGCCGUUAAUUUCCUGAUUUGUUCACACACCCAUGUCGGCCCUUUCUGUGACAAAUUAGAUUACGUGCCAUCAACACCAUGUGAUCAUAAUAGAAAAUGAUCGUAUGGUUAAGGUUUGUUGUGUUUCUACUAAUGGUCUUAUAUGAUGUACUUGAAUCGUUAACCGACCAAAUCAGCAUCGAUUGAUGAUUUCAAAUUUCCCCACUUCACAUCAUAUCUAAAAUUUAUUUUUGAAAAGAAAAUAGUUAAACACGUCUUGGUAAAAUAUCUUUAUCUAAAAUAUUUCUAAAAUGUAAAUUUUAUAAGUGUAUUUAAAUCAAAUUAAACGGGGAAAGGUGGGCAUGCUAAUUUUCCAUCCCCUUCAGCUUUUGUUUUGAAAAAAAUUUAAAAAUUUUAAUCACAUUAAAAUAAAUAUAGUUUUAUAAAUAAUUAAAAUAUUAUAAUUAUUAUUAUUAUAUAUUAAAAAUAAGAUAAUUAAAUUAAAUUAUUUUUUAAAAUUAAUUUUAUAUAUAAUUAGAUUGAGAUGAGGCAAAACAAGACAAUUCCUAAACUCGACCCGAACUCAUCCCAAAUUUAUUUAAAUUCUAAACCCAUCCCGUUAUGUGUAAGGCAGAUUUCCCAAAAAGCUUAUCCUCAUUUGUUACAUUUUGUAUUUUUUUAAAUAUAUAUAUAUAUAUAUAUAUAUAUAUAUAUAUAUAUAUAUAUAUAUAUAUAUAUAUAUUUUGCUUAGCUCAUUUUUGAGAAAUUAAAAGUUAUAUUUUAAACCAAAUAUCAACAUUUUCGUAAGAUUUAACUUAUAUUAGAACUUCUGUAAACUUUAAUAAAACUUUUAUAAUAGUUUUUUUUUCAAUGAACUAUUUUGAAUACAAUUCUCGAUCAUUAACUCAUAAACUAAAUAAACACACGAUUUUAUGCUUCUAUGGUACACUUCAUUGUAUAUAUUGACAACUAUGUUUCAAUGAUGUUUUUAUUAAAAUUAAGAAUAAUUUUGAAAAUUUGAAAUUUGCUUAUCCAUUCACAUUUAAAAAGGAUGCAUUUAGGACUUUUUUUUUUAAAAGGGCAAUAAAUCACACUUAAAACAUGGACUCACAAAUGAAAGUUUUAUUUUAAACAUUCUUAAAAUUAGUGAUUAAAGGUCCAAUUUAAUUGGGUUUUGAAGAAAAAAAAAUCAACAUGAUCAGUUUAUAUUUAAAUCAAAUCAAAUCAAACUCUCAAUGAUAGAAAAACUAAACAAAAUCAAACCCAUAUUAUUCAACAUUGGUUUGUUCGAUUUAUAUAAUUGAUUGAAUGCAAGCUAAUUUAUGUCUUAAGUUCAAUUAGUUUUUAAAAUUAUAUUUGACAAAAAAAAUAUGAAAUGUUAAUUAUUCUUAGAUAACUAAUUAAAAUUUAUAUUUUAUAAACUUGGGUUCCUAUUUUGUGAUUUUUUUAUAUGAGUGUAUGGAAUCAUGCUUUUCCCUUAAAAAUAAAAAAUUAUGCAAAAAUAUUAUUGUAAAAAUUGCAUGUAUAAUACUAAUAUUAAAUUAUAAUUAUUUAGUAAAUUUUAUUAGCCCAAGUGAUAUUUAAUAGGAGGGGGGAAGUAUUUGUUGGCUUACUCAAUCUCAUCUCGCGCAAGUGAAAAUUAAGUUUUGUUUGGAUUAUCAUCAUUUUGGAGAAAACAACAAAAGGAUGAAAAUGAUAAAAAUAAAAAUAAAAUCAAAUAAUUUAAAGAACACGAUCUCAUUUGUUGGCUUUAGAUUAUUUGUACUUUAAAAGUAAUUUAAUUUAAAUUAUUAUAUAAAUUAAGUAUGUUUGAUAAAAUAAUUUAAUAUUAUAAUUUAUAGUUAAAAUGAUAUUAAGUAUUAGGUAAAAAUAAUUUAUUUAUUUUUAAUUUUAAAUAUUUUUUGUUUUAUUUUAAGAUUAAUGAAAAUAAAUAUUAAAUAAAAUUAACGAUGAUAAAUAUUAAUUAUAAUUAGUAAGGACAAAUAUGUCAAUUUGAUUAAAUUUUAUCCGACGUCCACUUAAUCUUCUAAUAUUAUAUUUUGUUUUUAUUUGUUUGCAUUUUAUGAUGGGUGCUUUGGAAUUUUCAUGAGUAGUCACACCGGCGCGUCCGUGACUAACGGACACGUACAACUCGACGGACACGGCAGUGGGCCCCACAUUUUAGGUUGGCGAACCGUGCACGUCGGCCGAUAAUACCCAGUUACCCAUUUCCGUAUGGUGACUUUAGACAAAAGUGUGAUGCGCUGUCAUCCAUGUGACGACAAAAAAAAAGAAAAAAAGGGUUGGAUAAUGCUAAUGAACAUCUCUCAUCUCUCCGGUUUUCUACUGGCCAAUCAUAUUUCGGCACGUCAGCAAUGAGAUAAGGUGGAAAUUUUAAUUCUUUUACUUAUAAAUUUAAUGUAAUGAAGCAUUUGUAAAAUUUCUUCCUAUUUAUUAAUAAAAUUUAAAAUUAUUCAGUUUAAGGCCAUAUGUUUGAUUAAAAAAAAUUAAAGAAAAAUAAUUGGGAAAGAAAAUAAAGAGAAAAAAUAAAUAAAAAAUAUAUUUUAAUCUUAUAAAUUAAUUGUUAUAAAUUUAUUUUUAGUAACCAAACAUACUAUAAAUUUAUUAUUAUUUUUUUAUUUUUCUUUUCAUGAUAUUUGAUAUAAAGAUUUUAAAUUAAUUAAACAAUAUAAAAGCCAAUGACAUGAAAAUAAAAGGUAAAAAGGUUUACUUAUCUGGGCCACGUUAUAUAUAUCAUAAAUUAAAAGUCACAAUAAACAUUAAAAAAGUUUUUUUGAAAAAAGAAAAAAAUUAAGAGUAUGCACGACAAUAAAUUUAAGAAAUGUUUUUAACAUUUCUAAUACUUAAAUUUUUUUUUAUUUUUUUAAGAGUUUGUUUGAUAGUGAUUAUAGAAAGUGUUUUUAAUAUUUUUAGUACUUGAAAAUUUUUAUCAUUAAAAUGUUAGAAAUAUUAAAAACGUUUUUUAGAAUUAUUCCAAAACGUAGUCUAAGUAUUAGAAAUAUUAAAAACACUUUUAAAAAAUCAUUCCAGAUAAACUCUAUUCUAAAAAUACUUUCGGAAAAAAUACUAUCAUUAAAAAUACUUUGAGUAUAAUUUUCUAAAAUCAUUAGUAAACAUACCGUUCUUUAAAGUGGGUCUUCCACUGAUUUUGAAAAGUGUUGCUAAUAUUUUUAAUACUUAAAAAAUAAAAAAUUUUAAUUAUUAAAAAUAUUAAAAACACUUUUCAAAUCACUAAAAAACACAUUCUAAUAAAUGAUAUAAAUUAAUUAAUUAAUUAUAUCCUCUAUCCAUUUGUACAUGGCAGAGAAUUUGUGGAUUACCUUAUUUAUUUCCUGUUCACAUUAUUAAAAGUUUUUAUUAUUAUUUUUUGAAAUUAAAUUAAUCAAAGGCAUUCAAUCCUAUACCAAAAAGCACUUUUCCCUUCAAAAAAUAACAAAACAAAAUAAGUGAAAUUUUAAAUUGCUAGAUGAAUUUAAAAUAAUAUACAUGGAAUUGUGUUAAAUAAUAAAUUUUCUUAAAAUUGUAUUCAUGAAAAUAUUUAUAAAAAAAAGUCUUUUUAAGUUUAUUUAUCAUAAAAAAUAAAAAAUAAAAAAUUAAAUUUUAUGUAUUUUUAAAUUAUUUAAAUUUUAUAUAAAAAAUUAAAAUAAAUGAAAUGAAUAUGAAAUAGUAGUUUUGUAACAAGAAUCAAUGUGAUGCUAAGGAACCGUGUGAAUGCAUAUUGUAAGAAUAAUUUUACUUUUUGGAAAUAAAAACUUUGAAAGUGAUAGGUUACCAAAUUUGGAUAUUUUUUCGGGGACGGUGUUGGUAAAUUUAGAAUUUUUUGAACAACCUAAAAGCACUUUUUGAUAAGUCAAAUUUCAAACUGAAUCCAGGCCCUCAAUCAGCAUUAACUGAAUUGUGGAAAAGUCAACAAGUGGUUUGGCAACCAAGAAAAUGGCUAAAAUUAAAUGGCUUUAUCAGUGUAUCACCAAGUGGAUAUUUAUGAUAUUGUCUUGUGUCUAUCCAUGAAAAACUCUUCCUUUAGGCUGGGAAAUAUGAGAAGAAAACAAAAUACAAGAUUGAGUUUAGGAAUCUCUUUGUGAUAUUUUAGAUAGGAGAGUUAAUCACGCUAUGUAAGUAUAAGAUUCUUUUAACUUUAUAGAUAUUUUUUAAAGUCGUGAAAGUUUUUUUGUAUUUAAAAUAAAUAAUAUUUAUACGAUUGGAAUCAUAUAAUUACAAAUGACAUUAUAAUCGAUCUCUAAUUUUGAUGUGAAGGUUUGUUUGAUCUUACAAGCAGUGUUUAUCUGUUUGACCCUAUAAUUUUCUGAAACACAAGGAAUGCACUACAAAGAUAUUGUGUCUGUAAUGUGCACACAUUUAAAAAUGGUGAGACCUUUAAGUUUAGAACAAACAAUAUUUACACCAUUAAAAACGGAUCAUUACAUUAUUUCUCCAUCAUUUUUAAAAUAUAUAAAAUAUUUUAAACCCCAUACCUCUUGUUUUUUGUUUUUUUUUUUGCCUUACAAAAAAAUGAUAAAAAUUAUAUGUAUAUACAAUUUUAUAUAUAUAUAUAUAUAUAACACCAACUAAUGUACUAUAUAUAUGUAGCAAUCAGGUGUCUAAGCUUCAAAUUUAUUAUUAUUAUUUUCUUGUAGUUAGAUGUUGACCACGUCCCUAAUUGGAAAUCUAGAAUACCCAAAGUGGGACCAAAUCUAAAUAAGAAAUUUAUAUUUUUUUUAAACCUCCAUCAAAGAUCAAGAAAUUUGACUAGUUGGGGGUGUCUCUUAUCCCUCCAUAACUAAAGUCCACUUGAGUUCAAUUUUUUGGGGUGGGUCAAAUGGACUAGUGGUUGAAAUUUAUGUUAUACAAAUUGAAUGGAGGGACAAAUUUGGAAAGGUGGAUUUGAUCAUCAACCAUAUAUUUUUUUCAAAAAAAAUGAAAUAAAAAUUAACUUAAUAAAUUUGAGAAUAAAUAAAAUAAAAUAAAAUGGGUUGGUCAUUGGAUGGCCACUUUUUUUUUUAGAACUUUUAUUUUAUUAAAAUAAUUAGAAAAUAAAAAUAAAAUGGGUUGGUCGGUGGAUAUACUUUUUAAAAAAAGAAUUUAACAUUGUUUAUUUUUUAAGAAAUAAUUAAGAAAAAAAAAAAAAACUAAAAUGGGUUGGUCAUUGAUUGACUACAUUUAAAUUUUUUUUUUUUUUAAAUAAUUAGAUUUGUUAAUUUCAGAGAGAGUCAAAGUAGGGUUGCCACCGUCCAUUUUUUUUAGUGUGGGGAGGCUUAGGAAUAAAGAGUCAUACCUUUGGCUUUAAUUGAGGAUCUCAAAAGGUGGGAUAGGUCAAAACCUAGAUGCAGAGUUGCCAUUUGUCAUUUUCAUUUAUUUAUUUUUUCUUUGGUGCUUUCCUCGUUAAGCGGGAAAGUGAAAUUACAAAACAAAAACACAAGGAUUCAUUCCAAACUCCAAAGUAAAGGAAGAUGUGGGGCUGGUUUAUUGCCAUCCCUUUUAGGGUACCUUGAUGUGGAGAGGUCCAUUGUAGUUGCCCUACACAUUUGUGAUUUUAAAUUUUAUUAAUUAUUAUGUUUUAAUUGGUAUUCAAGGGUGACAUUUAAAAUUCAUUUGGUGAUGAUUUUGAAAAACGUUUUUAAUAUUUUUGACACAUAAUUUUAUUUAUUUAUAUUAAAAUAACGAUAUUUAAGUGUUAAAAAUGUUAAAUAUACAUCUAAAAAUGAAUAAAUACCGUUAUAUUAUAAAUAAAAGAAAUCAUGAUAAGAGUCAGAAUUGUGAAUUUUAUUGAAGUGUUUAUAAAAAUAUAUGAGAAUAAAAUUAAUUAUUAUAAAGUCUUUUAUAUAAAUAAAUAACAAAGUUUGAUAUUAGUGUUGGCUAAAUAAAUUAAAAUAUGUAUUAGACCAUCUAUAUUUUUAUUUUUAUUUUUAUUUUUACAAUAAUUGUUAAUUUUUAAAAAUAAUUAGAUUAUUAAAGAGAGAUUCAAAGUAGGGUUCCACCUUCCAUUUGUUUAACAAAGGGUAGAAAUUAGGAAUAAAGAGAUACCUUUGUAAGAGAAUCUCAAAAGCUAUGAGAAGAAGCCAAACCCUAGGUUUAGGCGUGCCUUUACUCUUUGUUUCCUCUCCACCCACAAAAAACGAAAGGAAGAAAAAAGAAAGGGAAUAGAAUAAAGGUGAAUUUAAGGUAUUUUUUUCUUUUUCUAUUCAUUUUAUUAUAUUUAUUUUUAUAUUGACUUUAUCUUUUCAAAAGACGGGUUUAUAUGUAAAUAAAAUAUGAUCGAUUUAAAUUAUUUUUGGGAUAAGUGUAUUUAAAUUUUUUUAAUUAAAUAUAUAUAUUUUUUCAAAGUUGAUUAAACAAGGAUAUAAAUUUUGAUCAAAUUAAAAAAAAAAAAAUUGAAAAUUUGCAGGAUAUCGUGUUGUAACCCACUAAAUAUUGAAAAAAAAAAUCCAUGAAAUAUAAAACAAAAUGAUAAAACCUAGAGUGAUCUGUCUUUUCGUAUUGACACGUAAGCACCAUGCACCCAUUUUCUUCCCCACAAUUUCUGCCUAAACAUGAGGAGGAAGCAUUAUCCACGCACAUACAAAAAGCUCCAUUGAUUUUGCCUUGACCAAAAUAGUGGCAAAUGGAUAUAUCAAUUACCAAGAAAAGAGUAAAAUAAAUAAAAAGGUUCGUCAUUAAUUUCUAAUGUUUUAGUUGGUAUUCAUGCCAUUGAUGAGGCAAGUUGCUCCCCAUCUACCUAUCAAACUUUUGAUAACUUUCAUUGAUUUUAUUUUUUCAACUAUUUUUUUUUUCAAUUUGUUUAAGCUUAAUUAAGAUCCAAGGGUCUCAAAUUUUUUAAUUUUUUAAUACUUAUUGUUUAUAAUUAUUUUACAUAACUUCCAUAAAUAUAGAAUUCAAAAUAAAAUCUAUAAAUCCUCAAGGCUAGGUUUGAAUCAAAGAGAAAAAGAAAAUCAAAUAUAAUAAAAAUUAUUCAAAAAAUAAAUCUUAUUUUGUAUUCUCCUUUAUUUAUUUAUUUUCCUUUUUUUUCUUUAUCUCAAAAUUUUCAAAAGCUUGAGCAACUUAUCAUGCAAAUAAACAUUUUCUUCAUAAUAUCAAAUAUGUAUUAAUAAAAUGAUACCAUACCAUGUUAAAUGUCAAGAAUUAAUAAAAAAAGGGUGACUCUUUGAUAUCCAAAAAUAUUUUUCAAUAUUACAUUAAAUAUUUUUAUCCAAUUUUAUAACGGUGUAAAAUAAGAAUGUGAUAAAGGUACAAAAAGAUCAAAUAAUAUUAGGGGGUACAACUUGGGUAGAUUAGCCCGACCCAACCUGAUGUUUAGAUCGGUUUGAGCAAAUAUUUUUAAUACUUGGGGUUGAGCUUGAAUUAAGUUUUUUGAACUUGAACUUAAUUUUGAUUGGGUUUAAACUAAGAUUUGGACAACCAAACCCUAACCCAAACUCAUUUUUAAUAAACUCUAUUUGAUAUUUUUAUAAUAUUUAUAAUGUUUAUUAUCUUAUAUGAUAAUGUUUAUUUUUUUUAUAUAGAUUUUAAAGAAAAAAAAAUCAAAUUGUAAUUGUAUUACAUAUUUUUUUUUCAUUUUUUAUAAAGAUAAAUAAGUUUAUUUUAUUUUUUAAUUAUUAUCUUAAAGUUUUAUUUUAUUUACUAUUUAAAUUUUGAUAUAAAUAUAUAGAAUUAUAAAAAUCAAAUUUUUUAUAACCAUUAUGGAAUUUGAAUCAUACAGUCAAAUCAACUUGACCAAUUCGAAUCGAACCGAGUCAACUUGAGUUUAAUUUAAUCAACCAAAGUUUAGCUUGACCGAUCCGAGUUUAGAAAAAUGAGAUUGAGUUAAGUUUAGGUUGGAUGCCUCGAGUUAGAAGUUGAGUUGAGUUUAAGUUGAUUGUUUCUUAAUUUGAAUUUGGCUCAAGUUAACCAUUGGCCAACCAUCCCAUUUAAGUUACAAUCUUAAAUACUACUAAAAAAAAGAAGUGUGAGUAAUAUAUAUAUAUAUAUAUAUAGAGUAUAUCUUGAAAAGUGUUGAAAGUUUCAAAUACAAAAUGGUAAGAAUUUAAUUUCCCAUUAAUUGCAAAUUAGAUUUGAUAUUUACUUAGUAAAACCCCUUUAUGAAGUGGGCCUUUGGAAGUCGGCAAACCAAACAACCAAAAGCAAUGAACUAACAAACAGCAACUAACUCGAAAGAGUCGAAGUACUUCUGUAAGAUAUUUGAUGAGACACCAUGGACCCAUUGGCAGUUGCCCACCGUUCUUCCCAUUCAUUUUUGCUGGCAAAUGGUCCUCCCUCCAUCCCCACUGCCCCUUUUCCUACUCAACCUCAUUAUUUGGCUGUCAGACUAUACAGGAGGGAAGGAAAAAGGUUAUGCUUGGGUUUGAGAAAUGUUUGAAAGAAGACGAGAGAUAAAAAGAAAAUAGAAAAAAAUUAUAAAUAUAUUUAAAGUGAAUAAAUAAUCUUUUAUAAUUACUUUAAACUCAUUUAACUUAUUUUAACUUUUCGAUAUAAAAAAAAAUAAUUCAACAAGUAAACAUAAGAAAAAUUUUUCUUAAAUUUUUUUUUUUAGAAACUAAAUAUAACCUAAGAAAAAUAAGCAUCGAUAAGGUAGAGAUCUUUUUGAAGGGGCAUUUACCUAGAUUUUUUAAUGAACUUAUAGCAUUUAAAAAAGAAUUGUAAAAUUAAUAAUUAUAAAAUUAUGAGAUGAAACCAAACCCUAGGUUGAGGCAUGCCUUUACUCUUUGUUUCCUCUCCACCCAAAAAAAACAAAAGGAAGAAAAAAAAGGGAAUAAAACAAAGGUGAAUUUAAGGUUUUUUUUUUUCUCUUUUUCUUUUCAUUUUAUUAUAUUUAUUUUUAUAUUAAUUUUGUCUUUUCAAAAGACGGGUUUAUACAUAUAUAAAAUAUGAUUGAUUUAAAUUAUUUUUGGGAUAAGUGUAUUUAAUUUUUUUAAUUAAAUAUAUAUAUUUUAAAAAUUGAUUAAACAAGGAUAUAAAUUUUGAUCAAAUUAAAAAAAAAAAGUUUUGAAAAAUUGUAGGAUAUCGUGUUGUAACUUGUAACCUACUAAAUAUUGAAUCUCAGCGGUUGAAAAAAAAAUAUAUCCAUGAAAUAUAAAACAAAAUGAUAAAACCUAGGGUGAUCUAUCUUUUCGUGUUGACACGUAAGCACCAUGCACCCAUUUUCUUCCCCACAAUUUCGGCCUAAACAUGAGGAGGAAGCAUUAUCCACGCACAUGCAAAAAGCUCCAUUGAUUUUGCCUUGACCAAAUGGAUAUAUCAAUUACCAAGAAAAUAGUAAAAUAAAUAAAAAGGUUCGUCAUUAAUUUCUAAUGUUUUAGUUGGUAUUCAUGCCAUUGAUGAGGCAAGUUGCUCCCCAUCUACCUAUCAAACUUUUGGAAACUUUCAUUGAUUUUAUUUUUUCAAUUUGUUUAAGCUUAAUUAAGAUCCAAGGGUCUCCAAUUUUUUAAUGUUUUAAUACUUAUUAUUUAUGAUUAUUUUACAUAACUUCCAUAAAUAUAGAAUUCAAAAUAAAAUCUAUAUAAUCCUCAAGGCUAGGUUUGAAUCAAAGAAAAUAUUCGAUAAAGAGAAUCAAAUAUAAUAAAAGUUGUUCAAAAAAUAAAUCUUAUCUUGUAUUCUCCUUUAUUUAUUUAUUUUCCUUUUUAUUUUCUUUAUCUCAAAAUUUUCAAAAGCUUGAGCAACUUAUCAUGCAAAUAAACAUUUUCUUCAUUAUAUCAAAUAUGUAUUAAUAAAAUGACACCGUACCAUGUUAAAUGUCAAGAAUUAAUAAAAAAGGGUGACUCUUUGAUAUCCAAAAAUAUUUUUCAAUAUUACGUUAAAUAUUUUUAUCCAAUUCUAUAACCAUGUAAAAUAAGAAUGUGAUAAAGGUAAAAAAGAUCAAAUGAUAUUAGGGAGUGAAACUUGGGUAGGUUAGCCCAACCCAACUUGAUGUUUAGACGGGUUUGAGCAAAUAUUUCCAAUACUUGGGGUUGAAUUUGAAUUAAGUUUUCUCGACUUGAAUUUUAUUUGAUUGGGUUUAGACUAAAAUUUGGACAAUCAAACCCUAACCCAAACUCAUUUCUAAUAAACUUAAUUUGAUAUUUUUAUAAUAUUUAUAAUGUUUAUUAUCCUAUAUGAUAAUGUUUAUUUUUUUUAUAUAUAUUUUAAAGAAAAAAAAUCAAAUUGUAAUUGUAUUAUAUAUUUUUUCAUUUUUUAUAAAGAUAAAUAAGUUUAUUUUAUUUUUUAAUUAUUAUCUUAAAGUUUUAUUUUAUUUACUAUUUAAAUUUUGGUAUAAAUAUAUAGAAUUAUAAAAAUUAAAUUUUUUAUAACCAGUAUGAAUUUUGAAUCAUACAAUUAAAUCAACUUGACCACUUCGAAUCUAACCGAGUCAACUUAAGUUUAAUUUAACCAACCAAAGUUUAACUUGACCAAUCCAAGUUUAGAAAAAUGAGAUUGAGUUAAGUUUAGAUUGGAUGCCUCGAGUUAAAAAUUGAGUUGAGUUUAGGUUGAUUAUUUCUUAAUUUGAAUUUGACUCAAGUUAACCAUCGGCCAACCAACCUAUUUAAGUUACAAUCUUAAAUACUACUAAAAAAAAUGAAGUGUGAGUAAAUCAUAUAUAUAUAUAUAUAUAUAUAUAUAUAUCUUGAAAAGUGUAGAAAGUUUCAAAUACAAAAUGGUAAGAAUUUAAUUUCCCAUUAAUUGCAAAUUAGAUUUGAUAUUUACUUAGUAAAGCCCCUUCAUGAAGUGGGGCCUUUGGAAGUCGGCAAACCAAACAACCAGAAGCAAUGAACUAACAAACAGCAACUAACUCGAAAGAGUCGAAAUACUUUUGUAAGAUAUUUGAUGAGACACCAUGGACCCAUUGAUAAUUGAUUUUCAUAUUUAUUGGCAGUUGCCCACCAUUCUUCCCAUUCAUUUUUGCUGGCACAUGGUCCUCCAUCCCCAUUCCCCACUGCCCCUUUUCCUACUGACAAUUGUGUUUUGGAUCUAGUUGGGUCCAAAAAUUAAGAUUUGAUCCAUGAAAAUUGUAUAAUUGAUGGGAAGGAUAUAAAAUUUAAAGAGACCAAUAUAUCCUUCAAAACUAUUUUGAAUAUUUUCUACUAUAGUGUUUGACAAACUUUUUUAUUUUAAUUUUUUUAAUAAUUAUUAUGAAAAUUUAUUAUUUUUAGAAAAUAAUUUUAAAAUAUAUAUUCUAAAAAUAUAUCAUUUAAAAAAAAAUAAUUUUGACAUAUUUUUUGUUAAUUUUUACAUACAUAAUUUUAAAUAUAUAUAUUUUCCAAGAUGUUUGAUUUUUAAAUAAUAAUAAUAAUAAUAAUUUAUUUUUAUUUUUUUUGGAAAAUGGUGUAUUUUUUCCAAAUCACUAAAUUAAAUUAAAUUAAAAUUUAUUGAGGUUUACAAAAGGAAUAAAAUUUAAAUUAAUGUUUUUCCAUUUUUUUUUUCAUAAUAAAUAAAGGUCAUUUUUGGAAAGAUAAAAAAUUCAUAUCCUUCUUCUCAAUUUCCACACUUUCUCUAGGUCUUGGGUUGAAAUAGUGAACUUAUAUGGAUCAAAACUUAAUUUUUAGGUCCAACUAGGUUCAAAACAUAAUUGUCCCACCUCAUUAUUUGGCUGUCAGACGAUCAUUCAUCCCUUUAACAAGAAAAUCCAGGAGGGAAAGAAAAAAGGUUAUGCUUGGGUUUGAGAAAUGUUUGAAAGACGACGAGAGAUAAAAAGAAAAUAGAAAAAAAUUAUAAAUAUAUUUAAAGUGAAUAAAUAAUUUUUUAUAACUACUUUAAACUUAUUUUUUUUUUAAUAGCUUCCUACAACCAAAUAUAACAUAAAAAAACUAAAUUAAAACAAUAGAUUAAAAAUUAAUAAAUUUCUUUCAACUCAUUUUACUUGUUUUUUUUCUCAUUUACAUAAAGAUGAAAUAAUUUGAAUAUUUUUUUAACUAAUCAAGGUAUUGAAAAAAUUUAUUAUCUCAAAUUUUAAUUGUGAUGUUUUACAUCGAAUAUGAGAAAAAGUUCAUGAUACUAUAUUAAUAUGAUUUUUUUUUUUAAUCUUGUAGACGUGAUUCAAAGCUGUAAGGACCAUUUUUGGGUUUAAAACGAAUAAUAUUUACGGAUGGUUGGGUGUGGAUUGAUCAUUGACUUUGGUGUGCGAGAGUUUGUUUGAUCUUGUAGAGAGUGCUUAUUUGUUUGACCUUACAAUCCCAUGUGUUUGCAUAAAAGGAUGUUUAUAACUUCACAUAUUGAAUAAAUAUGUGAUAAAGUUUUUGUGUUGUAUCAGUAUGAGCUUUUCUUAACCUUGUAAGCAUGUUUUAAAGCCGUAAUGACUUAUUUUAGGUUUAAAAAGCAUAAUAUAUAUACAGUUAAGUGUGAGUCAUUACAUUAAUAUUUUUAAAAGUGAUUUUCAAAGGUAUAAGAUAAAUUUAAACUUUUUGUACAAGAUGCUCUACUUUAAGAUAAAAGUUUAUGAUUUCAAACAUAAGAGAUAGGAAGUGUAUCCAAAUGGAUGCUUAACAUAUUAUUAUUUAUUUUAUUUUUACAUUGAUCCAAUCAUAAAUCAGAAAUGAUAAAUAGGGUUUCGUAAUCUUUAAUUUUUUUGACUAGCUUACCAUUAUAAAAAUACUAAUGUUAUAUCAUAUUUUCACAAUUAUAAUGGGAUGUUAGGGUUUCUUAGUCUUAAUCGAUUUGAUAUUGACUAUCAAUCCAUAUUAUUCAAUAAUUCUUUUAAGCUUUUGGGAUUUUGAUAACAUGCACCCACAUUUUUUUUUUGUAAUAUUUUGUGAUGGGUUUUGAUUUUUUUUUAAGGGUCAAGAUAUGAUGAUUCAAGAAAAAGACAAGUAUUAAGAAUGAUUCUUCAUUGACAAGGAACCAAAUUGAAAGUUGGAUCAUGGUGAUAGGCAAUUGACAUAGAAAAUUUGAUUUGCCAACUCAUGACAUGAAAGCCCAAACUUGAACUUGAAGUUAGGAAACUAUAUACAAUUCCACUUUAUCAAAGUUGAAAUGAUCUUCAACCUCAAUGCUAGAUCUAGAUUCUUUCCUUAGUGGAAAAGCUUUGAACACUAUUCCUUUAAACUUAUCUCUUUACUUAUGGUUAUAACCAUUUUUCUUUCCUAUUCCAACCUUGAAUGGGGUUCACAUCAAUCCUUUGAUUUUUUUUUUGUUGGGUCAACCCCUUUGAUAGAUUUGAGCGCACAACUAAAAAGAAAUUGGGUCAUGAUGUGGGCUAGGGUCCAAAGCCUAGACAUGGUCCAAUUCCAAUUUAAGGGGUCCAUGGGAGGAAUUCUAAGCCCAUAAGCAUAGCAAAUGAAUGAUUUUUACAAUGAAGAACUUUAAGCUAUUAUUAGUUGUUGGAAAAUUUGGGGGAAAAUAUAAAGGGAAGAAAAAAUGAAGAAAAAAAAAUAAAAAUAUGAAGUUAAAAAUUCUUUUUAUAUGCUACUCAAACUCAUUUAACUUAUUUUAACUCUUCGAUAUAAAAAUUAAAUAAUUUUAAAAUGUAAAACUUUUAAUUAUAUAUAUAUAUAUUAUAUUUUCUACAAGACAAGUAAACAUAAGAAAAAUUUUCCUUAACUUUUUUCUUUUUGAAAACCAAAUAUAACCUAAGAAAAAUAAGUAUUGAGAAGGUAGGGAUCUUUUUGAAGGGGCAAUUACCUAGAUUUUUGAUGAACUUAUAGCAUUUAAAAAAGAAUUGUAAAAUUAAUAAUAUAAUGAAAAAAAUAUAGUGGAUCGAUUUAGCUCCAUAGAUGGUAGGUUGGUGUAAUAUAAAAUCGUCUCUUGAAAAGAUAAUUUUUUAUUUUUUAUUUUUGAUGUUUUCCUUCUAUAGAGGGAGAGGUGUGGCAUUUAGAGGGAUGUCGUCUCUUCUCACGUCAGUAUAUCGAGAUCAUCUUUUUAAGAGGCAAGUUUAUUUUUCUCAUCUUCAUAAAAAUAAUGAUAGAAUUAAAAUUGCUUUCGAAAUUGUCAUUUUCUAUAUUUUUUUAUUCAGUUGUAAUUAGGAAAAAAGGAAGAAAAAACCCUACUUACCCUCUUUCAUAACUUCAUCCGUAGUCCAACUACUAGAAUCAGAGAUCACCCUAAUCUUGGAUCACAUGCUAAAAGAAUUCUUUUGUCUAAUGAAGCACCGGUUUUUUUGUCUAAAUUUUCAGAGUAGAAUGCUGAAAUGCUCAUGGCACAUUUCACAAAAUUCAGAAUAAAACAAUUAAAGAGCAACCAAAAUAAUAAACAAAAAACUAAAUUAUAUGUCAAACAAUUAAUCAAUCAUAUUCUUCAUGCAACAAGGCCUCAAUCCAAUGAACUAACCAAAAAGCAAAAAAAGAAAAAGAAAAAAAAGAAUGAACACCAAAACUUCCAAAAAUUCUCUCAUUUUCUACCUUCAAUGGUUCUACUUUUAGAACCAUUUGGCAAAACCAUCAAGAGCAUAAACCAAAAGCAAAGACAAUGGAUACAGUAAGUAUGCAACGAUCGAUGUCCAGACUGGGAAGGUGGAGCGCAAGCUUGCAAACAUGCCCAUCACCACGCAUACGAUCAUAACAACGAGUACUUCAGCCGAGAAAUCCCAUGUCAAUUCGCGUACGUAAAUUAUGGACAAUAGUACUGAAAUCCCUAGGACAUUGUUCAUGAAGACUCCUCCAUAGAUCUGCAUAUCAUCACAUCACUAAGUAUUAAUCCUCCAAAGAUUAUAAAGCACUUAUACAGAUGCUAUCAGCCACAUUUCAUUAUCACAUGGACUAUAUAUACUUUUUUCUUUUUGUGCAUGUAAAUAUUAGCAUAUACUAGAUUGAUGAAAUGGAUCGGAAUAGUAAUUAUGGGGGGCAGACCUCAGAAAAUGUCAAGGAAGUAGUUCUUUCUUUUCUUCUACUCGCGGCGGAGAUCGCUGAAGUUGCAGCCCUAGCGUUGGUAGCUAACGGGACGAGGAUGAAUGCGAUGAAAAACGACGAUAUAUUAGCAGCUGUUGAGAAGGAUUGUACACUAUGUAUGAGGGGUUCUGCUAGAACAGAUAGAAUAAGAAUUCCAGCCAACAAAAGCAUUAUGGCCUUGAACCAUGCCCAAGGAGAUUUAUCAACUGGCCCUGCACUGGUCUGUUCUACCAACUCGUCUGUCUCUUUCCAAGCUUUCUGCAUCAUCAUGAAGUGUAUAAAUACUUUUAAUAUUGUUUCAAGGAGUCAAGGUAUUGUUUUUGGUGAAUACCUAACCCAAACCUAACCCGAACCUAACCCAAUAUAUAGAUGAGUUUUAACGAUCAUUUUCAAUUUUCGGCCCAAGCCUUGGACAACUCAAGUUUGACCCAAACUUCAUUUAAUAUUUUUAUAAUAUUUAUAAUGUAAAAUUUUUAAGAAAAAAAUAUUAAAUUAUAUUUUAUCAUAUAUUUUUAUAUUUUUAAAUAGAUAUAUAAAUUUAUUUAUUUAUUUAUUUUGCUAUCCUAAAAUUUUGUCUCAUUUGGGGUUUACAUUUUCAUAUAAAUAUAUAGAAAAAAUUUCUUAAAACACAUUAUAGAUGAAUUUUGAAUUUUACAACUUGAUCAACCCGGGUCUAAACUCACCAACCUAAACUUAAAAAAAUGGGAUUAAGUUGUGUCUCUUCCUUUAAAGGUAAAAUUGGGUUAAAUUUGGAUUUAUUUGUUUAUUUUUUAAUUUGAAUUUGACUUAAAUUGAUCAUCAACAUGAUCAAUCCGUCAAAGUUACAUUCACUUACAAGGAAUAUUUCGUCGUUCGGUUUGGGCGACUGCAGGGCCUGAUGGCUGGAAAUGUUAACCCAUUUGGCAAGGCCUUGGAUGAACUCCUCCUCAUCGAUUAAUCGGUCUCCAUUGACGUCAAGUUUUUCCAUUAUUCUUGCGACCGCUUCGUCUACGUCUAGCGGCAUGUCUCCAAACUUGAUGCUCAUAAUGAGUUCUUUUAGUUCAGCUUGUGAUAUGCAAUUGUCUCCAUCAAGAUCAAUUCUCUCAAAGAGGCUGUAAAUCGAAUUAGCGCAAGAGCCUUAGAACUAUUAUAUGGGUUCCAAGAAAUAAUAAGGAUAUGAAAAAAAAAUAGUAAGAAAAAUAAUUUUUUAUAUUUAAUUUUAAUAUAGGAAACAUAAAAAAAUUAAAUAUAAUUAAAAUUAAUUAGUUAAAAAUUUAUAUAAUUUUAAAUUAUUUAAUUUUUAUAUAAAAAACAUAAAAAUAAGUGAAAUAAAUUUAAAAUAAUAUAUAAAACUUGACAUUUUUUCCUUCAUAUUUUCUCUUAAGGUUUUCAUGAAUAAAAUAUGAUCUUAUAAAAAUUAAUAAUUCAAAAGAAUAUUCAACAUUUGAUUAAUCAAACAUCCUGAAUUCAAAUUUAUAAUUUAUUUGUUAUUACUUCCUAUCUAUUGAGCAUGCAUGAUAUAUAUUAUGACCCCAAAUCCGAACAACUUAAGAAAGUCCGUAACGCAACAUCCUUAAAAAAACCUUGUAACACGCAAGAACAGUCUAAUUAAAAGAAUUGUAAUAUGCUAUCUUACCUUUUUAUAUUUGCUAUAUCCGGCGUGUUAUCCUCUUUAAGCAGGCUUCCUAGGCCACUGUUUUGAACAUGUCUUAAAAUCCCAGACAUCAAUUUUUCCUUCAUUUCUUUUUCGUUCCUUCUCUUUAGAAUCCAAGGCCGAAGAACCUAAACAACAACUCGACCAAAUCAAAAACCAAAUAUUUGUUUGCUCAUUUGAAAAUGUUUUUAAAAACACUUUCAGUCUAAAUUUAAAGAAAAAAAAAAAAAGCUUCAACAAAAUUUGCAAAACACUUUUUAAAUAUUGAAAAAUAACUUUUAAUGUUUUGUCCGGAAAUAUUUGAUAAAUGAUUAUUCCAAAAACACUUUUAAGGAAAAUAUUUUCACUAAAUACUUAGAAUAGAAACACGGUUAAUAAACAUGCGUUUUAUAAUAAUUCUAGAAAGUGUUUUUAACUUCUUUUUUUUAAAUAUUUCAAGUAAUAGAAAGACUAGAACAACUUUUUAAAAUUGUUAUAGAUAGUCUUAACCCAUUUAAUAGUAAUUUUAUGAAAUGUUUUUAAUAUUUUUAAAACUUAAAUUUUUUUAUUAUUUAAGUAUUAAAAAUGUUAGAAAUAUUUUUUAAAAUCACUACUAAAUACAAGUGUAUGUUUGGUAGUGAUUAUUGGAAGUAUUUCUAAUAUUUUUAUUACUUGAAAUAUUAAAAAUAUUAAAAACGCUUCUUAUAAUCACUAUCAAAUAGAAUUUUAAUGUAAUUUAAUUUCACUAAAAAUACUUUGAAUACAAAUACUAUAAUUCGUUAGACAAUGAUUUAAAAAAACACUUUUAACAUAAUUAAAAGAGUUCUUGAACAAAACAAAAAGAAGGUAUUUAACAAAAUUUAAAAAACACUUUAAAAAAUCUAAAAUUAAAGAAUUAUAGCGUUUUCAAGGUAAACACUUGAUGAGCCAUUCUUUUCAAAACACUUAACAGAGAAAACCUUAUCAUUAAAAAUAUUCCGAAUAGAAACACUGUCAAGUGUACCAGCACUUCAAAAUCAACAUUAAUGUUGCAGACUUGCAGGCAUACCUGUUGUAGAUCUUUCAAUGAAUUAUUGGAGUAACUUCUGUCAUGCAAUCCUUUCUUUGUCUCAUCAAGCCAUUUUGAGAUCCCAGCUAUGAACUCAUCCUUUGUUAUUGUUCCGUCACCAUCAAUAUCAAACUGUCCUAGAACAUCUAGCACUGCAUCUUCCUUAUUGAUCAAGUGUGGUUUUCGAAACCUGAUCCCAAGAAGAAGCUCCUUGAUUUCAGCAGGCGAUAUAUAGUCAUCACCAUCAAGGUCUGUUUCCUCAAACAGCCUGCGAUUAGAUACAAGUAUAUGCUGUCAAACAUUUAAGUACAUAGAAAUACCGAAAAAUCAAGAUCAAAACAGUAUGGUAUACUUAAGGAAAGAUGAUCGCACCCUCUUAUAACACUUAUGUUCGGAGCUCCUUCGUCUGUGAGGAGUUUUCCUACAGCAUGUUCUUGGAAGUAUCGUAAAAUUCUUAUCACUAAAUGAUCAUGUUUUACGUACUCUAAUCUUCUUUGCUGAAUCCAAGGCUGAAAUAUCUGCAUAUUUUUCAAGUAAAAGUUUGAGGUAUAUUACAAAAAGUAAUGCAUCAAAAUGCAUAAUCCUAAUUCUUAAGUAAAAUUUUAAGGCACCGAAUCGAUUUCAUAAACUCCCGAUCCAAACGUAAGUAUAGAAAAUUUGUGUAGGUUAAUAAAGGUACAAAGAAAUGAGACAUAUAAUUAGAUAUACAAAAAAUAAAAUUAAAAUAUAAAUCAAUUUUGACCUAAUCAUGCUAAGGUACAAAUGAAUGACCAUUUUUACAAACUAUUUUCUUAUGACACUAAAAAAUAAUUUUAUAGUACUAAAAAUAACCUUAAAUAUGAUAUUGUAUAUAAGAUAGAGAAAAAAGUUUCUAAUACUAUAUAUGUAUGAGUUUCUUUUAACUUUAUAAACGUGUUUUAGAAUUGUGAAGACUUUUUGAGCUUAUAGUGAAUAAUAUUUAUAUAGUUAAGAACGAGUUGUUAUAGAAUAGUAUCAGAGUCAAUUCCUUACUUUGGUGUUGGAGUUUGUUUGACCCUGUUCUGGGUGUUUAUCUGUAUGAACUUGUAAUAUCAUGGAACACAAUGAAAACGUUAUAUUUAUAUGAGAGGAUCGUUGUAAUAUAUCACAUUUGAGAAGAAAAACAGUUAUUAAAUAUAUAUAUAUAUGAAUUCUUUUUAACUUUCUAAAUAUGUUUUAAAGUUGUAAGAAUUCAUUUAAACUGAUAAUAGACAAUAUUUAUAUAAUUGGAAGUGAGGUUUUAUACUAAACCUAAAUGCUAUUAUUAACCAUACAAAACCAAUCCUAGAAAAAUUGUUACUACUUUGUACCAAGAAGAUCGAAUGAAUGUUAUACUGAGAAUUCAAAUGGAUGUUAUAUGCUUCUACUGAAUUCUCAAUUUGAGUUCAUGUAUAUCGGACCAUUGAAUAAAAAUAUAAAGAAAUAGUAUUAAAGGUUUUUUUAAAAACUCUGAAAUACAAAUAAAUAAAAACUUUUUUGUCAUGAAAUUGUUUCUAAUGGCUAUCAUAUGCAUAUUGUGUUUAAGCUCUACUGAGAAUUAAUCCAAAAAGUUUGGAGAGUAUUAAUACCUGAUAGAUGAAGUAGAGGAGAAGAAAAAUAAGAGAAACAAUAAGAGUGAUCAAGAUCACAACGCGUUCCCCAUAAGACAAUUGGAAUAAUAUUGUGAUUUGGAUGAUGAUGAAUGGUAUUAUUGAUAGACCCAUGAUCCUUGCCAUGUACCCAGUUUCUUCAUCUGUUGCAAUCCCACUACCUUCAUACAUUUCACACAAUAUAAGGUUUUAUUUGAUACAUAUUUUUCUAAAACACUUUUCUAUUUUCUAAAAAAUAUAUUUGAUAAUUAAAAAAUAAAAAAUAAAAAAUAGAAAACAGUCUUAUAUUCUUAAAAUAAAAAAUAUGAUAUUUUUAAAGUUAUUUUCAUAAAUAUAGAGAAUGAUAUAUAAAAGUUAUUUAAAUUUAUUUAAAAACAUAGAAAAUAAAUUUAAAAUAUUCUCAACUUUUGUUUUAUAAAACUGUUUUAAAAAAUUGUCUUCAAAACCUGUUUUAAAAAAUGAUUAUCAAAUAAGGAGAGAAGAAACAUGUACCCGUUAACAUCAAUAAUAUUUUCCGAUAUGGUUUUUGUAAUAAAUUUGCAUCAACCGUAGCGCCCGAACCAGCGCCGGGAAACUCACAACUCCCAACAAUGACACAAGUGCCCCAAAGUACAGUGAGGAGCAAGAUCGUCGAUCCGGCCAACAAGCCGACGGCGGUGAGCACAUACUCUUGAGCAGUGUCUUUGCUGUUCAGAAGUCCAGACGCUGAAAUGGUUCAGAGAAAAACAUUGUUACAGCUAAUUAAUUUUCAUUGCACCAACCCAACCCCCUCCCCCCUUUUUUCUGAGGUAUAUAAAUUUUAAUUAAUUGAAAUCAAACUAUAUUCAAUGGAUGAUUCAUGAUUGUGGCAUCCACGAUUCAAAUAAUCAAAUAUGAGAAAUCUUUUGCGUGUUACCACAUACUUUUGACUACUUCAAAUCGUACAAAAUUUGACUAAAAAUCAUAUUAUUUUUCUUCAUUGUCUUUGAAGUUUAGGAAUUAGAUUAUUACACGACUAAUGCUGUUCAACAAUCGAUAUUAAUGAAGAUGAUGAUAAUGUGUACGAAUUUUUUUAAAAAAAAUAUUUUCUUAUUUUUUAUUUUAUUAUAAACAAUAUAAAAAAUAAAAUAUAAUUAAAAUUGUUAAAUUUUUUUUAUAUAAUUUAAAAUUAUUUAAUCUCUAUAUAAAAAAUUAAAAUAUUAUAUAAAAAUAAUUUAUUAAUUUUAUUUUAUUUUUUGUAUGUAUAUUUUAAUUUUAAAGUGUCAAACGGGGGUAGAUAUAUUAAAUGGAAGUGGUCUUCAGUCUCCACAUGACAUAUAGGAAGAAGAAGUUAGGGAUAAAAAACAAAAAUAUUAAAAUUUUAUAAUAAUUGAAAAUGUAAUUUUUGAAAAAUGAUAAGUUUAUUAAAACAAAUUUUUCAAAACUAUAAUUUUUUUUAAUCAUGUUUAAAGAAUUAGUUUAAUGAAAUACAUAUAAAGAAAGUUUGAAUAAAACCCUUAAAAUUUUAUCAUAUAUUUUCCUUGGUUUUUAUAAUAUAAAGAAAAAAAAGGGUUUCUAUUCAAUUAAAAUAGGAAAACAUAUUUAACAAUUGGAAAACAAAAAACAAUUUUGAAGUUAUUUCAAGCAUUCUUACAAUUUAAUUUUAGGAAAACACUUCCUAAACAAAGCCGUAAAUUUUAAUUCAAAAAUUAAAAAAAAAAAAAAAAAAAAAGGAAGAGGAAGAAGAAGACAUGGCAAAGAGUUGAGAAAACUUACCAAGAAGAAUCAAGGACUCAGGGAGAGCACCAAGGACCUGAAACACACUGGCACCAAACACCCCAGGCCCCAAAAUCUUGAAAAUCUGCUCACCCCCAGAUGCCACAUAUGACUCUCCAUGAAACAUCAAGUAUUCAUACACAACAAUUAGGAACAGAUGCCCAAAAAUAUUGUUGCUGCAUGGCAAAAACCCAUACAAUUGCUCACAUUCCUCUGAAGAAUACUCCAUUCCUCUCAACACCAAAACUGAAGACUUCUGCCCUUCACCCUCAUCAACCCCAUCUGAUACCAACUCAUGAGGAUACCCAUUGAGCCCUAGAGGGCGCCCUCUUACAUCAACAAUAAUGAAAAGGUAAAUAAGAAAAAUAGAGAAUGUUCUAUUUUUUGGAAUUUUCCACAUCUUGCAGAGAUGAACAAGUUGGAUGAGGAAGAAGAAAAUGGAGGAUGGGAUAUUUUAUGGAUAACAUAUAUGGGGUUUAUAUAUAUAUAUAAAUGUAUAAGUAUGAGUUAAUAUGUAUCCAUGAAUUCUUUGUAAUUACGUGAAUAUAUAACUUGUCAACAAGUUUAUGUUCAUAAAGUCAAGGACUUGUUCAUUAGUUUGAAUAUAUUGAUUUGAUAUUGGAGAAAAAGAAAAAAGGGAAAACCCCCAAAAACCCAUAUCCCCAUUUUCUUCUUUGAUGCAUGGCAGCCCUGCUAGGGUUUUGCACAUACAAAAGGAAAAUGAAAACCUUUGCAGACAAAAUUGAAAUAGAACCAUUUAUUGAUAAGAAGAAGAAGAAGAAGAAGAAGAAGAAGAAGAAGAAGAAGAAGAAGAAGAAGAAGAAGAAGAAAAUGUAUUUCAUUAAAAUAUACAUAGACCAAGUCCCAAGUUUUCUUUUGACAUAAGUUUUAUACAUGUAUAUGAUUAAACACGAGGUUGCUUGUAAGUUUAAUAGAAUUUACUAUGCUUAGACCGUUCAUGCCAUUGACCUAGCUGUCAAAGUCUGCUAAUUAGUGCUUCCACGUAUUAUUAUUGAUGAGGUGGUGGAUGGCAGCCAUCGAUCUUUGAGGUUGGUUGGUUUGAUGAGAUUAGGUUGCCUUGAUUUUGGGUUGGCUUGCGUGGAGUCUUGUUGGGGCGGCUCAUUGUCAUAUCAAAAGCUUGUGAAAUAGGAAACUCAAGAAAUUUCAAAGUUCUACAGUUUCUGAUAAAGCUUCAAAGAGGCAGCAUAAUGGUUUUUAUUUGAAACCUAAAAUCCAAAUAAUAUUUUUUUGUCGGAUUUUAUUUAGACUUAUUCAUAGUUCAAGUAAAAGAACAAAUAUGAUCUUAGUUCGUGAUACAAUAUCAAAUUCAUCUUUCAUCCUUUAAAAAGCUAAGAAUAGUCUUCGUGUUUGUUUUAUUUAUUUAUUUAAAUAUAAAUAUACAUAUAAAUUAAUUUAAUUUAACUAUAAAUACAACUUAAUAGUAUGUUUGUUUUUUCACAAUGAAAGUUGAGUGUGAGGGUUGAGAAUCAUAAGUAUGAUUAAUUAACAUUUUAGAUUAAAUAAAAAAUUACAUAUUUUAGAUUUUUAUAUUAAGAUAAAAAUAUUGAUAAACAAGUUAAAAUUUAAAAACAAACAACUGAAAACUGAAAGUAAAUUGCAUUUAACAUUAAGUUAAGAAACAAACACCACCUUAAUUGGAUAAUUAGAUAAAAUUUAUACUGUAAAUACAAUCCUUAGUAUCACAAUAUAAAAUAUUAAAUAACAUAAUAUUAUUUAGUUAUUUUUUGAAUAAUUUUAUUUGAAAUUUUAGGCUUAAUUUGAAGGGCCUAGUAAAGCUGGGCCCACUCAACCCAUUCCUGGCCCAUUAUCAGGGUAGGGCAUGGCCCAAGAGAUUACUACCCCCACUUUUGAAUUCAAGCUCUUUGAUUGUUUGAUCAACAUUCAACAUUCAACAUUUUUAUACUACUACUAUAUGAGGAAAGUUAUUAUUCCCAUUUUUUAUUGUUAAUAUUCACAUAAAAUUUUUCUUUAUUCUAUUAGGAAUAUUUUCCAUGAAUUUAGUAAGAAUAUAUAUAUAUAUUUUUUAUAUUUGAUUUUAUUAUGAAAAAUAUGAAAAAAUAAAUAUAAUUAAAAUUAAUUAAAUUUUUAUAUAUUUUCAAAUGAUGUAAUAUAUAAAAAAAUUUAAAUGAGAUAAAUAAAUUUAAAACGAUAAAUAAAAAUAUUUUAUUAACUUUAAAUUUAUUUUUAUUUUCUUUCCUUCUAUUUUCUUUUUCUUACAUUUCCCCUUAAUUUUUUUGAGUAACCAAACAUAACAUAAAUAAUUUUUAUUCUUCCUUUAUAUUUCAUACUACUAUAUACAAAUUAAACAAAGCAAUUCAUAUUUAUUUCUAUUUAAUUAUGAUUUUUUUUGAGAUUUUCCUUAUUCCAAAGAUAGUACAAAAUUUUACUUAUGUCUAGGCUUAACCUAAUCCAUUCAAAUUAAUUUCAUGAUCUCGAAGUUGUCUAACUAAACCUAUGUUCACUUGCUUAAGUUUUAACUUAAUUUUAAUUAGAGUAAGUCACGUUUAAGAUCUUACUUUAAUAAAUGGUUUUCAAGUUUGGGUUGAGCUCCAUAAAUAUCAACUAUUCUUCCCUUAAUUAUUAGAUGAUCAAGAGAAAACUGAAAAUUUCAAGAUCAACCAAGCCUAGCUUGUUGCCAAUAACCUAAAACCUCAUUUGGGCCAUGAGGGUUCUAACUUUGGAUAGGGUGUGUUGAGGCCCACCCAAUCCAUGUUUAGUGAAGGUUGGGAUUUUUUAAAAUUAUGAAUUUUUAAAAUAAAAUUAAUGACAGUGUAUUUUGAAAGGUGACAGUGUCAAAACUAUUUUUAAAAUUACAAUACUUUUUAAAACAUCAAUCUUUUGAAGAGAUAAUUUCAAUUCAAAUAUUAAAAUUAUUUUUUCAAAUAACAACUCCAAUAUUCAAUUAAAAUUAUAUUUUGAAAAGAAAUUUUUUGAAAAUGUUAUUUGAAUUAUUAUAUUUAAAAAAAUAUUUUUAAAUUUGUUGUUUUUUCCCCUCAAAAUCCCUGAGAGGUACAUCUCGUUACCUUCUCAAUGGCUUUCUUCUAUUUUUGAACCUUCUCUCCUGUCCUUUAGUAAGAGCAAGUUGGAAUAUGACAAUUCCAUACUUAUUCUACUGUCCAAAGUUUGUGGGCCCAAAAAAUACCCCCAAUGAAGAAUAAGAGCCAUAAGAAUAUAAAUAUUAAAAAAAGUAACCAUCCUUAUCCACCUUAUAAAAAUAUAAUUUUUUUUUAUAAUAAUUUCUAUAUUUAUUAUUUAUCAUGAAAAAUGCUUAAUUCGCAUGAAAAAUGCUGUGAUUUACUGUCUUAAAUUGAAGCUUUGCUUGUGUAAUUUGCAAUAAAUUUUACAUAUUCACUUACAAUAUGAUUUUUUUUUUUUGUAAUAAAGAUAUUAAAUUUAUAUAUAGAAACUAUUUCAUAAUUUAUUGUAUCAGAGUCCAAAAAUCAAGCAAAAUCCUUAUUUCCAGGAAAGGAAGGAGAUCGGAGGUCUUGAAGAAGUCAUUGCAGCAAAUGUUGAUAAUUCUCACCUUGGAAGCAAUGUCUCUUGGAAGUGGAUUAGAAUUCCAUUUGCAUUUGCAUAUAUUUGAAUUGGUCACUUGGAAAUUUUGUCUUUUUGUCAAGAAUCUCAGUACUACCACCCUAUACCAUUAAAUUUGCAAAUUAAAUUUUUAUGUAUUAAAUAUAUAUAUAUAUAUAUAUAUAUAUAUAUAUAUAUAUAUAUAUAUAUAUAUAUAUAUAUAUAUAUAUAUAUAUAUAUAAUUUUCUUGUAUAAGUAGAUGUCUUUCCAACCUAGGCACCAUUAAUUACUCAUUAUUAUAUUCCAACAAUCUAUCAAUUUCAACAUAUGCUUUGAUUUUUCUCAAGAUUCAAUUCCCAUCUCCAAGAGGUUUCACAUUGAAACCAUGCGACAAAAAAAACCCCACAACUCAUAAUUAAUUAAUAUAUCCUAAUAAAUUCAUUGUAAUUUAAUGUUUCCCAUAUGCUUAAUUUGUAUUAAAACAUUUUUUUAAUAAAUGGUGAGAAUUCUAAAAUAAAUUGAGAAAAAUAUAAAUAAAAUGACUUCUAUUACCAUAUAGUAAUCUUAAAAAAAAAAAAAAGAGAGAGAAUGAGGAAUUAUGAGACCAUAGAGGUGAUGAGUUAAACCUCCUUCAAAGAUUCCGUAGCCACUCUUUCAUGACUUUCUUCCUCAAGUGAACAGUUUAUUGAUCCAUAGGAAAAUCCAACAAAGAUAUUUUGUAUGAACCUUCAUGAGAAAUUAUCUCCCCAAAUACCAUUCAUUUUUGCGGCUGCACCCCAAUUUGACUCCAUGAGAUGCUUCUCCCAAUUAUUUGGACUUGCCUCACUCAACAUGCAAUCAAUCUUGAUUAGCUUGUUAAUUUGAUUUGAAAGUUUGGUUUGAUAAAUAAUUUAUUAAUACAUGAAAUCGAAUUAGAUUAAAACCUUAACAUACUGUCUCAUUGGUAAGCAGACAAGGUAAGCACAUUAACUCUGAUGGAUAAAUUAUGAUUAAUAUUAUACUUGAACUCUACAUAAACUAAAACCUUAACACCCUUUGCUUACCUAUCUAGAAAAAUAAAUAUCAUCGAGCUUUAAUUCUAUGAAAAUCAAUUCAAAAACUUAAACCAUUAAAUAAUGAACCAGUAAUAUAUAUCAAAUAAAGUAUAAUUAAAAUCCUAACAUUUGAAGUACAUAUCACUUUCAAACUUUUUGUUUUUUUGACAAAAAUCUUUGAAGGAUUCUCUCAACUAGAUGCGUAAAAGUUGAGUAUAAUUUUCGUAUAUGUUGUCAAACUCCACUUGUUGACAUGAGCUAACAAACAAAAAUAGGCGCCUAAUCCAUCUUUUCAUAAAUUAAUCUCGAAGUCGUAUAAAUGGACUAUAGACUUUGAGGCCACCAUCAGGAAAAUUAAGAACUAUGAAAUUAAGGUCUCAACUCUGUUCAUUGCCCAAACUACAAGAAAAUGGAUUCAUUUCUCUUCUCCUUCAUGGCCACAAUUCUGUUGCUUCCAGGAGCAGCAUCCGAAGUAGGCACCGGCCAUAUGGGCAGUAUUGGUGUCAUCGUCGAUAAUAGUUCGCUUAUCGGUAAAGAAGAGAUAGUAGCAAUGAAGUUAGCCAUCUAUUACUUCAACAACAAAACUAAUCGACAAUUGGAUUUGCAUGUGAGAGACUCUCAAAGUGAUCCAGUUCUUACUUUGCUUUCCGGUAAACUCCACCAAUCUAAUUAUCUUUCAGUGAUUCGAAGGAAACUUAAUUUGAAGAUGUACUCGAUAAUUAAUUUGAAUGAAUUUUGUUUGUAACUUUCGUAUGUAUUCUGAGAUGCAGCCAGAAAUCUGAUCAAGAAGCGGAGAGUGCAAGCUAUUAUCGGCCUUGAUACAUGGGAAGAAGCAUCUUUAGUUGUGGAGCUUGGUAGUAAAGCUCAUAUUCCGAUUGUUUCCUUGGCUGAUGCAGCUCCGCAGUGGGCAACAGAUCGCUGGCCGUUCCUUGUUAGAGCCUCGCCGGAGAAACACCUGCAAAUGAAAGCUGUGGCAGCCAUUAUCGGGUCUUGGGGAUGGCGUCGGAUCAAUGUGAUAUACGAGGAUACCAACUCUGCUGGCUCUGAGAUCAUUCCAUUUCUUGCUGAUGCCCUCAAGCAAGUUGGUUCAGAAAUCGGAUACCUUGCAGCUCUCCCACCAUCAUCUGCAGUUAAUUCUUCUUCUUCUUUAUCUGAUCAGCUCCAAUGGCUUAAAGGAAAGCAGUCACAAGUCUUUGUGGUUCAUUCAUCUUUAUCAAUGGCGGAGCGUUUGUUUUCAAAAGCUAAUGAAUUGGGCAUGAUUGGAAAGGAUUCUGUUUGGAUCACUACAGACAGCAUCACAAAUCUUGUACAAUCCAUGAAUUCCUCAGUCAUCUCUUCCAUGGACGGUGUUCUAGGAGUGAAGAGCUUCUUCCAGGAAGACGGAGCCCGGUUCCAAGACUUCUGCUCCAGAUUUCGACAGAAGUUUCGAUCACUGUAUCCUAAGGAAGACAACCACGAGCCUGGGAUUUUCGCCGUUCAGGCAUAUGAUGCUGUGUGGUCUGUUGCUCUAGCAAUGGACAACAACGGGUCGACCCAACAAUUGUUAGAAAAGAUUGAACUCAGCGAUUUCCAUGGCCUCACAAACAGAAUCAAAUUUGAGAGACGACGCUUGGCUCCACAGCGCAUGUUUCAGAUUGUUAACGUGAUUGGAAAAAGUAAUAGAGAGCUCGGAUUCUGGUCGGAGGGAUCAGGCUUCGCCAAGCCUACUAAUGGUCAAAUUCAAAACAGUAGCUCCAUGGACAUCCUGGGGCAAGUGUUUUGGCCAGGAGGCCCUACUUCCACCCCAAGAGGAUGGGCAUUUCCUACAAGCGAAACCCCAUUGCGAAUUGGAGUGCCCCUCAAUGCCACAUUCAAACAAUUUGUUUCUGUAAACUACGAUAUUGAUGGAGGCCAUCGAUCGGUUUCGGGUUCUCAAUCGAAGUCUUCAAAGCAGUUCUGAAACAUUUAAAAUACAAUCUAUCUUAUGAGUUUUUUCCCUACAGUGGUACCUAUGAUGAUUUGGUGGAACAGGUUCAUCUCAAGGUGAGAGAUUUGUUCAUUCUCCUUACUCUUAACUCCAUUUUAAGUUACAUUACUAAUACUUUUCUAUACGUAACAUAUAAAAUUGUAUCUAUGUGAAGAAAUUUGAUGCAGUGGUAGGCGAUACGUCGGUAAUUUCAAAGAGAUGGGAUCUGGCCGAAUUUUCGUAUCCCUACACAGAACCAGGAUUGCUGAUGAUAGUUCCUGAGAAAGUAGAGACAUCCAAUAGGGCUUGGUUAUUCAUGAAGCCCUUCACCAAGGUGAUGUGGGUUCUAACAGGUGCUAUAACCAUCUACAAUGGCUUCACCCUCUGGUUGAUAGAACGAAACCAAAACCCAGAACUUAUGACAGGCUCUACUCUGAACCAAAUGGGAACCUUGGUUUGCCUAUCCUUCACCACCCUCUUCUCUAUGCAUGGUAAGGGCUAUAAAUCAUCCAUUUCAUCUACUGUAUCUGAAACUGAACAUAUCACUUCUCAUAUAGAAUUAGUAUAUAAUUUUGUUGCAUGUAUCCAUUUCUUUCUUCAAUGCUAUGAAAAUCAUGAGGGUUCUGAUGAUAUUUCCAAAUGCACAUUUUAUGUCAUAAUUUCAAGCCAAUUUAACAUAAUAAUUGCUCUUGAUAGUUUUAUCUGAUGAAUUUUUUCGUAUCCCAUUGUUCAUAAUGUAACAUGGAAGAUGGGGAUUGAGGCUGUACAGGUCUUUAAGGUUCCCUCAUGCAUUUAUCUUUCUGAAUCACAGGAGGAAGGCAACAUAGUAAUCUGUCCCGGUUGGUAAUGGUGGUCUGGCUGUUCGCAUCUCUGGUGAUAACGAAUAGCUACACUGCUAAUCUUACCAGCAUGCUUACGGUCCAACGCCUUGAACCUACUGUGGUCGAUGUGGAAGAUCUGAAGAGUGCUAAUUCCAUUGUUGGGUGCAGCAAACGAUCAUUCGCGGUGAGGUAUUUGGUGGAUGUCAUAGGAAUAAAAAUGAGAAACAUAAAAGAUAUCACUUCAGCUGACCAGUAUGCUCGAGAUCUCAGAAGCGGAGAGAUAGCAGCAGCCUUCAUUGAAGCUCCCUACGCCAAAAUAUUCCUUGCCCAAAACUGCAAAGGCUUUGCUGCUUCUGGGAAAACAUACAAAGUUGGUGUCUUUGGAUUUGUAAGUCCCUAUAUUCCUUUAUAGCUAACUCUCCUUUCUCCAUCUUACUCAAAUUUUCUAAGAUCAAAGGUGAGCCUAUCAACCUGCCAUUCAAUGCCAUUUGGGCUGUGUUUCUUGAAAAAGUACAUCAGGGAGAUUAUCACUGAGAGCAUUUUUGCAUUAGGGCUCAAUUGGGUGGUGGUUUGUUUUCUCUGAAGUCCCAAAUCAAUAGAAGAUUUCUUCCCUUUUCCCCAACUUUUCUCAGCAACCAAACAUGCAGAACUGAAACCCAUUUAGCUGCACCAAACCAAAAUUAAUUAGUCUAUCUAGUGUAUGAUUAUUAAUAUGAUUGAUUAAUUAAUUUGCUGAUUUUUUCAGGUGUUCCCAAAGGGAUCACCUAUUCUUCCAGACAUAUCUAAAGCAGUCUUGGAGGUGACUGAAAAUGGUGAGUUACGUGAAUUACAGAACAUGUUGAUUGGAUCCCAGAAGUGUAAUUCAAAUAUUACAGAAACCAGUGAGGAUAGCAGUAGUCUUAGCCCUAGCAGCUUUUGGGUACUUUUCUUAAUAACAGGAGGUGUAUCAACAGUUUGUCUUGUAAUCUUCAUGGCCAGAGAAAGGUUAACCUAUUUGUAUAAUUAUUCGUUGGGGCAUAUGGCCAUUUGGAGACUAAUAUCAGCUGUAAUGAGAAGCUGGAGAUCACAUCCACGUGAGCGAUUCUCUAGAGGAAUUAGCGACGAAGAAAGUAAUGGAAAUGGCCAACACACAUCUAUGCAUUCACCACAAUACUUUGGAUAUAGAGUGCCAUGGCAGAGAAAUUACAGCUCCAGAAGUUCUUCCUAAAUUCACAAGCUAAAUCAACCCCAAAAAAUAAAAAUUUUAGAGGAUGCUUGGGAAACCAUAACCCAUAUGUGAAUGCAUUUAAGCACAGAAUUUAUAGCAUAUUUUCUGUAUGUUUGUGCUCUGUGAAAUGCAAUAUAAUUCUUAUUUUUAAAAUGCAUUUGUGUAUUAUUGUACGUACUGUUUUAGAUAAAGCAAUAUAUAAAUACUCUUGAUUUUGUAUGUAAAAUCAUAUAUUAAUAUGAUAGAUUUAUACUUGGUUCUUGUUUGGAGCUUAAAGCCCAUCUGUUGACAAGUAUGCGAAAGGAAAAGCAAGCUUAAAACUGAUGAUAAACCCUAAAAAUCUAGACACUAUUCAAUUAAAAAUGAAAAAGAAACAUAUAGCAAAACUAUAUAAAUGAUGAUUCAAUGUCUCUCAAGGACAAGUUCAAGUUAUCAAAACCAUCAAUUUUUCCUCCUUUGGUAAUUACUGUAAGGGUGGUAACCAAUUCUUUUUUGAAACUUCUAAGACUUACCUAAUCCCAUGCUGCCCUAAUACCAAUUGAUAUUCAAGAUCAGCUAAUUAUUGGUGAAUAAUGCAUAAUUGUAUAAAUUUAAGGUUAUAGUCAUGAUCUUUAGAUCCAACCAAGAGGAAUGGUAGAUAUCACCAAGUUUUCCUUGACUUUUCCUCAUUGGGCGAAUGAAUGGUUGUAAGCCCUUUGUCAAUUUAAAGAGAUACAUAAUCAAGAGAAAGACAUGAAUGAUAAGAUUUUUCCGUGUGGAGCAAUGAAAUCGAAUGAGAUGAAUUGACGAAAGCUAUUUAAUUAGUGAGUGAUUAAGAAUUGUAGAACAAGGGAAUAAUCUUAAAUUUUAAUUUUGUCAGUCAAUCCAGAUACAAGUAUAACUUAUAAUAUUAUAAGGCAUAGUCAAGACUCCCAUGACCUGGAAUUAGCAUGCAGUGGCAUUUGAAUUUAUCGUCUCCUCAAUAUAAAAUUGUUACCUAAAGGCAUUUUGUCUACUCUACACGUCAAGCUAUUGAGACAAAAAAUUAAGAGUUUCAGAACACAUUAAUGGUAGUUAGCAACGAAUUCAAUGUCAAGAUUCUAAUCUCAGGAUUCUUUGAUAACAAAGGCAUUGACUUAGUCUAAGAUUACUUGAUAAAUUCAACAUUCUUUGAUCAAUGCAUGUAUAUAUUACUAUGACGAAGAAAUAAAAAAUUCUAGUCUCAAUAGGGCCUGUAUAUUUGAACAAGUCAAGUGUUUCAAUCAAUCCACAUAUAUGAAGAGAAAAAAUCAAAGGACAUGCAUGUUUACCAAUUUUCAAGCUUUGUUUCUAGUGAUAGUAUAUACCAAAUAUACUGGCAAUUCCAAAUAAGGAACCCUCCAAAGUCACAUGUUUAUAGUCCUGUCUAAACAGGUCAUUCCAUGAAAAUUGAUAGUAUAUAUUUGUUGUCUUGUGCCUGUUGGUAUAUACUGGAUUAAUUAAUGUAUCUAGAAAGCAGCAAAGGAAUUCAAUUCAAACGAAAGCAAUGUGAUUUGACAACAAUAUUUGAAAAAUUAAUACACCCCAAGGUCUUACAAGUUUAACCGAAGAACAACGUUAUGUAACAAUAAAUGCAUCCUUUACUAAUGAUCAGUGAAGCAUUAACAACGUAGCGCGGUAGUUCUAGAAUUCUUCGUCUCAGACCUAGGGGUGGAGCCAGUACUGAUCAAUUGGUCCACAAGAUUGGGGUUCAAUUCUUUGAAUCAUGCCCCAUAAGAUGGGCUUCAACUCUUAAAGUUGACCCAGUAAGCGAAAAAAAAGAAGACAAAUGAGGCAAAGAAAGGAAAUUAAAGCAUUCUUAUCCAUAUAUAAAGGAAAGGGACCAUGGUGGCAAUAGCUGUCCUUUUAGUCUUCACAAAAUGGGCAUAUUGUUUUCUCUCUUCUUCUCUUUGUUGGUCUUAGAUUUGUUGUUUCUGCAAAUGGCAACAGCCGAUGGAGGCACUGACUCAAUUGAAAAAGCUGAUGUCAAGGGAAGUAUUGGAGCUAUUCUAGACUAUAGCUCGCGCAUUGGGAAAGAAGAGAAGGUAGCCAUGGAGAUGGCUAUAGAGGAAUUCAACUCUCAGUACUCCAACCAGCAUAUUGACCUGCUGAUAAAUGACUCUCAAGGGGAACCCAUCCAAGCAGCACUUGCAGGUAAGUCUAUCGGUUCAUCUCCUUUAAUUUCUGGCAAGUAAUGAGAGUUCUCUACAGUACCAUGUUUGACAUUGAAAUUCAGUUCCCAUGACCACAUCCUAGUUUGCAAUAGAUCUUGUUCAUGCAUAUAUACUAUAUUUCUGGGCAAAUUAUAGAUGACUCAGGACAUAGCUAGGGCAUUCAGAAACAGACAUAUAUAUAUAUGCUGAAAUGUUCAUGAGGUUCAUAUAUAUGACAAGAUAUUGUUAGUGAUAAAUGCGUUUUUGGAAAUGAAUUUUACAUAUAUACAACUAUGAGAACUGGUGGUUAACACUGGGCAGAUUCAUUACCUACUUAGCACUCCACUUAAAGCUAUGAAUUCGCAUUAGUUUUCUGGGAAAUGAAAGGAGUUACUAAAGGAACUAACCAUAAUAUUUUGUGCUUCAUCAGCAUCUUAGCAUAUCCGUACAUCCAUACAGACUUGACCCAUAAGCCAUGAGGAAAGAACAAAUUAAAACAGUUGCUUUUUGAAUGAGUUUGCAUAGCAUUGUGAAGAAAUUAAGUAAACAACAAAUUACAAAGAAAUCAUGGUGUACUAAUAUAUAUAGGACAUAUAUACCAAGUUUUUACAGCUUGUUUGUGAAGUAUUCAUAGGCAGGAAUGGUUUGAUUUCAGUACAUACAACAAAAAAAGAAUCAACCAUUUUUGGCCUUGUUUUGCAUAUUAGUUUCAUUAUACAUAUAUAUAGUACUGAUAUUGUUUUGAUAGUGAAAUUAUCAAACCAUGUAGAAGCUGCUACACUUCUACUAAUACUGCUACUACUACCACCACUCCUACUGCUGAUUUUUUGAACAUUGUUGCAUCAAUAUACAGCACUGGAGCUUGUAUACAGGCAUCGAGUAAAAGCAAUUCUGGGGCCCCAAUCAUGGGAAGAAGCAUCCUUAGUUGCAGAGGUUGGCAGUCAAGCUCAUAGCCCCAUUCUUUCUCUUGCCUAUGCAACUCCACAGUGGGCAACAGAAAGGUGGCCCUUCCUCAUCCAAGCCUCUGCAGACCAGUCUUGCCCAAAUGAAAGCCAUUGCUGCAGUUAUUAAGUCUCAGGAUUGGCAUCGGGUGACCGUAGUAUAUGAGGACAUCCCGUCCUCCGCCACUGGAGCCGUUCUCCAACUCUCAGAAGCCCUGAAAAAUGUAGGAAUAGAAAUAGGCCACCUUCUGCCUCUCCCACCUUUGUCUUCUUCUUCUUCAUUGGUUGAAGAGCUCCAGAGUCUUAAAGAAGGGCAGCGUAGAGUGUUUGUGGUUCAUACAUCCUUGCAAUUGGGGGUUCACCUAUUCGAAACUGCCAAGAAGAUGGAGAUGAUGAAAGAAGUGUAUGUAUGGAUCAUUACAGACACCAUUUCCAGUCUUGUCCAUUCCGUAAAAGCCUCUACCAUCUCCUCAUCCAUGGAUGGAAUUGUAGGUGUCAAAAGCUACUUCAUUGAAACCACACCCCAUUUCAAGAUAUUCCGGGGGAGAUUCAGGAGGAAGUUCAUCUCAGAACACCCAGACGAAGAAAAGAAUGAACGCGGGAUUUACGCAGCUAAGGCCUAUGAUGCCACUUGGGCUGCAGCUCUAGCGAUGAAGGAAGGGGUACCGAUACUGGCCAACAACUGCUAGAAAAUAUUUCAAACGGCCAAUUUGAUGGCUUAACUGGAAAGAUCCAAUUCAGCGAUCAGAAAUUAGCCCCAACACAUAUAUUUCAGAUCAUCAAUGUUGUAGGGAAGAGUGAUAGAGAACUAGGGUUCUGGUCCUAGACAUCGGAGGAGGAGUCAGGUUUUUGGGGAGAUGGAAGAGCUCUGGCACAGGUGAUUUGGCCUGGGGGACCCAGGAAUACUCCAAGGGGAUGGACGACUCCAACAGAUGAGAAGCCACUGAAGACCAGUGGGUCCACUUUCAAACAGUUUGCAGAAGUGACACAAGAUGGAAAUAAUAUUGCUUUCAAAGGAUUCUCAAUCAAUGUCUUCAAUGCAACUAGGGGUCUCCAAAAAGCCCGCGGCCCGCUUUAGGCCCGGCCCGGCCCAAGCCCGCCGGGCCCAAGCUCGGCCCGAGCCCGUUUAUGGGCGGGCCGGGCCGCGGGCCUAAAUUUAGGCCCGGCGGGCCGGCCCGCCCUUAGGCCCGCCUUUAAUUUUUUUUUUAAAAAUAAUAUACUAUAUUUUUAUAUAUAUAUAACUAAUUCAUUUAAUAAGCACAAAAGAAAUGUAGCUCAGUUGGUUAGAGCCUUAAAAUUUAAGCUUGAGGGGAGGGGUUCGAAUCCCCCCCUCUUCCUUCCUUUAUUUAAAAGCCAUUUUGGCUUAUUUAAAAAAGCCCGUUGGCCCGGCCCGCCCAGCCCGCCAGCCCGCAGGCUCAUAGGCCGGGCCGCGGGCCUAGCAUUUGAGCUCGGCCCGGCCCGUUGACCAGUCAACGGGCCCAUAGGCCCGGCCCGCCCAUUGGAGACCCUUAAAUGCAACUGUGGAACGCUUGCCAUAUGCUUUGCCACAUAAGUUGUAUGCCUUCAAUGGCACAUACGAUGAACUAGUGAGACAGGUUUAUUUGAAGGUACGAGAUAUGCUGUCUUCUUAAAGGUACGAGAUAUGCUGUCUUCUUUCAUUCAGUUUCUUGCUCUUCCGAUUUGAAAGGUCUGUUCGGUGAUACUUUAUUUUUAAUCAUUUUCCAUGUUUGUACCAUCAUUUUUCAAAAACUGUUUUUUGUCAAUUUUUAUUUAUUUAUCAAACCUAUACCGCUUUCAAUUUAAAAACAAUUCCCAAAUAAACUCUAAGGUGGUGUUUGUUUUUUGGCUGAAUAAAAAAAGUAAAAUAUUUUGGCUUUUUCUAUUCGGCUAAAAGUACCUUAUUGAUACUAACCAACAUAAUUAAAGUGAAUUUCUUAUUAAUAAGUUUAGUUUAAUGAUGUUGGUUGAUGUCAAUGAGUUACUUUUAGCUGAAUAGAAAAAGUUAAAAUAUUUGGUUUUUUCUAUUAAGCCAAAAAACAAAUACAACCUAAGUCUUAUUCACAUAGAACUUGUCCAUAUUUGUAUAUUUACUUGAAACUCUGCAAAUGUGAGCAGAAAGUUGAUGCAGUAGUUGGAGAUGUUGCAAUAGUAGCCAAAAGGUUUGAGCAUGCAGAGUUCACACAACCUCAUGCUGAACCAGGAUUGCAGAUGAUAACCCCAGUUCGAUCAAAAAGCAGCAAUAAAGCAUGGCUAUUCAUGAAGCCCUUCACAAGAGCCAUGUGGAUUCUAAUAACAUUCAUAAAUGUCUACAACGGAUUCGUGGUAUGGUUGAUAAAAAGAAACCAGUACUGCAAUGAACUUAAAGGCUUAGUCCUCAAUAAAAUAGGAACCCUACUUUGGCUAGCCUUCUCAACGCUCUUUUCUCUGCAUGGUAAGAAGAAAUCCCUACAUAUCUUAGAAAUUUAAGGCAUAUUUGGUAACUAUUUUUUAAAAUAGUAUUUGAUUCUUUAAAGAAAAAAAAACCAAGAAAAUACAUUUAACAGCCUGACAAAACAAAAACCAAUUUUCUCAAAAACAAAAAACUUGAUGUAUAAUCUUUUAAUGGUUUUCGAUUGUUUUCUAUAGCGUUUUAAAAAAUAAUUAUACGAAUAUUGAAAAUGAUUAUAAAUAAAUUAUUAGAUAUCAAGUUAGUUUUAAGACAUUUAAAAAUAUAAGAAAUAAGUUAAACAUAUUUUAGGUUCUCAAACCCAAUUUUUUUCUAUAAAAUAUUAAAGACCAGUUUUUCAAAAACUGUUUUUAAAAAUAUUUCUCAAAUAAAAGGGAAGUUUCUAUAUGUUAUAAAAUUGAUAGCCUCACCCUAGUUGAUUUGUUUGAACAUGAACUCCAAGUAUGCUCUAAAAGAUGAAGGCAUGUAGUUGAAGUGAAAAGAUGUUGGUCAAAUAGUUCGUAAAUGAUUGAUUAGACAUGAGUAAGAUAACUCCUUGUACAUAUUAAAUUUUUUCAUGGUGAAAGUGUUUAAUUGUUAGUAGGCCCAUGGGUUUUCAUCUCUUAGGAGAUUUUCUAUGUAAAAAUCUGGUGUUAUGGUCUCCACCUCAUUCUUCUCAUUUUUCAUUAUCAUUUAUCGAUGCUAAUUUCAUUCUUAAUCAUAAAUGUUAAAUGGGUGAAAAAUAAGUUGAAAUGAGUUCAAUUAUUCUUUAGAAAUUUUGGAUACUUUUCUUUUCAAUUUGAUUAUGAUAUCAAAAGAGUAAUUAGAAAUAUGUUUUAAAUAGUUAAUUAUUAUUAUGAAUUUUGAUCGGGAAUCUUGAUUCAUUUGCAUACAAAUUGCAUUUAUUAAAUUUUUUAGAGAGUUUUGGUGCAUCUAUUCUUGCAUGUGAUUUUUAUUUUUAUUUUUUUUGUUAAAAAGUUGUUAGAAGAUAUGAGAAAUUUUAAAGAAAGAUGAUUCAUGUUGGAGCAUCUCUUAAAUUUAUUUAGAUACAUGUUGGAGUAUCUCUUAUAUUUAUUUAAAAACACCUAUUCACCCCUCUAGGGAUAGUCCAACAUUAAAAUUCAGCCUCGGUUUUUAUUAUGAAUAUUUUAUUUUUCAAGUGGAGAUCUUGAGAAAUGUUUUAUAUAUGGGAUGAGUGUGCUUUAAACAAUAACAAAAGUAAAAAUAAUUUUCAUGUAUUUUUUGCAUAAUAAUUUUUUAAAAGUUAUUAAUAUUUUUUUUUUAAAAAAAACCAUAUUUAUUUUUUUGUGGUUUAAAAACUUAUUCGAACACAUUGUGUCAUCAACUUAAAAAGACAUUUUAGAUAUUGAUUGAAAUAAUAGAAAUAUGAGAAUGCAUGAAAUCAAUUCUAAAUUCUAAAUAUUUUAGAUUUAUGAAUAUAAAUUUGAUUUAAAAAAAUGCAAGUUCUUAUUUUCUUUGAUUAGAAGGAACAAUUUGUUCCCUUUUGCAAAUUUUUAAGUUCAUAAAGCAUGAUGACUCAUUAAAUGAGAUAAAUAUUUAUCCUCUUUAUAAUUACGAUUGUGGACAAUCUUUCUUAAUAUGAUUUAAAUUCAUCUUCCGAGGACUACGAUAGAUUUCACUAUCUUCCUCCAUAAAUGUUGUACAAUAUUCCAAAUCAUAUACAAUGGAAGAUUUCAAACAAACACAUAAAUGAAUUAAAAUUAAGAAUAUUAUGAAGAAUCUCAAAUACUUAAUUGUAAAAUAUCCAUAUUUAUAAUCAAUAACCCAAGUCAUUCUAUAUACAUUACCAUCAAUACACAAUAGUAAUUACUCCAAAGGCUUGUAAGAUGUGGGGAAUGCUUUUUCUGAAUGAAAAACUACAUGAGGAGGUUUACAUACCACCUUUGCCAAGAUGAUCAGUUUCUUCACAUUUAGUUAAUCAACUCAAAAAGGCAUUGUACGAACUAAAACAAGUUGAUUGUAGAUAAAUUUUGCAUUUGUAAACCCUAUAUAAUGGUAUUAAAUAUUGUUUACAUUAAAAUGGUUUUCUUCUUUCUCAAAUGAUAUAAAACCAUAUUAAUCCUGAUUUUCAUAUUAAAUGAAACUAUUAAAAUGUAAUUUGUAUAAAACAUCUAGAUUCAAUUAAAUCAAAAUUUUACCUCAUAUUAGUAUUAAUAUUAAAACAAAAUUUACCCUAUAUCGUUUUCUUAAAACAAAUUCAAUAUAUGUAUUAUUACUUUUAUAUAUUUCCAUAAAAGCCAACUAUUGAUAUUUCAUAAAUUUUUAUAUUUUUUUUAUUUUCUCAUUCUGACUUCUAAAUCACGAACUUCUUUCAUAAAACCAGUUUGAAAGGCCCUAACCAAAUUAAAAGAACUUCUUAACUUCUCAAAAUUAUUUUAUUAUCUUGAGAAUUGAGGAACGUUCCAUGCUGAAACCCCUCAAACUCUCCAUUUAGAUACUAAUAACGCCCACUACAAUCGGCACCAGAUAAUCAGGACAUUCAAUCAACAAUAGAAAUCAAAUCUAGGACCAUGUGCCUCUACCACCGACGACCACUAACCAAUUGGACACAUCGAUGGGCUUAACGUCUAAAAAUCCAUCCAAACCAAACCCAAAAUAAUUUUUCAUAUGUAUAUCAAAUAAAGAGACUUUAGAUUCUUUUUUCCCCCUUUUUCCUGCUGCUUUCCAUCAUCCAAACAUAGCCUAACAAUUAGAGCUCAACAAAAUACAAAAAAUGGUUCAGUUUUUACAGGCUUAAGGACUUUAAGAGUUCAUUUGAAUCUUGAGGAUUCCAGCACUAGGAGAAUUUUUUAAUAACUCAAAAUAUAAGACUGAAGGGACUCAGUUCAGCUCAAAUAUCAGUUGAACAAAAGUAAUAAAAUCGGUAUUCAGCAGCAAAAUUAUUUAAACACGACCUCAAGUAAUAGUGGUUUUAACAUAAAGCUCAACCUUCAUAUUUAAAAGGAAGAAAAGAAAAGACUCGUGGCAUUGAAAGCAAAGUAAUUUUCACCUUUCUGAACACUAGAAAAUUUGCUAUCCACCAUUGCUACAAAACAACACUUCAGGUUUCGGGUUUUGGGUUUCAAGCAGUAUUAGCUCAAAAUAUAGAUGUAGGUGAAACAGCCAAGAAGUCAAAAAAGAGUAAUAAUCAUAGAGCUUACGAUUAGUCACAAGAGAGUGCCUCCCGUAAAGCUUUUGUGGUCUCCAUGAAUCUAUGACCAGCCAAGGACAUAGUCCAAAACAUAAACCAGUGCCAGGGAGAAAGGGUAUAGCAAGAGAGCUACAAAAGAUGUCCAGAGAGGGAAGGUGGUGCGGAAACUGGCAAAAACGCCCAUCACAACGCAAACUAUGAGAAUGACCAGCACCUCUGAUGAGAAGUCCCAUGUUAAUCCCCUAACAUAAACGAGGGCUAAAAAGACUGACAGGCAAAGGACAUUAUUCAUUGUUACCGCCCCAUAUAACUGUAUGAGAAAAAGAGAUGAAAACAGAUUAGAGGGAUGAUUUCAUAACUCCAGAACAAAACAAUUAACUAUUAAGCAAAUAUAAUGAUCCCUGUAAACAAUAACACCGAUGUUUAUGCCUUGUGAGUUCAAAUUCUGCACUAUUCCAAGAUGAACCUAUGUCUACUAGAACUCUGGUCUACAGACAGCUAACAUGGUUUGCAUAAUUCAAUAUACACCAGUCAUUUAGAAAGUCAGUUCCAGAGACUGCAUUUCACUGGGGGAGGGAGAGAGGAUUACAAGAACUGUUAUGAGAUUGUGAGAAAUACAGGUGUUAUAAGAUGUCUCAGGAGAUCAAAUGUAAGAAACAUCGAUUUGACUAAAAGAUAAAAAUUUUUAAGUUCUAAAAAUGUUGAAAGCGCUUCCUAAAAUCACUACCACACUCUAAUAAUGAGAAACAAUUUGAAAGAACUGAGUCGACCGCUAGAACUACUGGUCUUAAAAGGGCAUAUAAUGUUCUACCACAUCCAAAUAUUUUAAUAGAAUAAAAAUUCUAUCUGAUCGAAACAGAAAAGAUAAUCACCCCUCAUGAUUUCCCACUAUAAUAUGAUGAUAUUCAUAGCUGGUGAUGCAAAUAAGAGUCCCUCUGACAAUGCUUUUAGAGAACACUUGUAACAUAAAAACAUUUUUAGAGAAAAAUUAAGUGUCUACUGUCUAGUAAAAGUUUAAAAACACUUUUAAAAAGUUUAAAAAUCACUUAUAACGCUUUCUUUAGAAAGCACGGUGAUUCUCUCAAAAAAAACUUCAAGAGAAAGCACUUCGACUAAAAGUACUUACAAAUAAAAACACUCACCGACACAUUCUUAGAAAGGUAUUGGGAAUACACUAGAAGUAGCUCUAACUGGAUGCAACCUAAUACCCAUUAGGCUGGAACUUGGUCUCAUAGAAACUUCAGCUAGAGCAGUGGUUAGAUCAUAGUCUAUAAAUGUACUUCACAUUAUUCACUCAAAACUGAACAUUUUCCAAAAGAAGUAAAGCUUAGAACUGCCUUUAGACAACUUGAAUUUAGUCAACGUUAUAAAAACCCAACUUCCCAAAUCAAUAGAACAUUUAAAUGGACCUUCCCUAUAAAACAACCUAUGAAGUUUAGCCAAAUCUAAGAGCUAAUGGGCACUUUGCAGUAAUGAAAAAGCAAUAAUAUCUACUAAUCUUAAGUUUUUCACUAGAAAUCAACAGAUUAAUUAGUGAAUGACAAAUCACAAUUUUUUUUCAUUUUCUUAAAAAAAUAGAUUGUUAAGUCUGGGAAACAUUAGAAAUAUUGGAUCAUUAAUCAAAUAAUGCUCUGCUAUAUAGUUCCAAACAGGUGGUGUGAUUAUUUAGUAUCCAAAAAUUACAUAGAAGAGAAGGGAAGAAACACACCACUGAAAAUGUCAAAGACGUAGUCCUUCUCUUUUUGCGGCUAGCAAAGAUAAUUGCUGAAACUGCCUCACUGGAGGUAGCCAAGGGCAGUGCAAUAAAUGAGAUGAAGAAGGUAGGAAUGCUCGUAGCAUCAGAGAAGUUGUCAACAGCAUCUACAAGGGGAUCAGCAAAUACAGCUGCAAUAAGAGUUCCCAACAACAACAUCAUCACUGCUUUAAAGGUAAUCCACUUCGGGUUUUCCACAGCCUCAACCACCUCAUCACUUUGAUACCCCUCCAAACGAUUGUGCUCUCUCUUUGUUCCCUGCAUACGCAUUUCAAAAAGUUGGCAAUCUUGCUCAUAAUAAGCUGCUGCUGGAGAAGGUUGUUAUGAGACAACUUACCCU